rnacentral:lncRNA from 1 species
GGGAAAAUGACAUGGUUAAUCUAAUUGACCACUAAGAAUCCUUUUGACCCAUAAAACCUUUUUUUUUCGUCUUUUCAUUUGGUGGAUAGAAGAGAAAUUUCUCAAAAUUGUUUAAAUAUGUAGUGAUUUUGUACGUUCAAUUUACUAUGUAAGGAGAGGAACGCAGGGAAUUUGAAUUUGAACCUAAUCAAAUAAGAAAUUAAAAUUUUUCUGAAAGUAUUAGCAUCACUGAUUACACAGAAGUAUCAAUACUGUCAUUAGAACUUCUAUAGCAUUAUACAUCUGUUCUUCAAACAGUAAAUGAGAAAAAAAUAAGGCAUCAGUUACUAAGAACAUUAAGGACACAUUUUCUGGGAUUGAAUUAACUAAAUGAUAAGAUCAUUUUAACAUAAAGUAGCCAUAUUCAUACAUUGCUUUGAUCAAAAACAUUGAAGCUACCAAAUCAGGCAAGUUAGGGUUUGAUUUCCAUUUGGUAUAUCACUCUUGAAUAUGUGUCUUUUGCCCAUGCCAUUGCCAAAAUAAACUUAAUGAUGAAAAGUGGCUUUCAUAAAUUGAUUUUAUUGCAUUACCCGGUCCAGAAAGAGGUUCUCGCCAUAUGGACUUUUAAGAAGUGCCAACUGAAGCUCCUCCUACAGCAUGAAGCCAGACAUAAUCAGAACCCAAGAUGGUUGUUAUUGUACGUGGCAACAAGUUCCCUAUCCAAGAACAUGGAACAGAAACACAAUACAAAUAUUUGAACAUACAUAAAUGACAAUUAGAAAGCCCCAUCACACUUGAACAUACAUAAAUUUGAAUUUGAUUUUAUGGGUUGAACUAGUGGUAAAAAAAAGAAUGUGGCCUUGAUAAAGAGCUUAGAAUGCUCCCAAUCCAAAAUGUAAUACCAAAGGAGUUUUCUUGACACUCAAACGUUAGUCCCGACAAGGUGCAUGCAAAUUAAUAUACACACACAAACUAUUUGAGCUUCAUUACAUUUAUAUGAUAUGAAACAGAACUUUUAAGUGUGUGUGUGUGUGGGGUGGGGGUGGGGGAAGCUUCUCAAAUAAGUCAAAGGAAACCACAUAACAGAAGAAGAAACCAGAAACCUUAUAGCCACUACCUUGUGAAUCAAUCCAUCGUCAAUAAUCGAACUACUCAACUUCUUGAAAAGCUCAUGCAACGCUUCCACUUCAUUUAUAGAAACUGCAUCACACAGACAAUAGCUAAAAUUUAAAACCCCUUCAGUGUACGAACAAUAAAUCAGAUUACUCCAGCAGUCUAGUUUCCUAAAUAGGAUAACAAAACAGAGAAGUAAAAACAAAUCCUAAUGCAACAUCGAGAGAAACCUUACAUCUAGUUUCACUAGCCAGUAGGGAAAGAUCAUCGUAGCGACGGAGACCCUUCUGACUCUCAGUAGAACAAUCGAAGCACCUAGUCAUCGCCAGAAUCAAAGCCUCUACAACCGCAAUUAGUGGUAUAAAUGCGGCACAGAUCCGUUCACUCACCGUGAAAAAACUCGAGCUCUGUCCAACAACUCAAUAAAUUACAAAAGAAAGAAAUGCAAGUUUUCAAAUCUAUCGAUGAAAUAGUUGAAAGCGUCGUGUAUUUACCGAUAAAUCCAUAACAGUCCGUUCUCAAUCUUCAAAACAAUUUACAAAAGCAUGGCCACCAUCAUCUUCUCCCUCCAUGUCCGGCUUCUGAAAACAGAGAUCGAAGCGUAACUUUUCCCAUCACUCUCAAACUACUUGUCAUUAUAGGUAAGGGGCUCAAUCAGGACACGGAUGUUCCACUUCUAUGUUAAAGCGGUAAGGACGAUUCUCAUCAUCCAGACUCGUGGGUUCGUCGUCGUAGAUUAGAUGCGAUGCCAAAAUGAAUGCGACAGAUAAUUCUAUUAAAUGACCCACCGGAAAAACUAGGUAACCUAGUACGUAUUCGUUUUGUUUGGGAAAAAUGCUAUUUCCUUCUACAAUUUUGCUGUUUCUUACUAUCAAAUUCGACCUUUCUUAAUCAAUUCAUAUUUUUAAGCUUAAAACAAAUGUAUAAUCCACAUUAAUCAACAAAAAUGAAAUGAGAUGAUAUCUUAAAAUUAAAAUAAAGUUUAGAUUGGACAUGAUAUACCAUGUAUCUCUAUCUAAAUCGUUAUCCCAAAAUCAUAAUGGACUUAGAAGAUGAUGGAUUAAAAUGGGGCUAUGAUGGAUCACGAUCGACACAUAUCUCUAUCUAAAGGACCAUCUAAGAUAAAGUAAUCAACCCCUGGACGAAAAUGAUAUGUCAAGUCAUCUACCCUUGUAAGUAUAUAGUUUAUUGGUAUCAUAUUCAUUUAUUUGUUAAAAUAAACAUUAUUAAGUUAGGUUAUAGAAUUUCAAACGUCGUUGAAAAAAGAUAUUCAUAAACUAAUGAUAAAAGCUUAGACAUUCGAGUGUGAUUAUUACUUAUUUUAAAAAUAAAGCUUGUUUGGUCGGGUCAUGUUGAAUGUCCUCGAUUGAAAGUGGCCCUCCCUUUUUCCUUUCUUUUUUCAAAACUUGGUGUUUAAUCAACUAUACUAAAAAAAUGUGGUAUGUUGCUGUGUGUUUGGACUAUUUGGGGGGAAGUGUUUUUAAAAAGUAGUUUAUCUCUAAAACACUUUAUGCCAAAAGUACUUUUAUUAAUAGUUUUAAGGCCACGAGCUUGUCUUUUUCUUUUAUUUUAUCCUUAUCUAUUUGAAUUUUAACAGUAUAUGGACAAUGAAAAAUCGCAAUCAAUUUUAAGAAUGGAUAAAUUUGAUGUUGGUUCAAUUAACUUAUUUCACUAAACUUUAAUUUAAGUUGCACUUACAUGCUUUGUAUUUUAAAUUAAAACAGAAGGAAAACAAGACCACUCUUUUUACUUUUAUAAUUAUAGUGUUUAAUCGCUUUCUGCCUCGUAUUAAUUGUAUGUUUAAAUUAAUUGGUUAAAAUAUUGUUAUGGUUCUUUCAUUUCAAGUUACAAUCAAUAAAUCUUAAAUUUAAUUAUUUGAAGUUGAUUUUGUUUAUAAAUAAAUUAAAUAAUAAGCAUAGUUUUGUUAAAUAAAGCACGCUCGUAAAUAUAAUAUAGUAAACAAAGUUAUUUUAUAAUAAAGAACUUCAAUAUCUUACUAAAAUAAUAAACUAAUAAUGAUAUUAAUCUAAACUUUGAAUUUUCACAAACUUAUCAAUUUGCAUUGGUAUAUAUAUUUCAUUUAAUCAGUAAAUUAUAAUACGAGUCAAUUAAACUAUUAGUUUUAUAAAUCAAUACUCGAUUGUGACAUUUGAUUACAGUUACUUUUGAUAAUUAUCUAUGCAUCGAUUCUCCAAUGUGCAUACUUCGAGUUUAAAAAACAUCGACUGUAAAAAAAAGUAUUGUAUACAAAUUUAAAUUAUUUAUAAAUUUUAUUAAUAAUAACGGUAAACUUUAACUGGAAUGUAACCAACUAAAAUAUAUAUAUGAGUUUAAAUGUAUAUUCUCUUGAAUUUUAUGGUAUAACUUAUAUGAAAAUUGCAUUAAUGAUAAAAAAAAAAAAUUUAAAAAUGGUUCGUAAUUCAUUUUGUUGUAUAUUAAAAAAUUAACAAAUAUGAAAAUAAUCUGCUUUUGAAUUUUUAUUUUUACAAUUUAAAAAAUGUAACUGACAUAGUGUCUUAUGGCGGUGGUUUUUAUUUUUUGUAAACUUCCGUAAUUAUAUUUAGAAAAAAAAGAAAGGAAAAAAAAUCUUAGAACCGGGUUCAGCCCAACCAUUCGAGAAUUGGUCCACAAAUUGACGACACGUCGUAUGCCGCAAAUGGACGUUAUUGAUUGUUGAAUGCGCCUCGUGCUCUCGCUCGAUCUGUCGUACAUGAUCUUGAAGUGAGAAUGCCACUUUCAAUAAUCCAGGUGGCAAAAUCCAAAAUCAAAUUGCUCACGUGGGUAGGGGCCCAUCCCCACUGUCUCCCUUUCCCAAUAAAUGUUUAGAUUUGUUUCUAUCUAUUUCCAACUUUAGAAAAUAUAUAUUAACAUCGUUUCCAAAUUAAAACAACCAUGCUAAUAAUAAAUAUUUAUUUUAUUAUUUAUCAAAUAUAUACACCUUUGUCAAAAUUAAGACGUAAUUUAUAUAUUAACAAUUAAACGGUAAUAAUAGAUCGUUAAACCUUUAGUUUUACGAACAGAUUUACUAAGGAGCCAAGAACACGUGUUCCUCUCAUACUAUCAUUUUUUGUAUUUUGAUUUUAACUAUAUUAUGGUGCAGUGGUUAUGCCUCAAUUGCAAAAAUCUCUUGCGUUCAAUUCUUAUUUAGAAAAAAGCAACAAAGACAAUGAAGCCCUAAAAUUUAAUUAUUCAAUUCUUAUUUUUUCAACAAAGUCAAUUAAGACUUACACUUUCUCAACAAUAUUCCAUAAAAAAAAACGUAUUAUUCUUUUAUUUUUUAUCAGUUUUUAAAUUCACAUAUUUAUAUUAAAAAAAAAUCAGUAGUUCUCUAUUGCUAUAGUUAAUGUUAUUGUAGUAUCAAUGAAACGUCGUGAUAUUUUUUUAACAUUUUUUAGUAUGUUUAUUAUAUAGUAUCUUAUGUCUCUUAUAUAAAAUCGAUGGAUCCACUAUCGUUUAGUUUAAUACUUUAUUUGACAAAUAGCCAAGUGAUCAUGACAUUGGUUUAGCUAUGCUGUCCAUAUGUAACGUCAUAGCAUAGCACAAAUGCAAUUUUUGCACUUUUAAUUUAAUAUUUUAUUUGAUAAAUACACAUAUAUAUAUGAGAUUUUAAUAAUUAACUGUAAAGAUUAGACGUAUGGUAUGAUUUUUUCAUUUUAAUUAAAAAAUAAAACAUUUCAUAUGGUAGUUGUUGAUCUCAAUCAAAUAAAUCCGUAGGUUACAUAUUUGUUUAUAAUUUUAUAAAAUAAAGUAUUUGUUAUUGCAAAAUUCCAAAAGACAAAUGCACAUGCAGGGCAGGUGCAAAAGACCAUCCCCUCUCCAUUAUUCUCCUAAACAUUUUGUUACUUUUUUUUUUUUUUAUAAAUAUUUUGAGAGAGAUUGUUUUAAACAUUCAACACGUAUGAAAUAUAGUCAACAUUUAGUAAUUCAAUUUCACACUAUUAAAGUAAUAAUAAACAGUGGUCUCUGUGAAUAAAUAAAUAUAGUUUUAAAUUAGUAAAUAAACGUUUCAAUACUUGUAAAUAAGCUAACAUAUUUUAUAUUCAUAUAGUUUUUUUUUCUUAAUUUUAAAGUUGAUUACAAUCUUUUUUUAAUAAUUUAAAGUCAAAUUAAAGUAUUAUAACAUUUGUAUUUAAAAAGUUUUCAAGUGAUUUUGGACACAUAUAAUGUAAAAAUGAUUUGUAAUCAUAGAUUAGAGAUGCAUACAAGCACAACUUACCGAAUUUAACAUUUAUUGACUUUUAAUUUCAUGUUAUAUAUUUAAGAUUAAAAGCAUUUAAUGGCUUUCAAACCUAUUCUGUAUGCCUGAUAUGUAUAAUAAACAGUAUAAAACUGUCUAUAUUAAGUAUUGGAUUUUUUUCAAAAGUAUUUAAGUUUUUAAGUUCGUGAUAAUUCAAUUAUUUUUAGGUUGUAACAAAAAUAACAAAGUAUGUCGUUUAAUUUGAAAAAAUAGUAAAAAUAAUUUUAAAUUGUUAUAAUAGUAAAACAUAAAAAUUACAAAAAAAAAAAAAAAAACAAUCUCUCAAAUACCCCAACCCAAUAUAAAAAUUACAAUUAUUUAACUAAACUUAAAAUAUAUUGUAAUUGAAAUAACACAUGCUAAUUAGAAAAUCUGUCAUUAAUGAAAAGUUUCACCUCAUAUCUGCAAAAUUUAAAAUUUAUUUAAAUGUCUACAAGACCCAAUUCAUUCGAAAUGAGUAGUUGCAAAGUCGAGACACAUUCAAUCAAAGGGUUUGGCUCUACACGUGUCGAACAACCAUAGUUGAAAGCUUCAAAUUAAAAAUGGGAGCAUUGUUGAUAUUACGAUAAAGAUUAAAUCAUUAAAUUAUACCAUAGAAUUAAAAACUUAUAUACAAGAUACGCAUCGGUGAGUUCUUCAUACAUUCGAGAUUCAUUUGAGUUAUUUUCUCUUGUUUGCAAUAAAAAAAUUAUCUUUCACAUUAUGUUUAUCUCUUGUUGGCUGUCUCUCUCCCUCCCUUUAUUUUUUUUUAUCUAAUAAAACCUAAAAGAAAACUAUUCAAAUAAUUUAAAAAAUGUGAUUGAUGCAUAAAUAAAUCCUAAAAUUUAAAUUCAAUUUUUUAUUAAAAGCUACAUAUUACGUGUUAUUUAAUAAAUUGUUUAAAAUAUAACAAAUUUGAAGAUAGUCAUUAGCACAAAUAUAAUCCAGCAACAAAAUAACAAAUUUAGGUACAAUAAUUUUUUUUAUAAUAAAAAUCAAUCAAAAUAUGUGUAUAAUAAUAAUUAGCACAAAUGUAGUGAUGAUAAAACUUUGUUUUUAAAUUACUAUUAACCAUACGUAACAUGUAUUAUCUGAUAAUUUUUUUUUAAAUAACUUCAAAUAUAAAUAAUACGAAAUGCUUAAUUUAUGUUUGCUAUUAAGGAUAUGAUGUAGUAUUUAAAAUCAAAAUAUAAUGAUUUGGAAAUGAUUCAAAUUCUCAUAAUCAUUUUUUAUUAACCAUAGGUAUUAUGUACUAUCAUAUGAAAAUAAUGAAGUAGUGAUUGUCAUUGUUUUAGGGAUUAGAUUUCAUAAUAUUUGAAUUAAAAAUAUUAUGAAAUGUAAUGAAUGGAGAACGAUUGAAAUUCUUUUAACAAUUUUGUAGGGAAAAUUUUAUUAAACAUUAAUUAAAUAAAUAAAUGUUAAUUAAUUUGAUUUAAAUACUAAAAAUUCGAAAAUUUGUUAUGAAUUAUAGAGAUAUAUUUAGGGUAUAUAGAGAAAAUCUUGUUAGCCCAAAUUAGUUAAUAUUUUUCCAAACUAAUAGUAGUUUGCAAAUACACUUUAUAUGUGAUUGUGUGUUAUUUGACAAAUACAUUGUAUCUGAAAACACCUAUAGUAACUACCAGUUUUGUCAAAAUUCUUAAUAUUUUUCAAACUUUCUAUUUUUAAACUUGUUAUGUUAAAUUUUGCUAUUCACCGUUAUCUCUUAUUUUUAUAUUUUUUAAAAACCAAGCCACUAACUUGUUAAACACAAAAUUAAAAAUUAAUAUCUUAUAUUCACUAUUAAAAAAAACACAUACAUGCACACGAACAUACAAAAAUAUCUUAAACAUAAAAGUUAUUAAAUAUACUCUUAAUUAAAAAAAAAAAAAACGAAGAAUGAUAUAACUAUAAAAAAAACUCUAAGAAAAGACCAUCUCAAACAUUUGAUGUGUUGGUUUGAUAACAAAAAUAACAUCAACUUAAAACUCCCUCACUUCAUCAUCAAUCCUUCAAAACUUUUGAAAAGUUUGAUCCUUGACUCUUAUACACUAAAGCUCUAUUUGGGAUAGAGUUUGAAAUGGUUGAAAGGGAUUGUGAAAAAAUCUUAAUAUUUAGAUCUAAUAUCAUUUUAAUAAGAAAUCUUGUAAUUUCUCAACCACACAUAUAUAUUAGUGAAAUUUUAAAAAAUAAAAAUUUUUAUCAAAUGUUUACGGUCUAUAUAGCAUUCUAAAUAUUUGAAUUUAUUUUGUUAUUUUAAAAAAUGCUAGUAUAUAUUACAAUAAUAGUUUUCAUAUUGGUAUAUUUUUCAAAUUUGAAUAGAUUCAAUUUAAUUAUUUUCUCAAACCUUUAUCAAAUAUUUUAAAACAAAUUAUUAUUUAAUUAUCAACGAGAAUAUAAUGAAAAUAAUAAAUCAAUUUAUUAUUAAUUUAUCUAACGAUUUAAAUGAAUACAUACCCAAAACUAAUUUAUUUAUUUACAUAGUCGAGGAAACAAAGGCGACAUCUAUUAUUCUAAAAGCAAUAGCAACUCCGAAGUCGGAAAAAGGAACCAUAUAAAAGGGGGACACCCACGAGUACCGCCAGAAGUCGGCCAUGCGUGUAGCUUCGCGGCAUACAACAACGAUUCGUAUUUCAUAGAUAGACUUAGACUACACAUUGACCCUUUAACUCUGGUCUGGUUAGCCACUGACUCCCCCCAUCUCCUUCAAACGCUCUCUCCCUUCUUCCAUCCUUCCUUUAUUUAUUUAUUUAUUAUUAUUAUUAUUCAUUUUCUUAAUCUCCUCCCGAAUCCUUGUCUUCUCCUCUCCCAUGGUGUCCAACUAGCCGGCAACAUCACCCUUUCACCUCUCUGCAAUGUUGAACCUCUUCUCUUUGUCUCACCGCAUUUUCAUUUCCAUCUUCAUCUUCCUCUUCCUCGUCUCUCCGCCGUUGCUUCCUUCCUCCGCUCUUCCUCUCUCCGACUCCGAUCAACCGCUUCUCGCUAAUACUACGCUCCAGUCCAAUAAUGUUUCCGUUCCGAGGAAUAAGGAAGGUAGUUUUGCUGACAUCAUUGAUCGUGCUUUGGAGAAUGAGUUCAAGGAGAAUGACCAGAAUGAAGGUUAGUAGAUCUUUAGAUCUCGGCUUCUCACUUGUUUUUUGUUAGGGUUUUUAUUACUUUGGUGUAGCUAACUGCGGUUUUAGUGGUGAAUCUAUGUUAAUUGUGGUAUGCGGGUGUGUUGAAACGGUUUUUUUUUUUUUUUGUUUGCUACUAUGGCUCUAGGAGUAGGAUAAGGUAGAUGACUAGUUUUUGAUCUUGUGUGGUUUAAUUCUUUUGUAGUUAUUGGAUACGGAAUUCCUUUUCUUAGUAAGAGGAUGGUAUUGCGAAAUUUGUCUGGAAUUAUGGUUCCUGUAUGAAUUUGAGCUUUUCAUUUUUAUCGUUUAGAUCAAUACCUACCGAUCCCGUUUGUUAUUUCUACUAUUCUAUUGCUUGUGUUUCUUACUUGUUUUCUUUUAAAUGUUCGAUUAUUUUGAGUAAAUUGUCCAAUACGAUUGCUGGUGGUGUUGUUAUUGCAGCUCGUAUGAUGUUAAUAUAUUCUAUCUUCUGUUUGAGUAAUAUGAGGACAUUUCUCUCUCUUGCGUUUCAGCAAUUGAUUCAGGAAGCUUCAACAACAGUGUAGCAGAGCAGCAGGUUGGUAGUGAUAUGUUUUGUCAAUGUAGUAAUCAUUAUUUUCAAAAAACUUUUGAGCACAACUUGUGAGAAUUAUGGAUUUUACUCUGAUUUUGAACGAGCAAAAUAAUCUGUUCCAAACAUACGGGCACAAAAAUGUGCUGAUUUGGCCCUCAUUGAUUGGCGUUGUUGAUUAGGCAACUCUGGAGACUGUGGCAAGGGUGAAGUCAAAGAAAAAUGAUACGAAAGAGGAAAAGUAUAUGCUUCUUACUUUAGUAUUACAUUUCACUUUCAGGCCAUGCUAUACUGGAUUAAGCGUGCACUUCCUUAAACACUUGUGUUUCUACUUUAGGUUUCAGCUUCAAAACGUUUUCAAUUUGGACAGUGAUAAUAGAGCUGAAGAUACCCCUACAUUGAUUGAUCGAAAGGUAUGGGUAUUUCAUUUUCCGUAUUUUUUCUGUGUCAGAUCGUCAUUUUGUGCUCAAGGUUGGUAAAACAUUUUUCUUUUCUCAGGACAAUGUCUUUAUCAUAUCCAACUUUAAGUCUAAAUAUCCAGUGCUACAAUUAGACUUGAGGUAUGUUUUUAUUUUAUGCAAUUGUUCCUCAAGUAAUGACUGAUAUUAACUUCUAAUUUUAUGAGUUGGCAGAUUGAUAUCUGAUUUGGUUAUCGUAAUUGUCUCUGCAACUUGUGGCGGCAUUGCCUUUGCCUGUGCUGGACAACCAGUACGAUUAUUUUUUACCUAAGCUAUUGAAUAACAAUUGUAGGAUGUGAUCUGAUUUUCAUGACAUGGACAAUCCUAUAUAUAUGUAACCUGUGUUAUAUUUUAUCAGGUUAUAACUGGAUACCUUCUAGCAGGAUCUAUUAUUGGACCUGGAGGAUUUAACUUUGUCAGUGAAAUGGUUCAAGUACGUUGCUCCUAAUCUAUCAUUUAUAGUUUUUCCAGGGCUCUUUUUUCCUCUGCCUAAAAAUUGGAAGAUAACAAUUACAUUUGUCAUAUUUUUCUGGUUGCAUGAGAUCUUCUCAGAUGUAUACUAUAGUAUAAUAAAUACCCCAUCAGGCUAUCCCUCUAAUCUUAUUUGUAUUUUUUUCUUCUCUAAUGAAUUUAUUUUAUAUCCAAAGUUAAAAUGGUGAGUAAUGAACCGGUAGAGACAAUAUAUAUAAGGUAAAAGAAUGGGCACUGUACAUUUUGGAUUAAUUUCUAGAAAAUGCACGAGAAAGUGGAAGCUGACUAGUUCUGUAUGCAUGGGGCUUUUAAUGAAAGUUGGUCCUAAUCUAUCAGGUUUACUGAUAGGGGUUAAUUAGUCAUUCUAUAAUUUGUUGUUAUAAAAGUUUAUUGUACAAAGUAUGUGUUAGAGAAGUUGGUGUGUUUGUUUUAAUAUUUAAAAAAAGAACGAAUGAUGGUUGCCCUCUCAAAAGAUCUCUCUCGCACUAUAAACGUAUACAAUGUAUAUUUGUCUCUUGUGAUGGUUAUUCAGAGAUAAAAAGACAUUUGUGUUGAUUUGUUUUCAUGUUGCCUUACCAAUGGCCAAAUUCUUUCUUUCGUCCUCAAGUUCCUUAUUGAUUUCUGUGAUUAGGUUGAAACGGUAGCUCAAUUUGGUGUAAUUUUUCUUCUUUUUGCACUGGGUUUGGAGUUCUCAACAACUAAGGUUAGUUUUAUUUCCAUUCAAGGUUAUUUGUAGAUGUUUAUAAAAUCACAAUACAUGUGCUAAGCCCAAUGAUAUGUUUUAGCUACGAGUUGUUCGUGCAGUUGCUGUUCUUGGCGGGCUUCUUCAAAUUUUCCUAUUUAUGUGCCUCAGUGGAAUCACAGCCUCGGUAAUAACUAGUGCUUCUCUGUAUUAUUUUUAUUUUUUUCCGGUUAACGAAAAGUCCAAACAAUCUUGUGUCAUUGACCACCCUAUUUUUUGGCCGUUGAAUAAAUUAAUUUGGAUCCUGCUUUAGCCAGGUUCUAAUACUCAACUUCCCUAUUGUUGCAUGCCUCCUAUUAAAUAAACUUUGCUUAUUUAUUUAAUGAUAAAAAAUUUGUAGCAAGUUUUACAAGACUCUUUUUCUUCGCUGUGAAUUUUAUUAUCAUUAUUGUUGUGUUGUUUUUAUUUAUUCAUUUAUUAUUAAUAUUAUUAUUAUUUUGCAGUCAUGUGGUGGGAGUGCUUCUGAAGGAGUUUUUGUCGGAGCAUUCCUAUCUAUGUCCUCAACAGCAGUGGUAGGAUACUGUAUAACUUUUUGAAUGGAUGACACUGGCAUGCUUUAUAGCCUAUGUUCUUGCCUGUAUGAUAAAAGAACAACUGUCUCGGAUUGCAGGUGCUGAAAUUUUUGAUGGAAAAGAACUCUACUAAUGCUCUUCAUGGACAAGUCACAAUUGGCACCCUUAUUCUGCAGGUAAUGUUUUAUUUUGUUUUUCUUUUCUUCAUGCAACCCUCUUAGGGGAAAAAAUUAUCGCCUAACCCAUCAGUUUCCUUGGGUUUGCAGGACUGUGCUGUUGGGUUACUGUUUGCUUUGCUUCCAGUACUAGGUGGGAAUUCUGGUAUUCUUCAAGGAGUGAUGUCUAUGAGUAAAGUGUACGUAUAAAUAGGAAUUUGUUUUACACAUGGGCAUACCCUCAAAUCUAGUUGUUACGUUUUUUCAGACAUAGUAAGUACUAUAAAUGGUUAUCUCAUGAGAAUUUUGAAGGUGCUUGCAAGUUUGCUUGGACGCUUAUGCAUUUAAAAAAAGAAAACCAAACAGUAAAUUUACUUCUUGGGCUUAAUGCUACUGGUGGUGUUCUUUCUAGAACACUUAAAGAAAGGACCAAAGAGUUCUCUAAAAUGUCUGGGAUACUUUUCUUCUGGUUACAAACUUGUGAAGUUCAAAGAUUAAGUUUGAGCUCCUUUGAGUUUGUGCAUGUUAUUCCUUCUUGUGAGGUAUUUAUUAUUAUCAAAAGAAGAGCAGAACUAGGUGCAUAAAACCAUAUUGUGUAUUUAUUAUCAGUACCUCGUGGAACUAGCUUUUUACGCCUUUUGCAGAUGGUUAGUUAUUCUUGAUAAGUCCAGGCCAGGAACUGGUUUUGUAUGACAUGUAGAUUAUACGAGAAAUUGUAGGGUAUGAAUCUUAUAUUUACAAGGUUUUGUAUUUCUCAAUCAGGUUGGUGAUCUUGGUUGGUUUUUUGGUUGCUUUGUCAAUUUUAUCCCGUACAUGUAUUCCUUGGCUCUUAAAACUGAUGAUAAGUCUAUCAUCACAGGUAUGCUUUAUUGCAUCUAUAUAUUUAUUAUUAUUGAAAUUUAUAUACCUGAUUUAACAACUAUCCGAAUUUCAAAUGCAUUGUCUAAUUUAUUUUUCUCUGCAGACCAACGAACUUUAUCAAUUAGCCUCAGUGGCGUUCUGCUUGCUUGUAGCCUGGGUCAGUAUCUACUUUUUUUUUCUGAGUUUGAUUUUAUGCAUGUGGAGAUGUCAUACUUUGAAUUGUUAUCAUUUCUAUCAUUCAGGUUUUUUAUGUAUAGGGGUACUAAGAAAGAACAUCAUUAAUUUUUUUAAAUAAAAAAUCAAACUUCCAUUUUGAAUCAUGAAAUUUUUUAAGGGCAUAUGUAAAGACAGCCCAGACAAUAGGAGACCUAACCUACUUAUAGGGCCACUAAUCCAAUAGAAUAAGGCCUGAUGGAUUAUUACAGAAGGCCUUAGAGCCCACUAUCCACCACAAGGGGGUCUUAAACUCAGUAUUAUUCCAAAGAACGCACCAAGACCGUUGAAACCCCUAAAGAAAUAUCUAAAGAUCCCAAUAUUUCGUUCACAACAAAUACACCUCCAAACCUAAAACAAAUAACAAUAAAUAGAAAUAAAUAAAUAAAUAAAAAGUCUUCCAAAGCACUUGCCUUUUAUAUCUUUGAAGGGAGGGAAUGGGACAACUUCCUUUUACUGUACACCUUUCUUCUUUUUUAAAUUAUAACUCUCUGGUGUAUGCCUACUUUGAUGGGAUACUAUUCCCAUGACUAAUGAAGUUGUAUAAUUUUAUUGGUCGCUAUAUGAUCAAUUGAAAUUACUUUGUUGGUGCUUUUCUGUUAAUUAUUGUUUUUACAAUUUCAGUGUAGUGAUAAGUUGGGCCUCAGUCUAGAAUUGGGUUCCUUUGCCGCUGGAGUGAUGAUAUCCACAACUGAUCUUGCUCAACACACACUUGAACAAGUAAGGCAUUUCAUUCCAUACUUUGUUUCAAGAGAUGUGUGGCUUAAUUGUAAUGUUACCAAGGCAUGUUGGUCUGGGUGUAUAAACUAUACAUGCAUAUAUGAAGAGUGUGUGCAUGUACUGUUUGUAUAUAUGUGUAUGUAGGUGAAUAAGGUGUUUAUUGCUCUUGCUUCUGUGUGGGGGUUUCAUAUGCUGUUAGUUUGUUUAUUUUUGUAUGGUCUUCAGAAAAUUGUAUCACAAUAUCCGAAUACUGUUAAUAUUCAAGAUGAUAGGAAUGGGUGUGAAAAGAAAUAAGGAAAAUAAGGUGGGUAGGAAUUUUGAAGGGCGAGGUGAAGUUGGAUAGAGGGAGGAUGGAUUCUUGCACUUUAAUACAGAUAAUAGGCUAGAAUUUUGUUUGAAAUGUUUGCUUUUCUGUCUCCCAAGAGUUAUGUGUUGAUUCCUAUUGAGUGAUUUUAUAAUUGCUUGUCUACAGAUAGAGCCUAUAAGGAACUUUUUUGCGGCCCUUUUUCUUGCCAGCAUUGGAAUGCUGAUACACGUUCAGUUUUUGUGGAACCACGUUGAUAUAUUAUUAGCAGCUGUUAUACUGGUGAUAAUUGUAAAAACAAUCGUAAUUAGCACAGUGGUGAAGGGAUUUGGGUAUAACAACAGGACAGCACUUUUGGUGAGGUUAUAUUACUAUAUCCUCGGCAUUCAUCCUUGUUCAUGAUAUGUUAUAAAUAACUGGUUUUCUCUUCUGGAUAUUGAUUUGUGAUGUGUAGGUUGGAAUGUCUUUGGCUCAGAUAGGAGAAUUUGCUUUUGUUCUUCUCAGCCGUGCUUCUAAUCUUCAUCUAGUUGAGGUCAGUGCCAUUAUCUUGCUUCUCAGGAAAAACAUUAAAUGAGAUGCAUGUAAAAAAAAUCUACUGUUAAUCAUAAAUGAUGAUGCACGAUCUCUGAAAUUCUUGGGGGAUGUUUUGGCGUGGAUUCAGUUUGUUCAGUUCAGCCUGGACUUGGGUAGUCUGGCGGUGGGGGUUUAAUCUGAGUCGUGAGAGUUUAGGAGGUCUGACGACCUUACUUGAACAUGAUUUGUUCUUCUAUAGGCUGUACAACUAUGUCCUUGAGAUGAAGAAAAUUGUGCUUGGUGUACAAGCUUAGGAAAACUAUAUAUUAAACGAAUCAUUAGGACUCAUAUUUACUCAAGUUUCUAAAAAAAAAAAAUGAAAAUCUUGUUAUUCCAAUAUGAUAAUUUCAAAGUUCAAAUUGUUUCUUCAAAUUUCUUUAUAGGAAAAAAGUGUUUCAUAGAACUGUGUUGUUUCAGUUGACUAGCUUCAAAAUAAAGUACUUUCUCCGGGCUGUUUUAAAAUGAUUAGUUAAAUGCUAUUUUAUUGUGACUAAGUUUAAUCUAAAAAAAGGUGAUUAAGUUUAAAUUCAAUACCAUACACACACUUCUGUUACUUAAUAUUUUGAAUCAAAUACUUAUUUUAAUAUGGCAAUUUUUUCCUAACUAUAAUCUUUUUUAUUAACUUCAAAAUAAAAUAAUGUUUACUUUUACUUAUUUUUUUCUACUUAAGAAGAGUUACUUUCAUUACCUUGAAUAUGGGUAAUCUUGUAUACAUAUAUUUAAUAAGCUAACUUCAAAUUAAAUACUCCGGAGUUAACUGCUCUACUUAAAUUAUUACUAUAUUAAAUUCUUUUAAUAUAAAAGUUCAAGAUUACAAAAGUGGGGAGGGGAGGGGAGCACAAUCAAAUGGGGCAAAAGCGUUGAAUAACUGAAAAAAUGGAAAUAUUGUUAAGAUCGCCCAGUUAUGUAGCCAUAUUUUUUAAACUAUUGUUACGUAAAAAUGGAUGAAUGAAAAUAAUACAUCUUUUCUUAUUGGAUACUGAUAUUAUGAUAAUUUUCAGGGGAAACUGUAUCUAUUGCUUAUUGGGACCACAGCCCUCAGUCUGGUGAGAUGUAAUCCAUUUCUGCAUGUUUAUAUAUCUAUGUAUCUACAUGAUGGUUUCAUAUGUGUCAUCAUAUGCUGUUGUAAUGAUUAUAUUUCUUUUCUCUGCAUGGUUUUAUUAAUUUUUUUUAUUGGCUUAUUUUGAGUUAUCUGCUAUUCCGUUUGAGACUUCUUUUAGAUAACAAAUAUACUUAAGAAUUAUGAAUAAUUUAGAAAUAGUUGAAAUUGUUAGCUCAAUUUUUCAUCACAAAAACAGGAAUUAGUUGAAAGCCAUUUCUUCAAUAUGAUUUGACAGAAAGAAGGAAGGCAUUGUAUUGGAACUUGGAAGUUAGGACAUUGAUUUGUCUGAAGGAUCAAUAACAAAACAAUAAAAAUUAAAAGCCAUCCAAUAUCCGUUGAUAGAAAAAAAACGAAUGAUUAUUAAGAAAAAAAGUAAACUUGCACUCCUAUAACCUAUUACUUUUUUUUGCAUGAGAGUGUGUUUCAGCAUUAUAUUAGUGAUUAAUUUUCUCAAGAAAUAAAUUUCUGGAUGGGGCAUUUGUUAAAAUUUCGUGCAGGUGACAACUCCUUUUCUUUUCAAGCUAAUACCUGCUGUAGUACAUUUAGGCGUGCUAUUGCGGUGGUUUUCUCCAGAUAGUCUCGUUGAGGUAGAAACAUUUUACUUGAAUCUAACUUUAUACACCGCAAUUUUCCUUGACUCUAAUCCGCUUGAUCAAAAUUUAUCUUCAUGUGAUAAUUCAGAUUGGAUUGAAAGGAGACAUCAUUCGCUCGGACAGUGUAAAGCAACGGGUUAUGUUGAUAGUCCAGGGACCUCACGAUUCAUGACACUGAUUGUAUGUCAAUUGAAAAUGAAAUAUCAUUUUCUUCUCAAGGAGUCAAAUUCUGGCCAGCUUAUUCCCAUGUACAAGUGAAGUCGAUUGAACCACUCUGUAUAUUUGUUCAUGUUUUUCUAGCCAUAUAAAAGCGUGUCCAGAAUCAUUUUUUUGUUUCACUUAACUGACCACUAGAUUUGGAAAAAAGAAAAAAAAAACAGAUUAGAGAGUACUAGAGAUGGAUGACCAGAUAAGAGCCAGUACAAUAGAAGAACACUAUUGUAUUUGUCUUCUUCAGUAUGACCUGAUUCUUUGUAAAAUGUAUUAUAGUUUGGAUAUUUAUAAUGAAAUUGGUACUGCACAAAAUAAUCACUAUGCCUUUUUUUGCAGUGUAAAAUAUUGAUUUUUACCAAGUUCCCAUUUAAUCUCUCAUCUGAUUUCAGCCUUCCGUUGCUACUUCAAGACUCUUCAUCAGAUAGCUAUCAGCAAAAGGAAAAAAUAAAGUUCCAAGGCUGUAAGUUCAUCGAUUCCCUAAAAAGAAAAAAACAAUUUACUGACAGCAGUAUUAUUGAUUGAAAGAACUGCUUAGAACCUUUGGAGGAUUUAGUAACUUCAACUUGAAUAUAUUUGUCUUUUGACCACCUAACCAAAAUGAGAGGAUAGAACUAGAAGUUCCUGUGACUUUGUCAAUUAGGCAUCAGAAAUAAGUAAAAAGUAAAAUGAGAAUCUUUCAUUCAUCUAUGGUUGCUGGGGAAUAAUAUAUUUCAACAAGAGGAGAGAGAAUUUAUGAUUUCAUUUUGGGGAUUUCAACCAUUUUAACUCUUGUUUGAUCUUUUUGGGUGUCCAGAUGUUGAUAGAUAGUUACAGGGAGUAAAUGAGAGAAUCCUUUAUGGUUGAAAUGUCACUAUUUCUUAAGAUUUGCCUGCAGGAACUGACAUGUGCUUAUUUAAUUUAACAGGUUAAAAAAAAAAAAAAAACUAUUUGAGUGUUUCUUCCAUACCUAGUCUCUCCUUCAAAGUUAAUUUUUAUUCUCUUUUUUGCAAGAAAAUAUAUUAUGUCAAUUGAAAGUCUUAAACAAAAUUUUGAAUGAUUCCCAAUUAUAAUAUGUGCUUACAACCACAAGAACAUAAAAUAAAAGUAUAAAAAAAAUAAACCUGAAAAGAUUCUUUCCACAUGAAGAAGAAGAAGAAGUAGAGAAAUAGUGAUAGAUCUAACCUAAAAACAAAAAUAGCGAUGGUAGCGAUGGUCCACUUCUUGCCUGUUUUUGUUUGGGCUUCCUCCUGCAUUUUGUCCUCUACUUUUCAAAUGGGGAAGACGCCAAUUAUUUAACCUGUUUUUGUUGUCAAUUUCCUUCUUUUUAUUUCUCUUUUUCCAAAUCUACAUGUAUGUAUAUUUUGUCUGCUUUGGAAUUUUUUAUCUACUGAUAAUUUAAUUUUAAUUUUUACCUUAUGCUUUCAUUUUAUUUUACAUUUUAAAAGGGGUUCUUUUAAUUUCAGGCCAUUUACCCUUUCUUGCUGACAGCAACAAUUUAGUUACCAUCGGUUUGUUUGCACAAAUGUUCAUUCCUUUCUAAAUAUCAUUCCACUAGAGUUUCACGUGAAUGGUAGUAAUAAAUAACAAAUAAUAAGAACUUAAUGUGAUAAAAAUAGUUUUGGUAAAGGUUGAAACAAACACAUUAUUUUACGAUUUAUUUUUUAGUUUCUACAACCACAUUGUAGUGACACUCGAUUUUAGGGUCAAUUUAUUAAAGAAAGUAAAAUUAUUUUUUCUCUACGUUGUGGGGUCUAGUUUUUAUUCGUUUUUUAGGUUUUGAAAUUUACAUUUUUAUUUCUUAAAUUUUAAAUUUAGUUUUGUUCUAUAUCUUAAAAUGCUAUUUUACCUUAUAAUUAUAUGAUUGUUCUGUAUUAGUAUUAAAGGGAGAACGAGUGUUAUGCGAAAGACGUACUGAAAUUUAUGGAUAGAAUUCACACAAUAGUGUGAGAUUAUUGCAUUAAUUUGAAUUAUUUUGAGGAUGGAUAUUUUUAUCCUAAAAGAAAAGAAAGGAAAAGAGGCCAAUCAUGAGGGAGGCUUUUACUCUUGGCUUUAUGCACUUUGAAUUUUGCAUAAUUUUCUGUCCACAUUAAUUUUUCCCAUAACAAAGAGAAAUCUUGUCCACUCGAUUCUCUUCUUAUAAAGUAUCCAAUUAGUGUUCUUCCAAAUUUUGUUAAUACCAACAAAUUUGAGCCCUAAAAGCUAUAUCAUUUUAAAUUCCCAAGUUGAGAUUUAUUUAUUUAGAAAUUCUCUCUAUUUAGAGGCCACCUACAGCUUUCAUUUGUAAGGAUCAAGAUUGCUGAGCUGAAAAAUAAGUGCUUUAUCAUAUUAUAGGAUUCUUUUUUUAAAUUAAAAAAAAUACUAACAAAAUCCAAUUAGAAUUCUUUUAACUAUAAUUCAACUUGAUAUGUUCAGAUCUUUUACAUUAACCCAUCUUCAUAAUUUACCCACCAACGUUUAAAUAAUAUAGUUGUAAAUAUAUUUUUAUUUAGCUUUGGCUCACUUUGUUGACGUAUUUUAAAAAUAUUCAUUUUAUUUUUUGUAUUUUAAAAAUUAUUCUCGGUUCUUAGGUAUGGAAAAGAAAAUGAAAAUAAAUGAAACAAUAUAAAGUAUAUGAACAAAAAUGGAUCUACAUAUAUUGUUUUUUAUGAGUUGAAGAAAUGUUAAAAGUAUUUUUCUCUAACUUAUUUGAUUUGAAAGAUUUUGUUUAUAAUAUGAAUAUUUGGGUCAAAAUUAGAACCUUUUAAGAGACUAUGAACAAAAUUGGAAAAUAAUAUAAAUUCUUUUAGAAUCAAAAUGCAGUGGUACUCUUUCAAUUGUUCAGCUAGAGACUAUGACUAUAAAUGUUAUAAUUAGCCAUUAAAAGAGAGUAACCCAGCUAGCCUACAAAGCAAGACAAAACUUAUAUGUUUGUUUUUAUAGGGUAGCCCACACCUUUGACCAAAUAACUCAUUUUUAAUUAAUUGAGUUCACCAUUAAUGCAUCAGUUUUUAUGACAAAUUAAUGGGUUUCAUGGAAUAAUAAUAAUAAUCUUUCCAUUUCAAACAAAUUUGUUUAGAAAUUAUUUUAUUUUUGAUAAUCAAUAAACCCCAACUUGUUUGUGGACACAAAGGAGUUUUGAUGAUACAAUAGUAACCAACAUAAACAUUAUAUUAAAAAAGAACAUCGUUAUUCCACUUCAAAAGUACAAACUAUACUAAUAUUUAUAACAAUAAUAAUCCAUGGUGAUUCACUGAGCUACUUGUUCAAGUACUGGCUUUGGAGUGGACAAACUUAGCUGCAAAUCAGGUUGAUGAUGAUGACGAUGAUGAUGAUGAUUGGUUGUUGUUUGAAAAUUGUUGAUCGUAAUUGAGCUUGAAGAUUUGUUGAUGGGGGAUUGAAGAAACUUGAAAUAUGGCUCAUGAUGACGUUGAUUAUAAUGAUACUCAAUCCAAUUGAGAUUUGUUAAUUCUGAAAUAUUUGGAAUUGGAGUUGGAUUCCCAAAGGAAAUAUUAUUGGAUGAAGCUGGUUGGAUAUUAUAAUUAUUAUUGGUUGGUUUCAAAUUGUUGUUGAUGCUGCUGCUGCUGCUGCUGCCUUUUUCAACCACUUGCACUGUCAAUUUGUCCCUUGCUGCAGCACCCUGUUGUCAUUCAUAAUAAACCAUAAACACACAUUUUUCUUUUGUAGUAUAUAGAGUAGUGAAAGUCAUUUACAAUCCCAAUAUUCAAAACCUAAUCAUCAUUGAAUUUGACACCAACCCUACAAAAAAGAAUCAUUCUAAAACACACAACAAUGAAAGGAUUAAAUUGAAAAAAACAACUCAAUUAGCUUUUCUGUUUAUUAUUUGGUUAUUGGAGAACCUUAGAAUUUCAUUUCUGUAGUUUAUAAUUAUAAUUCAGUUUUUAGGAUUUUAUCAAACCAUAUUUACUUAAAUUCUAAUUAAUAUUGAAUUGUAUUUUACUUUAGUGAGUUUUAGUUUAGUAUUAUAUAUUAUAUAGAUACGAACUGGUAUUUAUAUUAAACAAUUAGUUGUUAAACUUCACCUUCCUUCUCGUAUAUAUUUAUUAUCAUUGAGUAUUAUAUGUGUUUAAUUAAUGACUAGUCAAUAAAAAAGGAAAGUCUUAUACGUAUGCAAAUGGGUUAUUUAAAAGUAAUAGAAUAGUGUGUAUUAUUAUUUAUAUUGGAAGAGGAAUAUAAAACAUUAGUGACGAACUAAUUAAAUUUAAGUAUAUAUUGACAAUAUUGGCUUUUGUCUUUUAUUUAUAUGAAUAUUCACUUACUUAGAAAAUUGGGUUAUCAUUCAAAAUUCAAUCUUUGGCAAUUGGCACAGAGAAAAAACAGAAAUAAAAUAUGUGAAAAAUUAGAGAGUUUUGAGAGGGGGAAGUUUACGUCGAAAAGGCUGGGACGACGCUGUUUUCUUUUGUUGAGAGUUGUGAGUCGUAGAAAGUAUUUUUGUGCAUGACUAGCUACUUGAGUCGGAGUUCUUGUCGUCACAAAUUUCCUCGAAAUUCCUCUCCAAUCUCCUUUUCCAAGCUUUUCUAACCCAAUUAGAAACACCUUAUGCUCCUCUUCACUCCAUGGUACACCUAUUCAAAUACCAAAAACAUCCCGAGCUAGUAAGUUGGUGAAACGAUAAAACUAAUUAUAUAAUCAGCUAGAACGGAGAAAAGAUGAAAUGAUAUUCCUAGCUAGAAUUCAAGCAUGCAAUUUAAUGCUUUAAUACCAUAAUUAACCUAAAAAAAUAAGAAAUAAGAAUAGCCAUAUGACCAAAACGAAAAGGAAAAAGAAUAAUUAAAAGAAGAAAAACCAUGUUUUUGUUUUGAAUCUUUUGAAUUCAUGAUGAAUGAUUCAGUACAGUGCAAGAAAAAUUACCUUUUUUUCUUUCAUGGGUUUUGGCGACGAGGCCGUCUGAGAGAUAUCCAUUUGACAAUUUCUCAGAAGAAGAAGAGGACGAUAAAGAUGAAGAAGCCGAAGAAGAAGAAGAAGGCAAAGAAUCCAAACUAAUACUCUUCUUCAACAAGGUGGUAUGAUGAUGAUGAUGAUGAGUUGUUGUUCCAUUAUCAAUGAGUUGAACUCCAAAUAACUUAAACUUGGUUUCUUUAUGCUUUUGAAUGGUGCAAGUUCUUGAAUUGUGACCCACAUUCCCACAGUGUGAGCAUUUCCUCACCAUCUCUCUCUCUAUCUCUCUCUCUCUCUCUCAAAUGGAAUCUCAAACUAACACCAAAUUCUUUCAAAAGUAUAAUAUAAAGGGUUUAAAAAGGAAGGGGUAGCUGUGUUGUUGUUUUGAUUAAAUUAAAUUAAAUCAAAUCAAAUCAAUAGGGUUUGUGUUAAUUAUUAAUUAGUGAAGAAAGAGAUAUGAUCCUCUCCUCCUCCUAGGUUCUUUCUUUAAUGAUUAUUGACGUAAAUAGCAAGUCAAGAGGUGUGUGUGUUUGUGUCUCAUUGGAUCAUAUUCUUUUUCUUAUAUGAUAAUAAUAAUGAUAUGAUAAAACUUAUCCUAAAAAUGGCAUCUUUUUUAAAACUCCCACAUGACCAACGUGACCUUAUAUUUGUCCCAUUCUUUCUCAUAUCUCUCUAUUUUAUUUUAUUCUUUCUAUCCAUUUUCACCUUUUCUUUCUUUCUUUCUUUCUUUUUACUCUCAUUUCUACUUAUUCUAAGUAAGUUAGAUUACAUAUUUGCACACGAAUAGUUUGAAAAUUUUAAGGGUUUUUCUUUAAUCCUAAUAAUACUUCAUUUGAAUUUUUAAAGAAUUUUUUAUACCUAACAAUAGUUUUUGAAAUAUUUAUAAAAAAUUAACAGUAAUAAUACUAAAACUUUUAGAAAUUUAUCAAAAAAUAUAUAUAGUAAAUUUGACAUUCUAUCCAUGUAAAUAUAAGUAAAUAUUUUAAUUUAUUUUACUACUUUAAAAAAUGCUCGAAAAAUUGUAGUAGAAAAUAUUUACAAAAUUUAAAAUUUUAUCAAUUAUGGAUGUAUAUUAUUUGAAGGUGUCUUUUUUUAUUUUUUAAGUAUGAAACAUAAUUUUUUAAAAAAGCUUAAGAAGAUAUGUUUAAUUUUUUUUCUUUAAAUUACUAUUAUUUGUUAUUGAAAUUGGGGUGACCACAAAAUUCCCACCAUACAUUAUUGUGAUGGGAAAAAGGGAGUGAUGUUGAUACCAACCAACAAAACCCUAUUUUUAGUUGGAGAUUUGCCCAAAAAAAAAAAAAGAAGAAAUUUGAAAUAAUUUCUUGAAGAUUGCUCCAUAUAAAAAAAGAUGGGAUAAAAAAGAGAAUGAUUACAAGCAAGUUGGCAGAACAACUACUGAAAUAUCAACAUUCAACACAUUGUGACCAUACAUUUUUGUGGAAGCUAUUUCCAUUGAUUAUAAACUUCCAAAUCAAACAUUUCCAUACAUUCCCUACACACACACACAAAAAUACCAACUGUUUCUUUUAGAUUUUCAACUUUGUUAACUAUCACGUUAAUGUGAUAUAUAUGUAUUCAAUUUUCUUAACAUAUUAGUUAACUUGUCAAGUUGGCAAAAACCUUAAUUUCAAUAGUAUUUUUGGAAAGCAUUUUAACCUAUAGUUUUUAAGACGAAGGACAAAAAUGAAUUCCAUAUGAGUCUAAAGUUCAUUAAUUCUUUUGUAUAUGAUAAGAAAGGUAAGGCAUUGGCCAUCAAAUCUCACCAUUUAGAAAUCCCAUGUUGUCUCCAACAUGGUGGACCAAAUUUCCAUACCCACAAUAUCAUUAUCCCCUCUCUCUCUAUAUAUAUAUAUAAACUAUAUUAUUACUAUUUCUAUAUACUUUGCAUAAAUAAUAAUAAUAAUGCUUUGUGUUUGUCUAACAUGAGACAACUAAUUAACAACUUAUUAUAAUCUCAUUCUCUUUAAACAUAAAACCCUAAUUCACAUUAACCCAACUUGUCCCUGUACUAUUGUUCUAAUAAUAGCAUUUUUCACAUUGCUAUAUAUUUAAUCAUCCAAAAAGUAUUAUUUAAUUGAUUAUAAUUAAUUAGGUGACAAUUUUGUUAGAAUAUAUAUAAGUGAAUUAGCGAAUUAAAUUUAUGAAGAGAUUAUAUAUAUAUUUUUUUUAACCUUUUCAAAUGGUAAAAAGAAUUACUAACACAAUUUAUUAUUUACUUGAGUAUUAAGCAUCAUAUUUUAGGGAGGUGAAAAUGUUUUCUCUACCCAACAUUUACUAAUUAACUCUUUUGUUUUUACUGACCCUUUUCAAACUUUACACCAAAAAUAUCGUAAAGUAGUUUUAAUUUAAGCAUAUAUAUAUAUAGGGUGUGAAAAUGAUAAUGAUGCAUCUUUUUCUUUUAUAAAGUAGUUUGACUUAAUCACCUCUCCCCAUUUCAAUAUUCUUUUCGAUAAUUAAUCAAUGGACUUUCCCUUACCUGCACUCAUCUCGUUUUAAUAUUAAAAACUAAAAUAUCACAUAUACAAACUGCACCAAUCGAUGAUAAGUACUAAUAUCUGUCCAAGAAAUAUGUUUUUUUCUAAGUAAUUAAGAAACCAUCAUGUAUAACCACACUAAUUAAUUAAUUUACUUAAUCUCCUGUUUCUUUGGCCUAAUUAUUAAAAUCCUAGUUGCAAUCUGAAAAGGUGUAGUAUAAAUUAAUUAUACACAUCACACUUUGAAUGUAACCUUUUCUUGUUCCCUUCAUUUCUCUUUAAUAUUUAAGGCCAAGUUGAGUGGAUAUCUUAUUAAUUUAUCAAAAUUAAACUCUAAUAUAUAUUGGUGAAUUUGACUGCUACUUUGGUUUCUACUUUGAUAUAAAAUUAGCAUAUGACAUAAAAAUAAUUAACUAAGUUGUUUUUUAUUCACUGUCGUCUAGUGAGUGAAGGAAGAUAGUUAAAGUAACACAUAAUGUAAGUUAUUAUAUGUUACAAAAUUAAAGCAUUAUCAUUUAAAAUAAUGGGAAUUAAAUUAUAAAUUUAAUAAAUCUUUCCAAACCAUAUAUUAUACUUUUAAUUGAAUUUUACAUUUAAUUGGAUUUUAAACUUUCAAUUUGACUAACCCAUUUAAAUUUUUAGGACUAAAUUUGUAAAUCUAAUAUGAAAUUAAUAUGAUUCAAGCCUAUUAAUUUAAAACAUUGUUGAGUUUCUAUGUAUGAAAUUAUGGUGAAUCUUCUCGAAGAUAGUGACUAAAUAAAAUUAAUUAUCACAUUUGCUAUAGUGACGACUAAAUAAAUAAAGUAACAAUAUCUUAAUUAAGGAAUAACGACAAAAUUAAACUUAUUACAAAUAAUUAAUAUUUAAAACGAAGCAAUAUAGAGAGAGAAGAAUCAAUUAUGGAAAUAAUAAUUAAUGGAAGUUUAAGAUAAUGUUUUAAAUUAACAAAAAAGUAUAUGGACCAAUUUGGUUCUCCAAAGUUCAAAACCCUCUAUUAAUUAAAUUAUAGACAAUUAAUUAAGAAAAUUCAACUUGAAUCUAUAUAAAAGCUUAAUUAAUUUAGAGAUAAUGACCAAAAGCUUAGGGGUUGUGUGGAGAUCAUUUGCUUUAAAAAACCCUACUUAAUUUUUUUUAAUACAAAAUAAUUAUGAGUGAUGGGACCAACUCAACAUCCAAACCAAAAUUUCUAAGGUAAUUAAUUUACAUUGUGGAUAUUAAUUAAUCAUGCCAUUUUUUAUUUCCAAAAUUAGACUUUAUUAUAAGAAAAGUUAAGUCUAACUUAAUUAAUUGAUUACAAAUUAUGAAAUUGACUAUUACACGAUAGGUUGAAGUGAUCAUAACAUAAUACUAAUGCAUAUCAAAUUAAUCUAAUUAGUGCAUCUAUGAUUCUUAAUUAUAAGAAAACAAUAGUGUUUAUAAUUAAUAAUGGAAAUAAAAUUAGACUAAUUCAUUGAAUAUGGUCUAAAUAAUCAGGUAAUUAAUUAAGGCAAUGAAUAUAAUCAAGGGAUGUUCUCUCUAUCUCCAAUAAUCAUGCAUGAUAUAGGAAAUUAAAGUUGAUUAAUUAAGAUGGUUGAAUAUUCCCUAAUGUUGACAUUCUUCUUUCUUUUUUAUUAAUUUUGCUGUAUUGAUUAAUAGUUAUUUUUUAGUCCUGACAUUAAGCUUAAUUAAUUUUACGUAUAGUUUAAGGAUGAUUAAAUUACAUGUGUGAUGUCACUUGAAAAUGUGUUGAUUAUUUAAAUUAUAAGCAACCAUAUUAUUGCAUAUGAAAUGAAAUUAAACACUAAUUAAUUUGCUCUUGCUCUCAUGAUUAAUAUAAUUAAAUUAGCCUCUUUAGGUUACGUGAUGCAUCUGCCCUCUAACUUAUCUUCAAUUGGUUUAUUAGAGUGAUAUAUAUGUAAGAAAAGGAAAUUAAAUUAAAUUAAGAAGAUAAUUUUUCUUAAUUACAAGCUAUCAAAUUGUUAGCUUAAUUAAUUAUGAAGAUUAAUAAGGCAUACUUUAUUUAAAAGAAAACUAUGAUAUACUAUAAAUAAAAGUGUAUAUGUCAUCAUGUAAAAUGAUAUUCUGAAGUUUGAAGAACACACAGACUAUUAAAUUAGUAUUAUAUUGUGAAGACAUGUAGAGAAUUUGGUUACAAAGUUUUGUAUUAGUCAUACAAAUUUUAAUUAAUAUAGGUCUAAUUCAAUCCUUAUUAUUAAUUAAGAUUUAAGUCAAUAAUCCAACAAAAAAGAUUACAUGAUAUUUUCUUUCUCUUGUUAAUUAAUAUUAUUCACACCUAAGCAAUAAUAACAUAUAUUCACAUUAUUUAUAUUUGAAAAAUAUUAAUUAAUUAUACCAAUUUAAAUCUUAUGUUAUAGAGUGAAUCAAUUUAACCUAUUUAAUUUCUAAUUGAAAGGUCUAAAUUGGAUUAAUAUUUUUAAAUUUCAGUGUUCAAAUCAAUAUUCUUACUAACUGUGAGGGGUAAAUAAAUAAUGUACUUAUUCAAAAUUAAGAGAUAUUUAAUUAUGUUCGUUUUACAAUUUAUCAAACGUUGAUCAGAACAAACUUCAUAUAUAAUCUAAAUUAGAGUGAUAUAUUUCAACCGACACGAAUCUCUCACCUAACUCCAAUAAUAAAAAAUAUAACUUGUGAAGUCAUUAAAUUACAUAAUUAAGAAAAACCAAUAGUUAAGAGGAGAAUAUUCAAGAAUCUAAAGACAACUAUACUAUACCAUAAGACUAAGCAAUUUUGGAAUCAUGUCUACAUCUUUUAUCUAACCAAAUAAAACAAACAAAUAAAGUAAAAGCCAUUGACAAACAAAAUUCCUCUAAUAAGCAAACUUUGGUUAUGAUUGAAAAUUAAACUAAGCCAAACUUUGCACCCUAAGUCAAAAAGGGACCCUCCUAAUUAUCUUAAUCACGACUAUUUAUUUACAUCAAUGAGUUUAAUUAUGAUUUAAUGUGUUUUUUAUUAAAAUUUUAUCUCAAUUAAUUUAAAAUUAUUUUUAAAUAUAGUAAAAUAAAUUAAAAUAUUUAUAAAAAUAUCAUAUUUGAUAGGACAUAAUAUAACUAUUUAUUAUUUCUAUUGUCGUAUAAAUUCAAAUGGAAAUAAACUAUGAUUUUAAUUAUUUUUUCCAUCAAUACCUGUUUUUUUUAAGAUGAACAAUAGAACAUUAAUCAUUUAAAUAAUUCUUAUGAAAGAUUAAAAUAUUGGUUUGAAAAAUAAGUCAAUAAUUAUUUUAGCAUUAUUCCCAAUAAGAAAUGCUAUUAAUCUAAUAACCAUUUGAAAUUCUAAGGUUGUGGUUGUGAAGUUUCCUUCUGUACUAAUAUAUAUGAAAUGAAUGCAUAUGUAUAUAUUUAACUUUUAUAUUUUGAAGGAAUCAUAGGUUAUAUGUAUAUAUUUAUAUUUGAAUAAACAUGUCAUUAAAAUACACAAAUUAACAUUUAGAGGUCCAAUUAUGAUUUAAUUUGAUCAUUCCUUUUGUAAUUUUUUAACUUAAUAGAAAAAUGGACAAAUGCCAAACUGAGUAUAUAGAUUACUAUUUAAGCACAUGGUCUCUUUAUUGUCUAUUUGUAUUUUGUCCAAUUAAUUGUUAGUUCUUACACAUCUCCUAGCAAUAAUUUUGAUGUCACAUAUAUCAUAUUAAAGUAUAUUAUAAUAAAGUGUAUCAAAUUAAAUUUAGUUUAUAGUUUUUUUUUUUCUUUGUUAUAGUUCAAAUUUGAUCCCUAUAAUUUUCAAAGUUUCAAUUUAGCCCUUGUUAAUGAUUGAAACUCUCUCCUUUACUUGAUGUCAUCUUCUAAUAUACAUAUAACCAACAUAUUAACAUAUCUUAGAUGUAUUUAAGAUGCAGUAAUGUCUUGUAAUAUAACAAUAGAGAUAAUUAGUAAAAUGCAACCCAACUGUGGUGAUGAAAAUGACCAUUAGAAAACCAGUACACUAAAUUGAAACUAUAACUAAAUUAAUUAGAUGUAUGGAGUGAUAAACAUUCAUAAUUUCAUACCUCCCCACAAUCAUAUCAAUGUAGUUAUUAUAACGUAUAUCAAAGUUGUUAAGUUCGUCGAAACUGCUACUCUCUUUAAUAGCAGCAGGUCAAGACUUCUUUCUGAUAUUUGAGAUUUUGAUCAUCACAACACAUUCUAUUAGAUUAUAUUUCUCUUUUUUGUCCACAAAAUUGUAAUUUAAUUGCUCACAUUUUGGAAUGUAAUGCACCAUAAACUGACGUCCUUUUCGUAUAGCUUAAAGAUCAUUCUCCACAUGUUAAUGUUGCUCUGUCAAAAUGAUAUUCAUCUCUUUGCUUUUCUUAUAUAUUGAACGAAAAUGGACAUUCAAACUCUCACGUUUUGGGCCGGGAUGUUAGGCCCCGGGCCGGUUUCGGGAGUUAUAAAUGGGCCGCCUUUAACUAGUUGGGCUUGGGCCGUAACAUGAAAAAGCAGUAUUGGGCAAAUCCUGUAAUUCAUACAGAAAGCAGGGGUGAAUUUGCAAACUUGGUCAAAAUUUAUUGAUAUCAAUAAUUAAUAUUUACAUAUCAUAGCUUAAAUGAUUUUACUUUAUGGCAUGUAAAGUCUAUCCACUACCAAAAAGAAAUUGCCUUUUUUAACUAUAUUUUCUAUUGUUCUUUAUGUUUAAAUUUUAUAUUUUACUUUUUUUGUCAACUUGAUCUUUUAAAAUAUUACAUUAUGUCAAAUGUAUUAGAAAUUUGUUGAUAAUUUAAAAACAAAUUGAAAGACCAAUGACCAAUUUUUAGGACACAAACAAACUAAAUAUAGUUAUUAAUAGCACCAAAUAAAGGUAUUGAGAUUUUAUGAUAUGAAGUUUAUUAAUAAAAAUUUACUCUCUAAUACAAUUUAUUUAUUUUGUGUCUAAUAGAUUCUAGAAAUUUAAAAAACACUCUCUUAAACUAAAAAUCAUAGCAAAACGAAAAAAGAAAUUGAGAAUAAUGUUUUUAUUUGUUGAGUUCUUUCAAAGAAAAGAAAAAAGAAAUUGAGAAUAAGAUUUAAUAUUUAGAAUAUUAUAAAAGUUGGGACAAAACGAAGACAAGAGUCAUUUAAAACAUACCAUAGUACUAUGCACUAAAAAAUGCUAAUUAUUAGUGACAAAGAAGACCUUUCACAUCUAUGCUUUCACUUUAUUGCUAAAGGGACCUUAUAAAAGCUUCUUUAAAAAAAAAUAUUAAAGGGUAUAUUUUUACAUUCGUACAACUUAUCCUUUGAAGAUAUAAUAAGACUAAAAAUAAUUUUAUUUAGUAGGUUAAAAUUUGUUAUCGAAAGUUUAAGAGUAUAGUUGUAACUUUUACUAUACUUUGAAAAUAGUUUUAAUUUUUGUAGUUAUUGAGUUUUUACAAUAUCAUUCAUGAUGUCAUAGCAAUAUUUAAAAUAUAGAAUUCAAAGUGUGACAUACUAUUUUUUAAAUUCUAACUUGCUAGUGAACUUAGAAUAGAACGGAUAAAACAAAUUAAUGUACUAAUGGUUAGUUUUCAAACGUGUUUGGUUUGGUCGGUAACGUGUAUGUUAGGAAGAUUUGAAACAUAUACUAUUUAGUAGAUACUAGUAUCACAUGUCAAUUGAGUUAUAAGCUGAAGGUAGAUACUAGGAUGUUAUUUUUUACCCUAAGAAAUUUAUUAUAUAGUUCAAAAGCAGGAUCAUAUUUUGACUGAGGAAUAAUUUUGGAGAUAAUGAAAAGCCCAAGAAGAAACCCCAUGUUGGUUGGUUUGAACUUUUGAUUGGUCUCUGUGUCUUUUCAAAACUGAGCACACUGCUCUGAGUCAUGGAGAGGUCCGGACAUUGGCGACCCACCAUGGAACCUCUCUCUGAAUCCCAAUGUGAACCUCUCUUUUAUCUUUCUCACCUUCUCCAUUUUCUUUCAAUUUUCUCCCUUUAAUAAUGGGGGUCGAAAGAGAUUGUGAAAAAAGGCACACAACCCCAAAACCCCUUGAAACCCCUCUUUUUGUUUGUCAAAAUUGUUUGCUUCUUCAAAUUGAAAUUCCAGUUUCUGGGUUCUGAAAUACACAAAAAGCAAAACCCAAGUUGAGAAGAAAAAGGUAGUAAUCAGUAUUCUCUUUUAGUAGUAGUACAGUAUGUGAAACCAAAAAAUGGGUCAGGAAAAAGAGCUAAGCUAAGAGACAUUGAAUUUGAAAUAUUUUGUCUUGCAGUGUGGAUUGCCAGCAUUUCUCUGUUUGGGUUUGCAGGCAAACCAAGCAAGGAACAGACCCCACAACCUCAGUUUUUCACACUCAACCAUGUGGUAAUGGUAAGAAAAAACAUAUAUUUACUAUCAAUUUUAGUUUCCUGAGUUUUUUUCUUUUCUUAUUUUUGUCAUUGUGCUGUCAAAGAAUUUGUUCUUGGAAAAUCAAUCUCGAGGUUUGAGUUUCUUUAUUAUCCAACGUGGAAGCUGAAUGAUAAUUACACUUGAUUUUAAUAAAUGUACUGUCUUUUCUGUGAAAAAUAUUUUUUCUCUUUAAACUUUCAAGAACCGUACACUCUUUGAAGCAUAUUUUGUCUAUUAAACUCUUCAUUAAGAAAGAACCUUCUCUUUCCGUUCUUACUUGAGUAAUUAUUAAAGCCCACUUUAUGAGAGAAAGAGGUCUUGGUUGGAACUUCUUGAACCUGAAACGUUAGUUGACCUUGACAGGACAGAAAUUGGAUUAGUACUUUCAGAGAGACAAUUGAGAUGGUUAGAAAUUAAACCCCUUUAAUGGUUUCACUUACCAAGCCUGCAGUGCAGAGAAAAAGGCAAAAGCCAGAAGCAUUCUCUCUAGUAACAGCUACAUGGAAGUGUUGCACCAACAUUGAGGUUGUAGGUCCACAUUAUUUCCUCUAGUUAUUUCUGGUCAUUAUCCAGAUCCCAUUAUCGCUACUUGGUCAGAGCUCUAAAGAAAAAUCAGAGAAAAGAUUUAGAAAAUGGAGGGAAAAGUUUGGGUUGUAUCACAUCAGAUCCAACGGCAGAGCUCUAGAUUUAAGAUAGAAUGGUAAUGGAAAAUGGAAUCCUGAUCCGAGAAAUGAAGGCUAUCUAUUUGCAUUGUUUCAUCAUUCUGGUGUUACUCAAUGAAUAACCAUAAUGGUCCGAAUACGAAUAUUAAGGAAGGUUAGUCUAAUAAUUGAAGAAAUGCAUACACCCAAAACUAGCUGAUGGGUGCUGUUUUCAUUGCGAGACAUUAAAUUUGUCAAAGAUAUCCCACAAGAUCUUCUCGUCAGUUUUGGUUUGCUUGCAUCAUCAUUUUCAGGCUCUUUUCUCUCGCCUUUCUCUGAGACUAUAUCUGUUCAAAAGUACACUGCUGAAACAGUAGUCUCUCUUUUUUCACAUUUGAUUGCCUUAAGUUCUUAGUUGUUUGAUUCUGAAGAGAAAGUGUGAUACUUUGUUACUGUAUUACUCUUGCUUCUCAUCACUUUGGCUUUCUUGUUCAGAAUAGCUUAAAAAGAAAGGGACUGUCUGAAAAAUGGUGCUGAGAAGACCUGGCAGGAACAGGAAUUUCAACAGAGAGAAUCCAGAUAUUUUGAUUAUGAUGAUUGCAGUGGAUCAGAUAAUAAGAGGUUGUGAGCAGGACAAAGGAGAUGGCACAGAGAGGAAGGGGAUGGGCCCUUUAAAGCCUGCAACAAAGAGUGAGUGGUUUCUGCAUCCCAAGAGCUAUGGUCUCUCCUCUUUCUUGCUCUCCACCCCCUGGUUUUCUCUUGUGCGGCUGAUACUUCCUUCUAUCUUUAUUUAGUGGGUCCAUUUCCUCCAUCUCCACCUUCAUGCAGAGUCCUCUUUUUUGCCUCUUCACUCUCUCUCUCUUCCUUUUAAUGGUUCUCUGAGAUGGGUGUCAUUCAUUUUCCAGAGCUGUACGUAUUUUAGCUUUAAAGUUUGAGAACAGAGAUUGAGAUUAUACAUCUCCCUGCCGUUCAAUCCUCCAAACUUAAGCUUCUCGGGGUUUGAGCGCUUGAAGCUAUUCCAUUCUCCUUUUUUCAUGCAAAAUUUUGUAUCACUUUUCUUUUACCAUCGGCUUUAUGUUGUUGUGAUUUGGCAGAAGCCGGAAAAGUGGGAAUACAGCACCAGUCAUUAUUACUUCUUUUCCCCUUGUUUUUUUCUAUAAAAGCAAAGCUUCUCUUCCACUUUAUCUGAACUUUCACAAUGGCACCCUUUUCUGGAGAAACAAAAGAAACCAAGUUCUUUGAAUCUUCUCCUUUUUCUUUUUUAAGUUGUCUUUGAUCACCUGUGAGUGAAGAACCAUAAAGCAGUGAACAUUAUAGCAAUUUUUUUUCGUUUUAUAACUUGCAGGUUUAAAGCUCUUCACUAAGCCAUCACAUCCAUUUAAUUUGCUUAGAAAUUCAGGACACGGUCAUUUUUUUUUCAGGGGAUUUGGUGUGGGGCUUUCGCUCUAAGUUUCUCAUCCUAUAUAGGAUGACAGAGAUUCAUCAAAUGGAAGGUUGGUUUCUUUGUCAUUUUAUGCUAAUGGCUCAAUGUUUAUGUUCUGGCUGGUGGUUUACAGAGUGAGUUUUGAUGUGGACCUUUAUUUCUUCUGUCUUGUAUGAUGUUAUGUUUGUUCCCUCCUUUGUAUCGUGUGUCAAAAUAAAUUGAACAUCUUCAACGAAUGGCUUGUCAAUAUUAAUUUUUUGCUGGUCCCUAAACGUAACAUGCUUUUCACUCUUGUGGCAAUAGGUUCUGGAUAUGUUACAACUACUAAUUUCCCUUUCCAACUCUGAAUAAUAAUAAUAUAGCAUAGCCUGUCUCUAGAGGAAUGUGAAUUUGGAUGUCUGGAUUGAGCUGCAAGUUCAUUUCUUUUUCCAUUCAACUGAGAAGUUCAUUUUUUGUUUGAUAAUGCUAUAUUGACUUAUAAAUGCUAUUGAAAUCGCAGCUAAAAAGUGAAUGUGGUUUGAAUCGAGUAUGUUAAUCUCAGCUGUUGCUUUGGAUAAAGAAUGGUAGUUUUCCGUCUAGACUGCGUAUGGGUGGGCGAAUGAUUUGAUGAAUGCUCUGGUGGAUAUGGUAAACCCAAAUUCUGUUGUUGUAUGUGAAAUUCUGCCUCUUGGCUUUUAGAACUCAGUUGAUACGUCCAAUUAAUGAACUAAGCAAUAUUACAGCUGGAUUUCCUAUCUUUUUAAGUCUGCGGGAGUCUGGAUGCUCUGCUCUUACUAGUGCUGAUAAUCAUAUAGUUGAACAAUUGACAUUUUGAGGUUUUCCAAUGUCUACUGCCCUGCAACGAAUCGAUAUGGGAGAUGCUUGUCUGGGUCCCUCUGGUAAUGCUGAGUUUCAAAAUCAAUUGGCAGUAGCCAUUCCUAUUUCUCUGUUUCAAUCUACCUCUCUUGCUCCAGUGAAUGAUAUUCGUGGAAAUACAAAAGAUUCAGCAUUUCCAGACCCACAGUUCCAGCAAUUAGAAACCUUUAGAACGUGCUUCUUACACAGUUACUCUAAUGCUUCAAAUUCUUCAUUUGCAAGUUCUCUGAUCUGUGAAGGUGAUGAGUCUCUAUGUAAUGCAAAUAAUAAGUGGGAAAGCGAUAGGUUUCAUUGUAUUCAGCAACUUUCUGGGGAGAAUCCGGAAACAUCUGAUUCCCAGACCGUCUUGUCCAUGGAACACCUGCACCAGAAUGGCUGGAUGUCAUCUAACACUAUGAACUCUAAGUUAUGGAAUGAGCUUUCUCUAAGCCUUGCUACAACCGAACCCGUCCUCAGUGGAGGAACUGAUUUCCUGGACCAGUAUUCUCAGUUGACUUUUUCUGGUGCUACUCAACCUUGCUUGAACAGCACAGAAUUAGCCUCGAACUUAAAUUCAGGCAGCUCUAGGGACCUCUCUCUAAGUUAUGGAUGUGGUAAUUCUGUUCGCCUUUCUCGAGCAAUAGCAGGAUCUAGAUAUCUUUCGGUCAUUCAAGAUGUACUUUCUCAAAUUGCAAGCUAUCCACUGGAAAACUCAGAUCAAGUUGAUCAUUCAACUACUGCAACUGGGUUUGUGCCGUUGUCAUCAUCAAGUUCCCUGGAUGAUGCAACGAUUGAAUAUGGUUCUGAUGUUACUGGUAGAUACAGUUCUCAAAUGGAGCCGGAAUGGCAAAAUCUAUCUGUUGAUGCCAAGAAGUCCCAUCUGUUGACUCUACUACAAUUGGUUGGUUAAUUUAAUAUAGCGUUUCUCUGAUUUUUAUCUUUUUACCCUUCUUAUACUGAAAAACUUGAUAGUGUUUCAGAUUGAUGAGAGGUACACUCAAUGCUUGGAUGAGAUUCAUACCGUUACUUCUGCGUUUCAUGCUGCUACUGAUUUGGACCCUCGCUUGCAUACUCGAUAUACACUCCAGACGAUCACUUCGGUGUAUAAAAACUUGAGGGAGAAGAUUACCAGUUGUAUUUUUGCUAUUGGGAAGCAUUCUAACGCAACGUGCACCAAGGAGAAGGAAAAAUUCUUUGAGGCAACAUUCUUACAGAAGCAGUGGGCUCUCCAGCAGUUGAAAAGGAAAGAUAAUCAAUUAUGGAGGCCACAGAGAGGCUUGCCUGAAAAAUCUGUCUCCGUUCUUAGGGCAUGGAUGUUUCAAAAUUUUCUCCAUCCGUAAGAUUUUGUGACAAAUCUGGUUUACUUUUUGAAGAUACGUAUAGUAAGUUGAAGGAAUGUUUGUUCUUUGGUGAUUUUUCAGGUACCCCAAGGACACAGAGAAGCAUUUACUUGCAGUAAAAAGUGGAUUAACUAGAAAUCAGGUUCUUGCUGCUUCAAGAUUUCCUUCAACUUUCAUGAGUUCUCCUCACUUUUACUGAGUUCUGCUAUUCUGGACUUUGGACAGGUGUCUAAUUGGUUCAUCAAUGCUCGUGUCCGAUUGUGGAAACCGAUGAUCGAGGAAAUGUAUGCUGAAAUGAGCAGAAGAAAAUCCAAUCAAAAUGAGGAGGGAAUCGAAAGAAUUCAUUGUCCCAGAUAAGCAUUAGCAGUGAGAAGAUGUGGCUCGAACUGUGAAAAUGAUAGACAGUAUUGAGCACUGUAUGGAACUUGAAUUGAUUAGAAAAGUGUACUAGACUGAAUUAAAUUCAACUAUAUAUUCUUUUUGACAAUUUAACCUGAGAAAUUUCUUUAGCUUCGCAUUCCUGGCUACAUCAUAAUAGACAAUAAAAUGCAAUUAGUCAGCAGAGAAACAUCACCACAAACUUCAUUCUGAAAAGAAGGAAAAAGAAAACACGAUCAAUAAGCGAAGUUCAAUCUAAAAACAUUAUUUAUUAAUUGAAAAUAAAUAAUUCUGAGAUUUACAGAGAAUGGUGCCCUCCUCCUCAACUAACUCUUUUGAUUACAAAUGAAAGAAUGACAAUUUCUGAUUUCUGCCUAGAAGUUUUCACUAUCAAAUAUUCUGUUUCCUUCUUUAUCUACACCCCACACCCACACCUCUCAUUCACGAACUGAUGGAUUGCCAAAGAAAAAACAAAAAAAACUGUCCCAACUCCUCACAGUACAUAUAAAUACAAAAAGUGAUUAAUAUUUUUUGUUGCGCCUCCUUUCAUCGUCUUGUUGUUCUAGACUUGCAAGGAGAUUCUUGUUUUUAUCGGUUUCAACUUCAAUCCCAUACUUUCUGGUGACAGAAGCUCGGGAGCUAUGCAAGAAGGGCUCAAGGGGCUUCUUGGGCUGACGCUAAAAUGAGAUGGCCUAUACAUGCCAUAUCCCAUGAGAAAAUACUCCAUAGGUAUCAACAUUGCAUCAGGCUGCUCCUCUGUCACCAUUGACCCACAUGACUGAACCUAAGAUGUGAGAAUAGCCCCUUUUAAUUCAUAGUAGUAUAAAGCUCGGUUUAUGAUUUUCAUGUAUAUUUAAUCUCCAAAAAGGAAAAAAGAAAGUUCAACAUACUUCCACUAGGGCACUGUAUCUUCUGUCUAGUUUGACAGUCAUGUGGUGAGCCUCUGAAUGGAACGGGGACCUGUCCCCAACAAAUAUCAAUGAACGGCACUUUAGUUUCCGUAACCCUUCUGAAAUGUCGGGUCUCCUGCAUGAAAGAAAAAAAAAGUUUAGGAGGGCCUUCGACCCCAUAUGUGUAUCAUCUAACUAAUGUAAUUUCACAUCAGAGGUAUAGAGGAAAAGGACCCCAACAAUUGUCAAGCACAAAUUCAAAGAUUGGAGUUAGAUGCUUACCCAUUCAUUGCUUCAAGAAACCUCCAGACGUUUGAACUUUGCCUCUCGUCAAGUGACUGUAGAAAGAACAUGAUCAUAAUGUUUGAUCAAACAAAUGCUCAACUCUUAAAAUCUGUCAAGUUUUCCAACUCUGGAAUAACUGACAGUUUAAAGUUGCUAAAAGAAAACGAUGAAAAUGCUGCAGUACUCACUCUUCUGCAUGCUUGAACUAAAUCUGACUCUGGUACUUGAGAACAACCACGAGCAUCCUACAACCAGCACAGUACAAAUGUCUAAUCAAACUCAGUUGGGAUGAAUAACUCUAGUAAGAGAGUUUGAGUUUGUGCAAGUAAACCUGCAGUUGGUCUGUGUUUAAGUUGAGAAGAAAAAAGAGUUUAAAAGUUCACACGUUCAAGUGCAAUUUUCAUAUCAUCAAAUUGGUUUUGAAGGAAUAAAAACCGAUUUCAUGGUGAUUUUGAAAACAAAGCAAUUUUCAUUUUUAGACCUACCUUACUGAAAUACCGCUUCAGCAACAACUCCUUCACUACCCCACACAUGCCAUAGAAAUAAAGCAAAUUUGACAUCACCUGCAUAUGGAAAAUCUGUUAAUAAGAUGAUUCCAAUAAACCAGAAGACGAUCAUAAUAGUUCUUUCGUUCAGAAAGACGACCUUAUUAUACAACCAUUCUGUCCAACAGGGCGCUGUGCAUAUGGGAGAAAUCAAUAUCAAACCAUGAACACGAUGUCUGUGCUUCAUCUGCAACCAACAAGUGCAAUCAAUAUAUGACAAAAGUUUACAAGAGGAACUGAAAGAAAAAACCAUGGGGGGGAAGGAUAAAGUAAUCAAGUGGAUGGUGAACAAAGAGAAAAAUUACAGCAAAGAGAGUGAGGAUGUAUGCUCCAGCAGUAACACCCAUACACAUCACAGCACUAAGUCUGGGAGAAAGAUAAAGAAGAAGAGUAAGUCAUCAGAUCCGUGCAUAUUCAUUUCGGAUAGAGCUCAAGUGUAAAACAAAUAAAACAGCAAAGCAUCAGACCAGUGGAAUUCAAAACUUUAAACAAGUCGAAGUUAUUAAAAAAAAAUUGAAGAUAGCCAAAAGGAAUAUCGAAUUACCCAAAAUAGUUAAGAACUUCAGCAAUUUGAUCUGCUAAGUCAUCUGCAGAAAGUACAGGAUCAUCAGGGCAAAUUGCAGCAGCUCCUAACUGCAACUCUUGAACAAGGUCCCAUUAUGAGAAGAAUUCAUGUGGAAGUAAAAAAGACAACGUACUUGUUGGAAAGUUCAGUUUCAUUGAAGCAACACCAAAAAAAAAUUACACAGUAGAUUAUUUUGUACAUAGCAUAGAUUAAAAGAAAUUCACUCGUACAAAGUAAUUUAUUUUAUGUAUGUGUGUGGAAAAAAAAAUAAUGACAUCAGUAGAGAUAUUAGAACAUCCCAAUUAUACAAACCUCGUGUCCGGGAGGGCUGAUAUGAUAUAUGCAAAAGUUGUGAAGCAAUAACGAACAAGCUUCUGGACAAAACAUUAAUCCUUGGAAGCAGAACAUAUCUGAUAAAUAAUAAAACAUAGCACGUUUAAACAUUGGUAACAGGAAAAAUUAAAGAAAGAUUCUAAAAAUCAAAGUCACAAGUCAUAGAAUCAUUUCAUUUUAACCCCAUAUCACAAUUUAUUAACCUUACUAUCCUCUUUAAAUAACUUAUUUUUGUCUAUUUUCAAAGAAUAAGCUUGUCUAAUAAAAAUAAUGGAUUUCAAAAGCUACUAUUAAAAGAUUUAACAAUUAUGUGGGUGAAAACAAACCAAAAAGGCAGAUGUUCCAGCAAAAGGACUGUAGAUAAUAGAGGUAAGAAUAACCAAUAUUCUGGAUUCCAAAAAAUUCAACACGUUAAAUUUAAAACAAAAACUCCAUCUAAUCAACCUUAAACUCCAAAGUGUGUCUAAUUUAUUCAAAGACUCCACUUCUACACUCAAAAUCAUGUUUUGAAUAACAAUUUACAUGACACAUUCUACAUACUCACGAUUUAGAGCUAAAUCGGGAUAAGUGAUUAAAGCUGGCUUGUCCAGGUCUCCAACCACGGUGACAGAAACAACACCAUAACAGGUUUUCACAAGAUACUCCUGCCAAAAAAAAAUCGAUUGAAGAAAUAUUAGUUUUCAAACGUAGUCAUCUGAACUAGAGAAUGGACGCACCAAAAAAAGGCGGCAAGUAAUACAGAACCAUAAAAUGAACUACUAUAAAAAGGGAAUUGCAAAAGCUUAAAUAUAAGGAAAUUCGCAGUUGAAGACGCAAACAAUAAAACAGAUUAAAGAAAGUUAGUCUACUAAAAUUCAAAAUGUAUUUCUAAACUAGUAAAAAUCCCAACAUCCAUCCACUUUUGGUAGACCGUUGAAUUCCGAACGAAAAUCAACACCAAUUACCCUUAGAAAAUCUAACUAAAAUCAACAAUGCACAUCCAAAAACCUUAAUUACCUCCGUGUAAAACGAUCACUAAUUACACGAAUUCAUCCAAUAAAAAACAUAACGAACCCCAUGUUUCAAUUCAAUCCAAACUUCCCAGCAUGUUCUCAAAAAGCAAACAAAGCACAGUGUUCAAACACAUGAAACCAGACGGAUUUACACAAGCAACAGGAAAUGCAGGUACCUUUCCUCCACAAGAGAUCGACUCCAUAUCCACCGAAACCGAGUCGCUCGAAUCCCCCAUUUCCUUCUUCCCUUAUUCUCUCACCUUUCUCUCUUCCCCUAAAUCCUCCUUCCCUUAUUCGCUACUCAAUACACAGAAUGCUCCUUCUUCCUUUUAUAUACCACCAAAUCUCUUCAACAAUUCCACCACUACAUUAUUUGGGGGAAAAAUUUCAACUCGUCCCUUCGAAUCGUCCGAGUCAAUACGAGUCACCGACGCCGCGUUCCCCUUCCAUCGCACAUUGACAGAAACCUCACGAGCGCCCUGUAACGAACAAACUAUAACCCGAUACCCUGGUUGGUUUAACCAUGGUUAGGAAGCCGACAGUUUAUUUGAAAUUACUUAAAUACCCACAAUUUCCCUUGACAGCGACCUCCUCUCUUACCACAUGAAAAAGGGCGAUUUUCGUCUAUUCACGUUGAUUUUUUAAUUAGUAAUAAAGAGGGAAAUAGUAAGUAGUUAAGCUUUGACUAAGGAAGAGAUAAAAUGAAAAUAAAAUUAAUAUAAGGGAAGUGUUAUUUUUAUUUGUGGGACCUGCGUUUAUUUAAAGUAACGUAAUCAUUUAUAUUAUAAAGUAUAUAAUCUGUCACAAAUUUUGGGGAGAGGUUUUUCCUUAUUUUUCUUUUUUCAAUUAUUCCAUUUAUAAUAUGGUAUUGUAUUUUUGUUAUUUAUUGCAUUGCCUAAAAGUGGGGAGUGGAUUUAAUGAAAAUAAUUUUAGAGGAUCUACUUGUUUUUAAAUUAGUUUCUGUUUUUGUUAAUUUUGUUUAAUUACUUUUUUUUGUGCAUAAAUACAGUUGAGUUUUUAAUAGUAUUGUUGCACCAUUAAAGUUAAAACCUUUUCUUCUUCUUUUUCUUUUUAAUAAGGUUAGUUGUCAUAUACCAUAUUUUCUUGCCCUAAUAGAUUUCAUCCGUUUAUUGAAUAAUAAAUUAUUGCCUUUUUAAUUAAACUUUCUAUAAUACUCUAAAAAAAUAUCAUUUCGGGAUGAUUUUGUUUGGUAUAGGUGUGAAAAUGAUAGAUUGAAUCUCCAACUUAGUGAAGUAUAUGUGAAACAAAGUUCAACUGACAUUAGAUGUGUAUUGUCACAUUCUAUGUUAAAGGAUACCGAAUUCAUGAAUCUUCAAAACAAAAAACAUUAAACAAUAACAUGCAUCCAAACUAUUGUAAUAUUUUCGUGUGAAUGGUGUUGCUUGAGCGAACAUUUUUUAUAAAUAACAAUGAUGAAAUGUUACAAUUCUAAAAAAAAAUAACUAAAUUUUUUUUCAAUUUUUAUUACCCUUUAUUUUAUUAAAGAAAUACCAUUGAAACCCUUCUUAGAGAUUUUACUUACAGUGUCAAUUAUUUACGUAUAUACUUAUAGAACAAAAUCAUUAAAAUAUAUAAUUUGUUAGGUGUAAAUACAUCCUUAAAUGUUAUAUUUUUUUACGAAUUUUUCCUUAAAUUUGUAUAGAUUUAAAAAUAUUUGAUGUUAUAAGUUAAUAAAAGAAAAUGGUUGAAAAAUGGAAGAAUGUCCACGUGUAAAACAUAAGUAAAGAUCUCGACCGUGUAAUGUUUUAAGGAAUGCAAUCGAAAUAUUUUAUCUUUCAAAUAAAAUAAUACAAAAAGUAAAAAAGAUAUAUAUAUAAUAUAUAUAUAUAUAUAUAUAUUAAUAAUAACAUUAACAUAAUAUGUUUAAGAGAAGUGGAAGCAUAUAAUAUGUUAUCAUUCUUAUCCUCUUUUCUCUUUAUGCUUUACUCUGUUUUGGAAUUUUGGUCCACUAAAGAUAAGUGAAUGCUUCUUUCUUUCUUUUUCUUUUGAAAUAUUGAGAGAAAGAAAUGGUUGAUCAAAAUAUUAUAAUAAAUAAGUAAAAUACAACAUUUUGUUUUAUAUAUGCACGUUAUAUAUUUCACUAGGUUUGGAAAAUGAUGCGAUAUAUGUAACUCUAGAAUAUCAAACGUGGAGGAAUUUUAUUUGCUUAUUUGAUAAAGUUCUUUUAAGUUGAAAAGUUCACGUUAGUUUGUAAUUAAAACUUAAAACAUCGUAGUAAAGAUGAGAAUUAUCUUAACACAUGCAAUGUAGUGCAUCGUUUCUCAUCCAAACUUCAUUGUAUUGUUUGUUCUUCGUACUUCAUAUUGCAAGUGUAUUUUUAAGGUUUUUUUUUUCGUAAAUUGAUAAUACAAUUGCAUCAUACAAUUAAGCUAAGUUUGUUUGUUCUUUUAAGCAAAUUAAAAAUUAACAUGGUGUGUCUCGUACUGUUUUAAUUUUAGUUAUACUUGUUAAUUGAACAUUAUUAGACAAUUUAAUUCAAUAGUUGAUUUGUUAUAGGAUACCUUAUUUAAAUUAUAUAUUUAUUAUUUUGUUGAACGAUGAAUCGAAGACUAAUAUAAUACAUAUGUGAUUAUGUAUUUUUUUUCAAAAUGUGAAUAUAUUGCUAUAUUUAUUUGUUAUAAUAAAUCUAUUUACAUUCGAAUAAAAAUAACUAGUGAAUUUUGUAUCUUUUCAUUUAAUUUGUCUUCUAUAUCUCACAACAAUUGUCAUGCAUGGCAUGAGUUGGUCCCACGAAAUUAAAACAGUGAAUUGAUUGAGCAAAAUAACUAAGUUGGAUUUUGAUGGUUAUUAAGCAACGAUAAAUCACACAAUAAAUUAGAUAUUCGACGUGCUCUUAAGAGCAAUAUAGAAAGUAGAUAGUUAUUACAAGAAUAAACGAUGAAAUCACGUCAACAAAGUAAAAAGAAAAAGAAAAAACAACACAAUAAUGUUGAAAUUUUUGUUUAAUCAUAUUUUAUACUUUAUCAUGUCAAAAAUUAAUUAUGUACUCUCCAUCAACAAUCUUAAAACAAAGUCUUUAGUUUUGUAUAAAAAAAAAUUGAUUAAUAAAAACAAUUAAAUAUGGUAUAAAGUAAUUUAUAUAAUAAACCUUUACACAAUUUAAAAUUAAUAAUAAUGCAGUAAAUCGUGAUGUUAUUAGUAAAGGAAUGGACAAAAAAUCGCACGCAUGUGUCACGUGAUUAAUUAUUAAAUAGUAAAAUUAAACAUACCAAAUCACAUAAUGAUUUUAAGGUUGGAAAAUGAAUAUAUUUAACCAUAAAGUGUAGUUAGGUGAUGUUAUUAUUUUGGAAUUUAAAUGGGACAUGUAGUGCCUUUCCUUAAACUAGAAACCAUGACCAAAAAAAUUACUGAGGACGCAAAAAACUAUGCUAUAAAAUAAAAAGCAACGUCUGAAUUGAAGUUCUAAUGUCCUUCCCCCAUCAACAACAACCAUUAAUAGCUCCACCCCAACUCAACACCAAAAUCCUUUUCCAAGUUUAAUCCUUAGAUCUACUCAUCCAUUCUUUGUUAUACUAAACCUUUUUCACUGUUACAUCAAUUUUUUCAAAAGGUUCUAGAGUCAUCAUAUGACGUUGAAUUUUAUUUUUUUUCCGCUAUCUUCUUUAUCAAGUUUGAAAGGUGGUUCGAUUUUUCAUUUGGUUUAUAUAUCUAGAUAUCAAAUUGAACCAAGGAGAUUUGUUGUAUAUAAAAGAAACCACGUCGAUGUACAUAACAAAAUAAAAAAUCAACUUUUAUUCGAUUCAAUCGACUUUUUUCUUUUGAAAAAUUAAAAAAAUAGCAAAUUUUACAAAAUAUUUACAACUUAUAGUAAAUUUUGUAAAUUCUAGUGAUAGUCACCAACCAAUAGAAUCCAAAUUUUUGUUAUAACUUAUAAAAUAUUUUAGUUUAUUUUGUUAUUUUUAAAAAUUGUAUUCUUUUUAUUUAUCAAAAAGGAAAUAUAUGACUUUUUAGACUAUAUAUAUAAUAAUAACAAAAAAAGAGGGAGAAAUAAGAGAAAUAUGUAAUAAACUAUUUUUGUCUUCUUCCCAUUUAGCUUGCUAGUGCAUGUAACCUAUAUUCUAAGAAAUAAAGGGAAAAUAAUUAUAUUGGGGACUUUUGAAUGGAGAUAGCUAUCUGUUUACAUUAAUUUCAACAUUUACAAGUAAAGCCAUAAACAAUUAAUAUUGAUGAAUUUAUAUGUGAAAAAGCUACCAUAUAUAUUAAAUAUAUAGUUUAAAUUAUGCUAUAUAUUUAUGUUUCUUGAAAUGGAAAACAUGUUAGGAUGGUUACGUUAUUCAUUUUUAACUUUCCUCCUUGAUUUAUGGUUGCAAAAUUCAUAAUAUAACUUUUAAUAAGUUGACUAUAAAAAUCAUUAGAUGUUAUUCGAAUAAUAUCGGUUAAAUUAGAAUAAUAUAACACAUUAAAAAUAUUUGGACACACCAUAAGAUGCCCAAAUUAAAUGUUUAACUAAUACAAAUUAUCUUUUUAUUGUUUGACAACUUAAUUUAAUUUAAAGAGGAAAUUUCUAAUAUAAUAGUUUCAAAAUUGUUGACCACCUAGGCCGCUACUAAGAAUCGUGUGGAAUCUAUAAUUUAUUAAUUAUAAUAAUUAAUGGAAAUGGUAGGUAAUAUAAACUUCUACUAGUAUCUCUUAAAGUUUAAAUUUACUAUAAAGAAAAUUAGAAUUUGAGUGGAAAUUAAAUGGUCUUGAAUUUGGAAAGGUAAUUAAUUCACCUAAAUGGAUAAACAUCUAUAAUUUUUCUUUUUCUUUUCCUUCCAACUCGUAGGCACCUUACUAUGAUGCUAUAUCGAAACUAUACUAAAAUUAGAUGUACUUAUAAAUAUUUUCUAAUAUGCUCUCACUGAUUCCAUGUGAACCCCAAAAGGAAAAAAAAACGUUAAACUUAACCAAAAAAUCAAAAGUAAUUAAGUAAAAUCUCAUCGUCAAUUAAUUUCAAGUUUGGUAUCAUGGUCGAUAUCAGACCAUGUUGAAAAUUUCACACAUUGAACAAACUAAGAAAACUCACACUAAUACACAAUAUAAACCUUGAAUGAAACAAUAAGUAGAUAAAUAUCUCGUUACUCGAACAAAUCAUAAAUAGAAGAUGUGAAAGGGAAUUGAAUGGGAGGGAGGGAGUGAGUGAGAGAUGUUUUUAAAAAGGAAGAAAUAUUUUUGGGAAAAUGAGAGAGGGGGAGAAAGCAAUUAAAAGCAUGGGGGGGACAAUUAAUGACAUUAAUUGAGAGUAGAGGCAUAAAGGUAUAGAAGGAAAGGGGGAUUGGAAAGAAGAAGAAGAAGAAAUGCAAUAAUAGCCAAUGGCAAGCAUGUGAGUGUCCUUAACAAAAGCAUUGAAAAUUGAUUGCCCAAAUGAAAUAGUUUUACUUCUGAUUUGGCGCUCUUUUUGCUGCGGCUAUCGCGUUCACAUGUGCUUCUUCCCCCCUCCCCUCGCCCCCAUAUGUUGCUUACCACUGCCCUAACUUCAAUCCUCCACCGACACAUUUCAAGCCCUUUUUCUUUCCUCUUUUCAAAUAUCAUCCCUACCUCAUCUUUCUUUAUUAUAACAAAUUAUUCUAAACUCUAAUUCAAUAUUUAUAAAAUGUAAUAAAAUUUUAGAUUUUGUAGUGAUAAACGUUUAUGAAAGACUGUUACCGGCUUGAUGAUUUUUGUUAUAUUUGAAAAUACUCAACUUAAUAUCGCUUUUCUUUUAAUAUUUGAGGUUGAAUGUAUGUUAAUUAAUUCGUUUUUCGUUAAUUCUUAGACACUAACGUUAAACAACAAUUAGAGCUAGUAUAUAUUUAGUACCAACUACAAUUGAAAAAAAGUAUAAUAUAUUGAAAUUUUUUAUAAUAAUAAUAAUAAUUUAUAAUUUGUUUUCAAAUCCGAAUAAUUAAUAGACUAAAGUGACCAUUAAUUAUCAAAUAUUGGUUUGGGAAUCAAAACAGAGAGACGUAGAUUAGAUCACAAGUGUGGAUAGUGGAUAAAUAAAUUAGAAGGAUAGAAUAUUCAAUUCAUUCAAACCAGAAACAUUUGAAUAUGGUUCAUUAAUUACUCAUUAUAUUUUAUCUUCGUGAAAUUUAAAUUAACUAGUAUUUAACCAUUUUUCAGUAAAGAUUUGAUCGAAUCUUGAAUAUUUUGGUUCUCAACACAUACAAGUACCAAUUGAAUUUAAUUUUUAUGAAUGAUUCACCAAUAUUACGUUGAAAAAAGCGUUUAAAUUUGUUUCUUUUAAAUAUUGCAAAAAUAAAUUCAAACCAUAUACACUCCCUGUCCUCAAGUAUUUUUUAUAAACCAUAUUAUAUAUAUUAUUAUGUAUUUGUGUAAUGUGUCGAAUAAAUAGUUGGAUGAAUUUUUGCUAUAUUUAUAAUAUAUGGUUUGAAUGUUUGAUAUUAAUGGGUAUUUGAUGCAUAACCAAUCAUUAAAUAAGAAAGAAGAAAAAGGGAAAAAAAGGGGUUCUGCCCAUAAUAAAAUACGUGCCGACAAUUCAAUUCACACUCACCUCUCUAAGCUUCAGAAUAAUUAUUAAAUGGUGGGCUAAUGAUAAAUAGAAAAUAGUAAAACUAUCAAAUUUUUUUUUUUAAUUUCUAUCUCAUGCAUUAAACUAUGUAACAUUAUUAGUCCUAUAGUAACACCUCAACCAAAGCUUAUGAUAUUUAUUUUGACAUUACAUUGAUAUAUUUGAUAAGGUCUCUUAAUCAAGGAUUCUUGAAUGUUAGCUUUUAAUAUGUAUUUGCUUGCAGUGGAUUUUUUAAAUACUUUGUUGUUGUUGUUUUUUUUUUAUAUAAUUAAUAUUUGACUAAAUUGAAAAAGAACACUCAAGUAUUAGUAUAAGUUGAACAAAUUCCUAUUUGUUUUGAUUUAUUAGAAAAAACUAUGGGCCUGGCUGUAGCUCAAUCGUACUUAGAUUACGGGCCGUUCUAUAAGGCACGGUUGGCAGAGCGUAGGCCCAAUACUUGGUGCUUAUUGCUCUGCCUCUGCUUUGCGAAUUGUUUUUGUGAUCCAAAAUACAUCUUAAUUUCUAAACUUGAGGUGCCGAUAGAUAAGUAAUAUGUGACUACUGAUAUUCGACGUAGAGAAAAGUAGUUAUUGACUUACGAAUAAACGUUAGGAAAACAAAGAGUAAAAUCAAAACAAACAUUAUCAAGAAAUGAAAAGAAAAAGUUUGUAUCAAGUGUGUAUCGUGAGUCACUUUUGUAAUGUAAGUUGGCAACAUAGAUUAACAUUAACAUAGAUGAUUCGUACUAAAUUUUGUAGUACUCGAUAGUCAAACUACAAAAUCUAAAAGUGUUUUUUCUUUGAUUAAAUUUUCUAGAUGAUUGGAAGUAAGUUUUAUUCAAACGAGGCAAGAGCAAUAAUAUUACGAAACAUCGAUUUAGUGUUUGUCAAGUCAGUUUUGCAAAGUUUAUCACUACAAAUUGAGUAAAUAUAAUAGAGUCACGUUUUGAAGGCCAUAUGUUAUAUGAGUUAUUUCAAUUGAAUAUACGAAACAACCAAACUCGUAAAAUUGUAAUUUAUUUACACUUUGUAACGUGGAGGAAAGAAAACCUGGAAAAAAGAAUCUAAUGCCAAGUCAACGAUGAGAUGAAAAAUAAGUCAUAAGUUGUUAGAUACAUCAGGUAAAAGUAUCAUAAUAACUUUACUAUUUUCUCAUGGAGGAAGGAUAAGAUAAAUUCUUCCUAUUUCUAAUAAGUUAGGGUAAGAUUUUAUUUUAUAUUUUAUUGACUCGUGACUUAUUCGAUAACGUUAAAUUUUAUCUCGAACGCAUGCAAAAGUUAUAUAUGGUAUGGGAAUAUUAUUUUUAAAAAAAUGUAUAAAUUAGAACCGUAAAAUUGUAUACAUAAAUAUGAAAAGGGAAAAUAAAUGAUUAAAGAAAUAAGUGAAGUAAAUAUUUGAAGCUAAAAAAAUAUUAAGAUUAAGUUAGAAGGAAAAAAUAUCGGAAGAGGAGAGAGACAUAGAGGGCGCCAGCGGGAUGAUGCUAUAAAUAUAAAUUCCCUACGCCAAAGGCGUGGUCAUUUAUUGAAAGGAAACCCAUCCUCUUUCUUGCCGUCCUCCGCUUUUCUCUUCUUUUAGGGUUUCUCUCUCAAACUCUUAACAAUGGCUGACGAAGCUCAGUAUUCAUCUGCUACUGAUACUCCUUCCAACAAGCGCAAGUACGAUGACCAACCUCCACCCCGCCGUCCAACUGGCUUUUCCGGUCCCAUCACUUCCCCUUCAUCCGAUUCCGCUCCCUCCUACAACAACGUCCCUCCCCCUAUGGAUGAGAUCCAGCUCGCUAAGCAGCGUGCUCAGGAGAUUGCCUCUCGCUUGAUUAUCUCCAGCGGUGGCGUUGGGGCUGGUGCUGGACCUGGCGUUGGAGCAGAUGUCAAACGUCCGAGGGUUGAAAACGGCGGCGGGUAUGACUCCUACGACAAGGGUUUUAGUUCUGGUCCAGGUGAUUAUUGUUUUGAUUUUUUUUAUCUUUGUUUGAAUAUUUCAUGGUCUUGCGUGUUUGUCGAAGGUGUAUUGAUUUUCUCACGACUCAGUGAGCUUAAAGUGAGUCAGGUCUUGUAUAUGGGAAGAAAAUAAGUGGGAACACUCGGAGAAAAUCUUGUGGAGUGCUAGUUAUAUAUUUCUUGUUCACAGGGAGUGGGUUGUGUACAAAAAGGUCCAGUGUUCGUGAUUUUCUAGAAGUGGCGUGCACUUUCUUUUAUUGCAUUUGGAGUAGAGCAUACGUAGGGGGAUGAAAUGAAGGUUUCUGGAUUUCAGUUUAGUGGUUUAGAUAGAGCUCUCUCAGUUAUCAGAAUGCCUAUGUUCCAUGUUCUUUUACCCUCGUUUCCUGUAAUAAUAACUUUAAAAUGUGCUGGUGAUGUAUUACGGUUUAAAAGCAAGAAUUGUGUACAUGUUUGGAUGCUCAUUGGUGAUCUUGAUUUGUGUGGAUGCAGACCUGAAGCCUCACAUGUCAAAUUCAGCCCCUUCAGCGAUACCUAUUUCCUAUGGUUUCCAAGGGUCAAGCAAGAAAAUUGAAAUUCCAAAUGGGAGAGUAGGCGUAAUUAUUGGUAAAGGUGGUGAGACGAUCAAGUACCUUCAGCUCCAGUCUGGGGCAAAAAUACAAGUUACUCGUGACAUGGACGCAGAUCCCAACUCUACUACUCGGAUGGUUGAGCUAAUGGGCACCCCUGAUCAAAUUGCCAAGGCUGAGCAGCUGAUAAAUGAUGUUCUUUCUGAGGUUGGUCUUUUCUUAAUUUUGGAAUUUCAUGGUGUGCCUUUGGGAGCGGCAUCAAUAUAAGUUUGUGGUUUCCUGUUAUAACGUUGACAUGCCAUGUAGCAAUACAUUGGUUUGGAUGGAUAAUGGAUUGACUACAGCCUUACCAAGUUUACAACUUUGAACUUUAUUUAUGGGCAAUAUGUUAUUCAUACGUCCGAUGCAAAAUAUGAUUGUAGUUGAAGAUAAGACUUUUUACUUGGCUUGAAAAUGUGUUUGUCUCAUAAAAUUUAUCAUUUGAAACAGGCUGAAUCUGGCGGUUCUGGCAUAGUAUCACGAAGACUAACAGGCCCUUCAGGAUCUGAGCAGUUUGUUAUGAAAAUUCCUAAUAAUAAGGUUCUCAGAAACAUUUGUUUUGGAAUUACCAAGUAUUGCUUGUCUAUCUUGGGAAUGUAAUUCUGUUCACUUUUUGUACUUCUGAUCGUGAAAAUAUUAAUUUUUCUAGGUUGGCUUGGUUAUUGGUAAAGGUGGUGAAACAAUCAAAAGUAUGCAAGCUAGGACUGGAGCACGUAUCCAGGUCUGUUCUAUCUUUAUGUGUAUAUAUGUAUAUAUUACAUACGUCUUUUAGAAGGCUUCCCAAAGCUAACUUCCGUUCCUUUUUAUUUCAAUAGUGCAACUAAUUUUCACUUUCUUUGGUCAUGUAACAUAGAACAUUGUUUUGAAUUUUGAUUGUAUGGCAAUAUCUACUCUUCUUUUCUGUAGGUGAUACCAUUGCACUUACCCCCUGGGGACACAUCUACAGAAAGAACCUUACAGAUUGAUGGUUCAAGUGAACAGAUUGAGUCAGCAAAACAGUUGGUUAAUGAAGUUAUCAGCGAGGUGCGUUUGCAGAUCUGGGUUACAUAUUUAUUUUGCCUUGUUGUAGUUGGAAUUAAUACCUGGUUAACACCUACUUCCAUUUAUUUUUGUGUUUAUAAUGAUUUUUCCUGCUUGUCUUUGGUUAUUUUUUAUACAACUGUUGAUGCAACUGUUCCAUCUUAUUCUGAAACUCCUUUAGUUCUAUUCUCACAAAAAAAAACUCCAGUUUUAUUAAUUUUAGGGUUCUACCUCAACGCCAAGGUCAGCAUUAAACCAGUGGUGUUGAUUGGACGUUGGCAUAUUUGCUUUCCUUACCUUGUAGUUUACAUUAUGCUGUGAUAUGGGAGGCAUCUGGUAUUCAUUGGCUUAAAUUAUACCUCCAGUUUUAUUUAGAAAAUGAUAUCUGCUUCUUGUUCUUGUUCUUUUUUUUUUUUGGUAUUAUGUUUCUCUUUCAAAUUAUGUUUUCUUACACAGGCUUGUUACCUUGUUUUAUUUGUUAUAAUUUUGUAAAAUCAUUCUACAACAUUAUGCUGCUUUUUAUUUCUGGGAGGAAAUAGUUGAGAAAAAAUUCCCGUUUUUAUGUGGUUCUGUCGGACAACUGACUCAACAAGAAAUUGAUUUAUUUUUUUCCUUCACUAAUGGUACUUCUUGGCUCUUCUUAAUUUUACUCUACUAGUGUAAUGGAUCUUCUACAAUUUCUGGCUUAAACACUAUACAAUAUGCUCAGCAUAUGGUGUUCUUGUUCCUUUAACGAACUAUUAAUCUGCUGCUGUGUCUGCAAAUCUGCAAAAUCAUUUAUUGCUAAUGCUAAUGCACUCAUGCUCUGCUAAUAUGCAUUAGCAUUUUGACUACAGUAGGAAGGCUUGUUCUCUCACUGUGCUCAUACUUUCGUCUUUGAGGGGGGCUCCCUUCGUAGGUCUAUGGAAUCAAAUGCUGCUUUGUGGUUUCACUCAAGGAAUUAGAAACAUUGGAAUAUUUCAGCCUGUUAUACUUUUAGAUCUCUUAUAGAUUGAGACAGCUUUUAGGUCUUUUACCCCUAAUCGAUCUGGAUUUGUUAUUAUAUCUGCAAUUGUUUAUUCUAUAUAUCCACUAAUGCAGAGAUGGAGGACAUAAGGUUCUGGGAUUGGAAAGAGGUGAAAUUAUUUUACAGAUUACUGCUUGGUAAUUUUUUGAAGAGUGAUUAUUGUAUCAGAAAGGUUCCCAUUGGUGAUUUGCUGGCUCCUUUGGAUAUUUCAGUUUAUCAGUCAAAUAUUACUCUUAUUAGGUUGUUUAGGUUAUAUGAUAUCUCUCCUAUUUAAGAUGUUAUCAGCCCAUUUGGUAUUAUUCUUGGUUUUAUAUCUAAGUGUUAUAUUAUUGGGAUUAUGGCCUGUUCAACCGUCACAUGUGCUUAUUAAUUAUGUAUCCUGCAACUGAUAUUGUUAUUGGGAACUAUUGUAGGGUUAGGGUUAUUGGACCAUUAGUGACACCAACAUGGAAUCCUUUAUGUUGGUGUUCUCUCAACGUUGCUCUGGUAUGGUUCUGAAUCCCAUAUUAUAAUGAUAUAAAGUGAUGAUGUGGAGAGAAGUUGCAGGUUUAUCUGUUGGAUAUUCAAGGUCUUUAGUAAAAUUUGAAAAGUCACCUUACCAUUCUAUCAUUCUUUUUCUGGUGGUUUACUUUGAUUUGGGAGAGUUUCAUCUUUUAGUCUAUAAAUUAUUCAUUUCUUAAUUGUCUAUUUACUGUGCGUACCAUUUGUGAAAUUAUUUUAGUUUAAUAUAGGCAUGCGGGUUAAUUUGUUGGAUAACUGUACUAUGAUGUAUUUUUGGUACUAUCAUAUUUUAGUGGCAACAUCACCUGAUCGUUCAGUGAGUCCGCCUUUGAUGGAUAUUCCAGAAAGUCCUUUAGACUCCUGUUUUGGUUUAAUUAGUUAUUAUUAUAUGUUUUCCACCAAAAAGAUGAAUUCUCUAAUUAUUAAUUUUUUUACUUAAAUUGACCUUAACAUUGUUCUUGUAAUUGAAGAAUAUUUUCUUGUUUCAAUCUUUAUGGGCUAUCUUUAGUUACUUUGGAGAUUAUGGAUCGUUUCUUACAAAGGUCUGUAUAUGUCAGUGUCUUCUUUUUCAUCGUCCAAAUUGCUUUUCAGCUUUUUUGGAAGUAUUUUUCUUUACAAUAAUUUGCAAUCAAAAUUCUUUUGACUAUAAAAUAUUUUUCACUUCAUAUUCUAUUGGUGUCUGAAGAUAGUGUAUGGGGUUGUUUAGUUUUAGCUUGAUAUCCAACUAAUUGAUUAUUCUAUAGAAGAUUUAAUAAUUGGGGAAGACAUUGCUUUUGUUGUGCUUUGCUAUGAACUUCUUUGCCUUUUGGGGCAAUUAAGUUCAUAUAUUCUGUUCUGUAAAAGCUUUUGUAGUCGUCUGGUUCUCUUUGCACCCAUUCACUUCGAAUAGGGAGAGGUUGAGCUUCUGCUGGAGUAACUCAAUAACUCAUCAUCCAGUACGGUAUGUUGGUGUUUUAUACUCUUCCUAAUGCAGUAUAAGCUCCUUUAAUCCCUCUACAAAACAUACUGACUAUGGUUUUCUUUUUGCAUAUCCUUGAUUUCAGAUUUGGCAUUUUCUUUCCAUUUCGCAUAAUGCAUAUGAAUGUUGUGCUUUCCUCUUCUUACCAUCCCCUACGUUGGUUUCUUACGUUAAUUGAGAAGGAUUCACCUUUGUUUUCAUUUUUAUGUUUAAUCUCUCAGAAUCGCGCGAGAAAUUCAGGUAUGUCAGGCGGGUAUAAUCAGCAAGGUUAUCAAGCUCGACCCCCUUCAAGUUGGGGUCCUCCUGGGGCUCCACCAAUGCAGCAGCCUAAUUAUGGCUAUGGACAACAAGGCGGAUAUUCUGCUCCUUCGUCUCAGUAUAACAUAUCACAACCUCCUUAUCAGGGUUAUUCCCAACCAGCAUCUGGUGGAUAUGCUUCCAAUUGGGACCAGUCUACUGUUCCGCCAAAUCAACCUGCUACUCAAGGAAGUGGUUAUGAUUACUACGGUCAACAGGCUCCACAGCAACAACAGACAGCUGGAGGCCCUGGUGCUACCGGAGACAACAGUGGUUAUAGUUAUGGUCAACCACCAGCCACUACUUAUAAUCAACAGGGUUAUUCUCAAGAUGGCUAUGGUGGUAAUUACCAUGCACCUCAGUCUGGUUAUGGCCAACCGCCAACAUAUGAUCAACAGGGUUAUAGUUCUACCACAAACUAUGGUAAUGUGGCUAACGCCACUCAAGAUGGGCUCAAUUCGUAUGGCUCUCAAGGGGACUCAUCACAGACGGUCCCUCCUGCUGCACCACAGCCCUCUUCAGUGAGUCAGCAAGGUUAUAGUGCAAAUCAACAGCCUAGCCCUAACCCAGGGAGUUACCCUCCACCAAGUCAGUCGGGGUAUGGAAUGACUGCACCUUCCCAAACUGGCUAUGGAAAUCAACCUGCUGCUCAGGCUGCUUAUGGGGCUGCUUAUGGAGCUCCUCAGACUCAGAAACAACCUCCUACUAAUCCUCCAGCCUAUGGUCAAAGCACUCAGUCACCAAGCACCGCUAGUGGCUAUGGGCAACCUGCUGGAUUGCCAUCUGGAUACUCAAGUACGCAGCCACCCGCAUCCGGGUACACUCAACCAGAUUCUGCUUCUCAACGUGCUCCACCAUCCAGUUACGGCACUGCUGCAGCUCAGCCAGGGUUUGCGCCACCUCCAUAUGGUGGUGCUCCUCCAACAAAUCAGUCAGCUUACGGGCAAGCUCCACCACCUUAUGGUGGCUCUUAUGGUGCUGGUUACCCUCAGCCCCAUUAUUCAUCUGAAGGUAAUGCAGGUGGUGCUACUCGUGGGGGCUAUGAUUCUGCAUCAGCUGCUCAGGCAGCGACCCAAAGUGGGGUUGCAAAAGCAUCACCAAAAAGUUGAUAAUAUUGUAUGUGUUUGCUUAGGUGUGUAUGUUGCGGAGAACGUAGCUUUGUUUUUGUGGUUUUUAUUAGACAGGUAGUUUUAUGAGACCUCAUUAAUGCCCGAAUUCUUUACUGUACUUUGUUUUGCUAUGGUUAAAAACGGUUCUGGAGUUUUGUCUCUCUUGAACAAAACACUCUUUCUCUACAGGCGGUGGCGUCUCCUUGAUGAUUUUGAUUUUUGAUUGUGGCGUUGGGGAUUAAGACUGUUUAGGAUUAUUGUAACUUUAAGCUACGGAAAUGGUAAAAUAGCAUUUAUUAAAUAAAAUGUUAGAUAUGAAAAAUUCUUAUUUCAAAUGUUUAUAUGAACUUAUAGCAAAAUAAUACAAAUACAUCUUUUAACAGAUCUACUUAUUCAAAAAAUUAUUAUAAUACUUUUUUCUAUUAAAAUUUAUGCGUUGUAAAAUAUUGAUGUGUGAUAUAUUGUUAUAGUAAAGCUGAAUCCUUUACUUCCAUGUGUGAUACAUUGUUAUAGUGAAUAUAAAUACAGAAGUACACUUGGAAAAACGGAAAAAUGUGUAUGGCAGGUGAACUUCUAUUUCUUUUCUCAGGUAAAUAUAAGUCUAACCCAAAAAAAUUCGGAUCUCUCCCCGCUGUAUCCUAGAUUCUUGUAUAGUUUAAAAGAAAUUAUUCCUAAAAGCCAUGAAUGCUUUGGGUGAAAGUAACAAGAUGAACGCAAGGACCGAACCAAAUAACAAUUUGAUAGCAUAUAGGAAGGGAUCGUGGUCAUCUGCAUCUGUUGAACUUGUGUGGGGUGCCAAUGCCGUUGCGGAUGGAAGGGCUUCAAUUACUGCAUCAGCCAAAUCUGAAAUGAAUGAAGAAUUGCAAUUGAGGGCAGGCACACGGCCCCAGUUUUGGAUUCCAGAUUCAAGUGCCAAGUGCUUAUACUCCAUAUCUAUCUCCUCGAGAGUCUCAAUGUGCUCACUCACAAAGCUGGGAAGAGACAAGUAAAACUAUUAUAAACAAAACGCCACCAGUGCAUAAGAAUAUCCAACUUCACUUAACACGCUUCACCUUCUCCAAGUCUUUCAAAACAAGUAAAACAAAUUGUAAACACGAUCAAACAGCAUACUGCUUAUAACCAGUUGAUUGUUUUAAAGCAAAAAACAGUUGCCUUUUUUAAUUUUGAAGAAAAACCACGUAAACAGCCAAUCUUUUGUGAUGAAGUUCAAAGUUGAGGAACGACCAAGAAAGCCCAAAAUUAUUCAAAGCACUUUGGGCCUAAGGUUCUCCAUCAUUAACACUAGCACAAGGAGUUCGAAAUAUAUAAUUGUCACGUGAAUUAACUUCAUUAAUAUUCACUCUAAGAUCAUAUGAGAACCAAGAUGAGAAGGAUCCCCUGGAAUUAUGAAGCUACAAGGAACCAAAAACCAAACAAUCAAAUUAACAGUUCGUCCUUUUAUGGUUUAUGAACAAGCCAUACCUCACGGGAACGGCUAGGAGACUCUUAAUACCCUUCUGGCCAAGCUCAACAAGAACUUCAUCUGUGUAUGGCUUAAGCCAUUGUACAGGUCCAACACGGCUCUGAAAAAUGUAAUACAUAACAAGAAUAAAAAACCACACGGAUGUAGUUAGGAAAACAAUGAAAUAAAAUGAUAGAAAAUCUGAAUAGUUGUUGGGGCUCAAAAUGUUAAAGAAAAAGAUAGGAAACCAUGCCAAGCUUCAAAUUUAUUACUAACCUGGUAUGCAAGAGUAUGCUCAUUCCCAAUUCCUCUGGCUUUCAGCUCUUGCAUGAUUAGGCAGAUGCACUCUUCCAUUUGAUCUUUGUAUGGAUCUCCAGCAUUCUCAACAUAACUGACGGGAACCCCAUGUGCACUAAAGAAAAUCAUGACCUAAGGUGCAAAUAAGUGAUGCUAUAUUAAGAACUAAUUGACUUGGACAUCCAUUGCUGCAUAAAAAUAAAGCAUCUCUCUAAAAUAAGUUUCAGCAAAAAUUAAGUACCUCUUGAGGAUUGGCAAAAUUCUUCAGCUCUGCCUGCAUCAAGUCAGCCAUUGACUUAAUAUACCCUUCCCGCUGGUACCAGGACUUUAUAAUUGAAACAGGCAACGAUGAGAGAUAUGCAUCUUCCCUGAUAGACAACUCAUAGUCAAUAAGUUAAGUUGGUAGCAGUAAUUUUUUUAAUAAUAACAAUAAAAUCAAAAUAUUAUAAUACUAGACACGAUCAUCACCUGAACAUCUUCUGGAGAACACGAAUACUAGACCCAGUUGUAGAAAUAGAGUACUGUGGAUACAAUGGCAGCACCACAAGUCUUGUUAUCCCAUCCCUCUUAAUCUGCCACACACAGCAAAAGGAACUACCAAUUUUAAACUUCAUUUCAAACAAUGCUUCAAACAAAAACGUGAGGUUACAGGCAUAUUAGGAAAUCCCGUGGUUGGUAGUAAUAUAAAAUUCUUCCCUCCAUUCGAAUUACAAGGCAAGGGGAAUAGAUAAAACAUAGAGCGUACUUGCUGAAUUGCUUCCUCUGUGAAAGGGUACCAAUAGCGCAUUCCCACAUAGACAUUAGUAGACAUGUUUUUCUCCUCCAAAGCCAUUUUAAGCGCUUGUGCCUGCAACAAGUAUUCACAAAUUAUCAAUAUUGAACAUUUGUUUUAUACCCAACUGGGAUAUGCCAUGAUGAACAAUUUGAAGGAAAUAAGAGAGGUCAAUCAACCUGUUCAUCUGUGAUUUUACGCAAAGGUGAGCCACCUCCUAUUGAAGCAUACCCUUCUUUGCUUUUGGGAGCACGGUAUGUAGAUAUUAAUUUUGCCAAUGGCUCUUGGAGGAAACGGAACAACCUUGGGAGUCGGAUAAUAUCCUAUGCAUCAUGAAAAGAAGUAAGAAAAAAGAGCUAUUGGCAUGUUAAUUUGUUGUUAAGACUAGUUGCAUUAAUUAACUAAGAUACCGGAUCUGCAAAUAGAUUGUACAGAAAUGGUUGGACAUCAUCAAGCGUUUCCGGCCCUCCAAGAUUCAAGAGCAGAACUCCCACCUUGUCAUCCACUGCCUGAGAUUGAGAUUCUAAAGCAAAUUCACCAACGGUGAAAGUUCCUACUGAGCAACAUGCUUGCCCCAGACGGCUUUUCUUCUCAAUGGGGCCAGAAAGAUGUAACCCCUGAAUUACAUCUCUGUCACCAUUGGAGCUAGAACAAGAAACCACUAAUCCUGUAGACCUAUCACGAACUUGCAGAUUUCCAGACGUUUUGCAAGAGAAAGUCACGCGAGAUUUCGGCAAAGAGCAUAACCUGAAAACAGGAAAAUAUACAUUGAAUUCCUAACUUCGACAAUAUAACACCUAAACCCCCCCUUAAAAUAUCAGUCACUGCCAUGACAUCCUCCAUACAAUAAAAUAACUAAGAAACUUCCUUCACAUCAACUCCAGCUACUAGAAUCCACGAUCACAUAACUUCACAUUGAUCGAACUAAAAGGACUGAUUCCAAGUAUACGACACGGGGUAACUUCAUCCAAUAAUCAACAUAGAGUUCAAAUGGGGGCGAAAUUUUAAAAGGGUACAAACGAUAUAAACCAAAAUCCAGAUUCCAAAGCAAGAAGAAAAGGUCGGUUAAGAAUUAACCGAUAAGGAACAUGAAGAAGAAGUGAUAUAAAAGAGAACUUACGAUGAAAUUCUUUGAUCCGAAUUGAGGGUAUUGGUGGAACCGUGAAGCUUGAUAUUGGAGAGGGCGAGAGAGGAAGAGGCGGCGUCCAUGGAGUCGAAAAUUGGAAGAACAACGAUCUAAAUCCAAAACCCGAGAAGAAAUUGAGUACAGAUAUGAGUGAGGAAGAAUGGGAUUGGUCGAUUAUAAAAAUUGGAGAAAUGGGAAACGUGGAAUCGGAAGGAGGAAGAACGGUAGAGAAGUCAAAGUUGGGGGAGGGAAGGAUCCGGGAAAUGGAAGCGCCAACCACUCUCCCAAGUCUCACCAUUAUAUAUUCAAAGUUUGUUUCGUGUUGAAGACUCAACGCAUCUACGUGUGGGCCGUACUCCUAACUUUCUUUAAUUUCUAAUUUUCAUCCAUAUAAUUAUAUAUAAAAAAAGUUAAAAUUUAAUUUCCAUAUUUAAAAGUUAGGAUUAAAAUAGAACAUAUUUAGUCAAAUUAAUAACUCGAGUUCCUCUUAAAUAUGUUCUUCGAUAUUUUUACAAAUCUCAUCUAAGUUCGAUGGUACUUAACUUAUUAAGUAGGAGUAAAAAUUGCUUAUUAAUGCUACAUAUCGCUACUAAAAAUUUAUCGAUAUCUAAAGUAACUAAUAAUUUUUGUUGAUUUGCAAUUUUUAAAAAUAUUGCUCAGCCCUACUUACCUAAAUUUUAAUUUUCUAAAAAAGAAUUAUUCGAUUUUUUUGGUAUUUACACGUGUAUUAUGUAGGUAGUGCAAAAACUUCAACAAAAUUGGUCUAAAUUUGUAUCAAAGAAAUUUAGGCAUUUUUGGUACUCACUACAUAAUACAUUUGUUCUGAGUGGUUGUUUGAUCCUUAUCUAAAUUACGAAAAAAAUAAAAAGAAUAAAUUGAAAUAAUAAAUAAGUUUCCUAAAAUUAACUAAAUUCCUUCUUUUCACCUUUGUAAAAGGUCAAACGUGGAAUGAAAUAUUAUUCAUUAUGAUCCAAAGAAAGAAGUAAAGGUGUCUAGUGAUAUCUUAUAACAUAGAUCACCAUUGAUAGCAAUUGUUUAUAAGAAGAGUCCAACAUCAUUCUUUCCAAAGAAAAUUCUCAUCCUAUGUUGAAAAUAGAUUAUCGUUCUAGAUAUGAAAAAUGAUCUGUCAACAAAGGUAAUCCAUAUUCUAUAUGAAAUUUUAUUUUGUCUUUUACCAGAUGGGUUAAAAGAUUUUUUUUUCUUCAAUAAAUACACAAGCAACCAUUAGAAUUCACAUCAUUUUACCAAGUUGAUUAAAUCUACACUUCAAUCCUUCUAAAUUUUCAUGGGAUGGAAAUUAAACGAGGGGCGGAGGCGAGGGAAUCAUCCCAUCUUGGUCAAAUUCCAAAUAUACCAAACCUAAAAAUGACCAAACUUCAACUUCAUUUGGGAAAAAAGGGGGAAAACAUAUUAUUUCCAAAUAUAGAGAAAACAAAAAUGGCUGAUGAUACUAGAAAUCAUUGAUUAUAGUGUAAAUUUGAUUGGUUGGAGCAUUAAGCAGAUGUGAAACUUGUCUCAACAGUCCGAACACUACUUGGUCAAAUUCCAAAUUUCCAAUCAACAUCAAAGUCCCAUUCUUUCCAAGAAACUAAUGAGAUUCUCCACUUACUAGACAAAAAGAAGGGUAGGAAGGAAAUGCAUGUAAAUGUAACUCAAAAUAGUUAAAAGUGUUAGGAUCCAGUAGAGAUUAUACAGACGAAAUAUUUUAGAGAAAGAAGGAUACUGAGUAUAUCUUCAUUCGACAUUUGAAAAUCCGGCACCACCUUCCGCUCGAGUCCUGUCCAUGGGCACAAGCUUAGUCAUUUAGGGGACUGAUAGGGUACAAAAGAAAGAUGAGAACAAAGAUAAUAAAGAGCAAGAAAGUCAAAGUGAGCUAGCUCGAUGGUAAGUGAAGUGUGCUAGCUCGAUAGUAAUUGAAAUAUACUCAUUUCUCUUUAGGUUAGAGGUUCGAAUUUUCACAACCCCAUAUUUUAUACUAAUGAGCAUACGGAACUUUCAUCGACUUUUUGAAAAAGAUAAACACCGGAACAAGCAAUGGAUAAGAAACUGUUAAUAGCUCAAUCAAGGGGCAUCCUCAAAUAAGUUGAGUAGACGGAUGUGAUCAAAACACAAGGACAAUAAUUUGAAAGAAAAUAAUUAUAAACAAAAAAGAUGGAUAAGGAGAAUGUAUAGCUAUAACGUAUGCAGUGUCUUCUACCGUGGAGAUUGAACUGAGUGAAAGACACUUCAGAUUAAUGCCUUCUUGGAGCCAAAGAACAAGUAAAAUAUUAUCAAUACCAUCCAUCAAUGGAAAUAGCACUUACUUGUGGUCAGAAGGAUUUGGUGUGAUUUCGUAGACAAUUGUUGCAACAACAUCUCUCUUUAGCUGUUGAUUAAAAUGAAGAUAUUUAGUUAUUUAAAUCAACAAAAUCAUCAACUGAUUCUUGCCCACAACUUUACCUGCGUGGCUUCACCUUUCAACCCAAUGUAGUGUAUCUGAGUCGUGUCACCACCAUAAUUAUCAGGAAAAUGCAAAGUGAUGUUUCCCACACCUUGAAAUUUGGAAUAUCUGAUUAUGUAUAUAAAUUAGCUGUCAAAAAAUAGUUGUAAUCUAACAUUGAAAGAAUUCACAGGCUCGAUAAUUAUAAGGGGAAAGAAAAUGCUCAAUUUUUUUGCUAUCAAUUCAAACAUUUUCAGAUGAUCUGAAAGAUAUGUUCCUCUAUAAAACAUCCUUACCUUGUUUGGUACUCUAAUACUCCUUGCAAAUUCUCAGCCAAAUCCCACUCCUAGAAUAAUAAAAAAUGCGUUACAGUUACAACAUAUGGUUAGGCGUCAAAAUUUCUCCAUGAAUCUCCGCCAGACAUGCUAACAGGUAGUACCUGAACAGCUUGCAUACUUUGAGCAUCUGAGAAGUCAAUACCUUCUCGAUUGAUAAACCUGAUUAUGAAGGAUAACUUGCGUAUAAGAACUAACGCAGGGAGAGAACUAGAAGGGAUAAAACUUAAUAUUCACAUAGAAAACCAAGUGUGUGAAAGUUCCAGAACAUCGAACUUACACCCUCAUCUUUGAAGGACUAGUACCAUCUGGACCACCAAUGAUAGAUAUGCUUUUGAUCUUAACAUCUGAUGUAAAUCUAAUCAUAAAAAAAGUGGUAAUGAAUUUUUAAGAAACAGGGAGAGUGCCAGAACACAAAAAGCGCACACCACAUAUAAGCAAUGUAGCCAUCGCUGCAAAACAAAGAUACAGGCACAGAAAUCUUCAUGACAUAAUAUAAAUUUUAUUAUCAGAUAACUAAAAUUGUUCUUGUGAUAUCUGCUUUCGAAGUUUCAGACCAGCCGACAAACACAUAGAUUCUUAGACAAACAGUUUUCUCUUGGUAGGAACACGAAAUUGCGUUUAGGAAGGGUAUGAAUUUACUAGGUGAAAUGGCUGAGCACCUAUGGGAAUUAUUUAGGAAGGCUAGAAGAAUAAAAAAAAAGGGGGGAAGUCGUGAUAAUUUAUGUCUUCACAAAAUUAUUUAUUUCCAUAUUCGCCCUGAGAUAUAUAAAAGGGAUGGUUGAGAAACUAUAAAUUUUAUUACAUUAAAAUGUAAAUUACGAAUAACCAUUACAAUAACUGUACUUAUUAACGAGUACAUAUCAAUGUUAUUAAGGUAUCAGGUAUAGUUAGAAUCCAAAAGUACAGGAACACCUACGGGAUGAAAACUAGCAGUUCAGGAUCACCCUCGUUGCUUUCCAAGUGAUCCUGUUGUAUAAAAACGAAAUAUAUGAGGCUACUUUAUCCUAGCAAUCGGGUACAUGGCACUGAUACACGCAGAUAUAAAGGUAAGGUACCCCAGAUGAGUUUAACCGAUGCUCCCAAGCUUUAAAUACUGACUUCACACUUCCUGGAGUUGCCUCAUUCAAAGCUGAAACCUAAAAAAAUAGCAGAACCUGUGAUCAUAAAUAAAAUUUCCACCAGUUCCUUUGAGGGAAAAAAAAUUAUAAUACGUGUGGGUUCGACAUGCAAUCUACAAUAAGAGUUCAAGGCUCUUCCAUAAAAGUUACUCAUAAGAUUCAAUUGAUUCCGUCCACAAUUAUCAACUUGCAUGAAACAUGCUAUUGACGGAAGGGGCAAUUGUCAUCCUUGUGUGAUUUUAAGAGUAAUGCAUUCAAAGAAUUUCUCCAAUCUUAAAGAUGAAAAAACUCAACAUCAUUAAUACUUCCACAUAUUCACUCAUAAUCUAACCUCUCCGAUUUCUUCUAGCCUUAAAAUAAACAGGAAGAUUUAUCAGUUUCAUCAAUACUUCGCCCACAGUAUUCAUUCCAACGUCAGCAGACAAUUACUUGUGCCUUAAAAGUUAUGGGGAAAAAUCCGUCAGCAUUGCUAACAUCUACUCAUAAUUGUUCCAGUUAUUGAACAACUCCAAUAAGCUUGCAAGACAAGAUGGCAAUGGAAAAUAAUAUAUUUCUAACAAAGUUAUCAAAUCCCCUUAAUAGUAACCAUUGAUGUUCUUGCUAUGCGUGCUAUGUUUAUCUCUCGUAUAACUCAAAUAUGAAUAAAAUAGUGGAAAUAUUAGCACAAUCCUCUUCCAAUUUCUUCCCAAAUGGCUAGGCUGUAAACCCAACUUGGAAAAAGGUAAUGUAAUUAAGAUGUAACAAAAAACAACAAAAGAAGAGAACCAGAGAUGGAAACAAGAGAACAAUAUUGCACGGACGAUCAGCUACAGUUGAGUUUUGUGUUCAUUUGAAGUGAAAACUAAAAAAAUUAACCACUAAUGCACUAGCUUCUAUCACUAACCAUGAAAUUCUCCAACAUCAUUCCCACUAAGCCAUUAGGCCAGUUCCCUCCAAUUUAGGAGGCACUACCUAAAUUAAACCCAUCAACAUAAAUUAAAACUAAUUACAAAUUAAGUUGCACUAAUUCUUAACCUAAGAAAAACCCAAUUUGCAUGUGAGGAACCAUAACCAACGGCAGGAACAAAGAUUCAGCUCAUUCAUGAGAUCAUGGGCAAUUGCAAUUCACAUAAUAUUUUCCAAGCAGUGUAAUUGGGAAGGAAACUAAAAAAUUAUCAUUCAGCUAAUGGGUAUGGAGAUAAUUAAAAUCCAAAGCCUGGACAAUCAAAUUUCAUAUUGAACGAUGGAAAAUGAUUAUACGAAUAUGUUUGAAGUGAUACGAAGUCGUAAAACGGAUUGUCAAAGAAGAAAAUUCGUGUGCUAGAGGUAGAUACAGAUAUGCACUAACUCUGGGGAGGUCUAUGUGCUUGUAAAGAGACCAAUCAGAAGAACAAUCGUGAUCUUCGCAGCUGUGAUCGUGUAAGCAAGCCAUCUUUGAGGUUCCAGAACAAUAGGCAGAACGAAGAGAGAUUUCAGAGGUAAAAGAGAAAGUGCGAGAUGCUCAAAACGGCGCCGCUUCUGUACGUGAAGGAUUGUUUUCGCUUUGAUAUAAAGCCAUUACAAGAAAACAUCAAUUACAUUUUGUUUGUUUUUUAAUAGCCGUGACUAAAAUAAAUCAAGAGAUUAUAAUAAAUGAAAUUAUCAAGAUCAAGAUGAUAUUUUCUAAUGGAACAAAAAAAGAAAGAAAAAACGAAAAGUUGUAUCCUUAAUUAUACUAAAAAGGAAUAAUAAUAAUCCAUCAACACGUUAUUUGGUAGCCUUCAACAUAAUUAGUGUUUGCAUUCAAAAUGUGGAAUAGAAAUAGGAUCAUGAAACGUCGAAACAAUGAAAAAUUAGAGUUGAGGAUCAUGAAACGUCGAAACGAUGAAAAAUUAGAGUUGAGUUGAGAACCGUGGAAAUGAAAUCAGUUUUAGUAUUACAAAUUCAAUCCAAAACCAAAACAUCCAAUCCAAACUCAUUCCACGACGAGUCUCCAAACCACUGUAAUCGUAUAGGAUGUGUGUUAAAGGAACAAAUUUAGGGUUACUUUGUUUAUAUAUUUUUUUGAAAAAAAAUACUAUUUACAAAUAGAUUAUUACAAAGAUCAACUUGGAUGAGCACCUUCAAUGAACAACUUUGAGAAUUAUUUUAGUAACCAACUUCAAAAAACGACAUACGAUGCCGAAUUUUGACAAUGACCUUUUAUGAUAAUCAAUUUUGAUGGUUACUUCAUGCCACUAACCCUAGUGAAAAGUAUUUUUAUACUCUCCAAUACAAACAAUUACAAUUCAUACUAUUUUAAUUAAUCUACACUCUAAAUAUACAUUUCAUAACAUAGAUUCUAUUUCACAUAUUACAAUAACCAACUCGAAGUCACAAAGAAUCUCGUCUACAAAUCAAUCUCGAGUAGAUAUGAUUUUCCUUUUCUUCUCCGUCGUGUGAACACUAUGUGCCCCAAACAACCCUACUAUGUUGGAUUUCUUAAUUAACAAGGGAACUCAUUUUUGUCCCAUGUGUUCAAUGACGGACGUUAAAUGUACUUUUCAUUUAAACUAAGCAAAGGGAGAGAGAGGAAAAAAAGUUAAGGCUUCACCAAAAAAAUUUAAUUAUUGUUUAGAUGAUUUGAUCAUCAACUUAAUUGACUAAUAAUUUGUAACAAAUAUAUUGCUUAUUUAAAGCUUGAUUUCAAAAUUACUCAAUAAACAAACAGUACAAUCAAUCACAAAAAUUCAACCCUAAAAUGCAUCAAUCGUACAAAGUUUAGUAAUAAACAUUAAUUGAUAGAAAGUAUUCUAUUAUGAUAGUUUUGAGGCACAUAUUUUAGGUUGGAAGAAGCACAAUUCAUAGAUAUAUAAUAACUUUAAAUUGGUCCAUACAAUAUUUUAAUUAAGUGAUAUUGUUUUAGUUAAAUUAAAUUUCAAUCCGUGUAUGAAUUUACUUGAUCUCGAACUUAAAAAAUCUUUUUUGAAAUGUUUACUUGACAUUUCAAUUUGUAUUCAACAAUCUUUAGUUAAUUUAAUUGAUGUUUUUAAACGUUAGAGACUUAUAAUACACAAUAUUAAAAAUUUAUUAGACACAAGUUUUAAUUUUAUAUCUUAAUUGUUCAAUUAACGGUUAAAAGUUACUAUAUGUUAUAAAUUAAUGAACCUAUUAAACACAAAUUUUAAAAUCUUUAUAAAACGGAAUCUCUAUUUCUAAUACAAAAAUAGUUAUGGAUCAUGACAAUAUGUUUGCUACUAAGUAUGCUUAAAAAAUAAUAAGAACAUAUUAACUAACUAGUUAAAAACCAACACUAUUUUUAUAAGUUGUAGGUUGAAAAUUUAAUUCCUACCUUUACUAAAAAAAAUUAGAGUAUUGUUGAGAUGAAAAAAAAAAAAAAAAACCAUAUGCAUAUGGUAAAUUAAAAAGAUAUUUAUUGAUUGAAUUAUGGUAUAUAUCUGAUCUUAUAAGUAAAGUAUAUGAGAAUGGACAUAUUAUAUCAUAAUUUAUCCGUUCUAACUAGAAGACAAUUCAAGUACUUUGGUCAAAGACUCAAAGGUUAAUUAUGAAUGGAUUAUUUAUUAUAUAACUUAUCAUCCACAAAUUAUUUCACUUUUAAUGCAAUAUCCCUUUCUAUGAUAUUUUCUAAAGAAAAAAAGCAAUCACAUUCUCUGCCCUCUUUUAUCUUCUCUUUCUUUCUAAUAAUUAUCUGAUUCGUAUAACUAAAAGUUUAUUUUUCAUUCUAUUUAUAAGUUUUGCGAGUGCACGUUUGAGUUAAUAAAUUAAUCUUGAAAAGCAAUUGACAUGUACGAUUUAGUAUCGACGUCGAACUAAAUUUUACUUUCAAAACAGUGGUUCGAAACGAUACAACAUGAUCAACAAUUAUUUUGUCUACUACUACUAUAUUGUUUCAUUUUACUAGAAUUAUAAAAUAUAGCUAAAGUUAACAUUUAUUAAUUAGUUCUUAAUUUAAAUUUAUUUAUACUUUAUUAUUUAAAUAUACUUGCGUAAGAUUAUAUACCGUCACUGUAGGCAACGUAAUGAAAAACAUUUUGGUUAAUAUUUGAAUAUAGAUCUAUUCAAGAGCUUUCUCUUAAUGUAAGUGAUGAAUUUCUCUUGUUUAACCACGAACAUGAUUUUAACUAUUUUUUUUAAAAGGUCGGUCUUCCGUCUUUAAAUAAAACCAAUUUAAAAAUCACCUCCAUUCUUUAUUUGGAGAGUUUAUGAUUGAUCUCUUCCCAAACCACUGAUUAGGGUAAAUUUUAGAAAUAUAUUUUAAUAUCAUAACAAAUAUUAAUUAAGCCAAUAAUAAAGAUUUGAUUGAUAACAGUUUUACUAAAGUUGAAGAAACUAAAAAAGAAUGAAAAUGAUAUUUUAGUAUUAAAAAGGAUUGAAGAAAAAAGAUGAGAAAUGGACGGAUAAUAAGAUUCCACACCCAACCGCGAAGGAAUCUCGCCUAAUAUUGAUAUUUGCUAUUUAGUGGGUCAUAGCUUUCCCUAUCAACUUCAACUUGCAAUGUAUUAAAGUUGAAAAAAUGACCGCAACUAUUAUCAUUACACGUGUAAGGUCAGGAUUCAUCACCAGGGGCAACUAAGUCUUUUACAAAAACCCGCAAGAAAAUUUCCAAUUUUCUUUUUUAUAUAUAUUAAGUGAAUUUGUAAUCAUCGUUCUAUACCCACCGUGUAGCCCAAGUUUCCCGGCAACUUCAUGGCUCGAAUCCCCACCGGAGUUUUACUCUCUCUUCUAUUCCUUGCCGUAAUCGGUCUACCUGCCGGAGCCCGGGACCUUCCCGGUGAUUUUCUCCGGUUGCCGUCCGAGGCACUGAAAUUUUUUCGCGGAGGAGCUUCCGACGCUAGCGACGAAGACUCCGUGGGGACGAGAUGGGCUGUUUUGAUCGCUGGUUCUAAUGGAUACUGGAAUUACAGGCAUCAGGUUUUUUUUUCUACGAUUGAUAAGUUGCACUGACUUUAAUUCAUUUGAUAAGUUUGUGUUGUGUUAUGAUGUUGACCUUUGUGAUUGAUUGGCGUUUUCGUGUUCGUAUUUCAUACUUUUUACCCAAAAUGUCUGUUGUGCAUUAUAUCUGUUGCUGAUACUUGUCUGAUCCAUUUUCUCACUGCUUUUUAUUUUUAACCUAAACUUUAUCAUCGGUGAUUCUUCUUGGCGUGAGAUCGAUUUUUUUUUUUUUUUCCAGUUAAACUAAGUCUGCAUUCUUUUGAUCUUUACUCUUCGUCGUCUGCUUUUUUGAUCGAUUGACUUUUUUCUGUUUUUCGAUUAAGAAAUUGUAGUAGUUCUGUUCUUAUCCGUUUCAUUUUUUUCAAUACAUAUGUUCUUAGUUUAUUUUAAAAGAAAAAAAAUAAUUAAGCCUUCAAAUUAAUUAAAUAUUUGUUGCUGUUAAUAAUUCUUAAAAAUUGAGCUGAAAUUCUCGAAGAACAUGGUUUUUUCAACGCCCUUCCAUUUGUCGUUGCUACCAUGUGAUCGAUAUAACUUUUCGAUUUUGCUCCAAAAUAACCACGUUACCUGUAGCUACUCUCAAACAAAGUUUCCUUGUUUAUAAUUGUCAUGUUGAACGAGUAACUGAGCGUUUAAGGCCUAACUGCAAAAGUUUAUUUGAAGGCACUUUUGAAAAGUUUUAUUUCUUGUGUUUGUAGUGACUUUUUUUUUAUUUUAACAAGUAACAGUUAUUUUCAGUGCUCUAUUUGGGUUGCAAAAUCUCAACUCCAUACUAGCCAUAGUUUAAAUUUCUUGGUACUAAACUGGAGUAAUCUUUUAUACUUCCUAUGUAUAAUAUAUAUGUAUAUAUAUAUUCAUGAAUAUCUGGGCUAGCUGAGGCACACAUGAGCAUUUGGGUGUCAAGGAAACAGGCAGGAUAUUAAAUUCUACGUAGGUGGUCACCAUGAAUUGAAUCCAUAACCUCUCAACCAUUUUUCAAGGUCAAUAUAACCAUUUAUUAUCUUAAUAAAAAAGAGUUUGUGACUCCUCUAUGGAAAGUAAAAAAGAGCUAUAAACACAACCAGUAAUUAAAGUUACAAAUCAAAGGAGAGAAUGGAGAUAUAAUUAAGAAUUAAUAUAAAUUUGUUGAACAAGCGUAAGUCAACAGAGUCUAGGUGCUACUAUUCUGCUCUCAACCUUGUUUUAUUAUGUGAGUGUCGUAGAUGGUUUAAUUGAUUAAAAAGGCUUAGAGAAUGCUGAACUCAUUUUCCACCAGGCUGAUAUCUGCCAUGCUUAUCAAUUGUUGCGGAAAAAUGGGCUAAAAGAUGAGAACAUCAUAGUCUUCAUGUACGAUGACAUUGCCUUCAAUCCAGAGAACCCAAGACCUGGUGUCAUCAUCAACCAUCCAAAGGGUUCUGAUGUUUAUCAUGGAGUCCCGAAGGUUUUCUUUUUCUCGUUGCCCUAUCGAUUCUAAUUUUACGCCUGAUUCAUCUGAUGGUAGCUACUUAUGCACUCUACGUUUUGGCCAUGGCAGGAUUACACUGGUGAAGAUGUUACCGUGAACAACUUUUUUGCUGCCAUUCUUGGAAACAAAACUGCUCUUACAGGGGGUAGUGGGAAGGUUGUUGACAGUGGCCCUAAUGAUCAUAUUUUCAUAUACUACAGUGAUCAUGGUGGUCCUGGUGUGCUUGGUGAGUGGCUUGUUCUGUGUAGUUCGCAUACUAUUUGAGGUGACCUAUCAUGCUUAUCUGGCACCAUCUCUUUGGAUAUGUUUGUUGCUCGAUGUGCUUGAUUUAUAUCUGUAAACAAUAGCACGAUUAGUUUACAUUUCCAUAUUAUCUUUUAAAGGCAGCCAACCAACCAAAAUUCAAUCUUAAAAAGCGUGCUUUGAUUUGAAACUGAUAGUACAGCCUCAUUUACCUAGGAAACACUUAUUGGUAUCAUUAUUGUAAAAACAUUAAUCGAAGAUAAACUUGUGUUAGAUUUCUCUAACUAGUUUGUUACUUGAUGGAUAAGAAAUUUCUCAUCUCUGAUAUAUCUUGUUCAGGGAUGCCUACCUAUCCUUAUAUGUAUGCUGACGAUCUUAACAAAGUUCUAAAGAAGAAGCAUGCUGCUGGAUCCUACAAAAGUUUGGUAUAUUAUUGUACUGUUCAUUGCUUGAGACUGCAUCUGUCCUUAUAAUGUAACCAUAUAUAAUGAGAGUGGAACUGUUUGUAAUAUUUUAGGUAUUCUAUCUCGAAGCUUGUGAAUCAGGAAGUAUCUUUGAAGGUCUUCUUCCUGAAGGUUUGAACAUUUAUACAACGACUGCAUCAAAUGCUUAUGAAAGCAGUUGGGGUACUUAUUGUCCAGGGGAUUAUCCUAGUCCUCCACCAGAGUAUGAUACUUGCUUGGGUGACUUGUACAGUGUUGCUUGGUUGGAAGACAGGUAAAAAGAUAAUAGUAGGCUUGUUCUAUUGUUUUUAUACUUUGUUAUUUUGUUAUUUUGUUGUUUUUGUUUUUGUUUUUUGCUUGGUGUUUUAAUUUAUCAGUAAAAGAAAAUGAUAUCAAUGCCGAAAUCCAAAAGGUAAUGUUUUUUGAUGUUGUGCAACUUUGAUUUUGGGCAUUUGUUCUGAUUUCCAUGUUCUCAUCGUUAUAUGUACUGCCGCACCAUACUUCUGGUGUCUAGUGUUCUGUCAAGCCGAAGAAUGAGUCUCACAAAAUUAUUAGAUCCAAAAGCAGAUUAUUACCUUUUAAAUAAGGGAUCCAAACGCAAAUGACGUGAGUUAAAAUAAUGAGGAAGUGGUUUAUUUUAUUCAGAACCUCAAGAUUUUUACUUUCGUGCUGUAACAGUGAUAAUCACAAUUUGAAGACAGAAAGUUUACGCCAGCAAUACGAACUGGUAAGAAUACGUGGACCUCCGUUUUAGGAGAAAUCAACUUCCCAAGUUUAAAUUUGGUUCUUAAAAAUGAAAAAUUUUCUACCAGAUUUUUUCAUCCUUUUGUAAUUGUACUAAAUGUACCAAGUCUAAAGGACAUUUUAGUGUGUUUAUCAAAAUGAAAAAAAAUCCCAUUAUGCUCGUUUGAUCUGAUUUGAACUGUUGGUUUCUUCAGGUGAAAAAAAGGACGCUAAGUGGCCAAUAUGCCUAUGGUUCCCAUGUCAUGCAAUACGGUGAUCUAAUGCUCAACAAGAACGCUUUGUUCUCAUAUCUGGGUACUGAUCCUGCUAAUGAGAACAACACUUUUGUCGAGGAAAACUCCUUGAGGCCAGCUACAAAGUUCACCAAUCAGCGUGACGCUGAUCUGGUCCACUUUUGGGAGAAGGUUAGUUUCUUCUUUUUCUAUUUUCAAAUGGAUAAUAUAUGAACCCUGCUUGGUAUACUAGUAUAUAGUAAAUAAGUGAUAUUUUGAGGUUCGCCAAAUUGAUAAUAUUUCCUGUUUUAGAUAGUGAGAACAAAGCAUUCUUGUGCGUUAGAUCCAAUUUUUGAGACUUUUGUGGCAAUUUUUUAAAUACUACACUUGUCACCUCUCUAAUGUAGGGAUUGUAGUAUUUACUUGUUAAUCUUGGGUUUUUUCUUGCUUAAAAUUAAUUUUGGUUUCGACAUCAUUCAAGACCCUCUCACCCCAUCCGUGCUUGUUGAUCUUAGUUUCGCAAAGCUCCAGAAGGCUCCCUGACGAAAGUCGAAGCUCAGAAGAAGUUCGUGGAAGCAAUGUCCCAUAGAGCUCAUAUCGAUAACAGUGUGAAGCUAGUUGGAAAGCUGUUGUUUGGAAUUAAAGAAGGUCCUGAGGUGCUUGAAGCCAUCCGUCCCGCAGGAAGACCCCUUGUUGAUGACUGGAACUGUCUUAGGAAUAUGGUAUAAUUUCAAUAUAAUUGGAUACUGCACAGCCCAUUUCAGUCAACCAGUCAAAUGAUGUUUAGUUAUAUUUUUACUCAGUAUAAAAGUUAGUUAAUUCUGAAAUGAUUCAAUACAAACAGGUUAGGAGCUUUGAGGCACGUUGUGGAUCUCUGUCUCAGUACGGAAUGAAACACAUGAGAUCCUUUGCAAACCUAUGCAAUGCUGGAAUCAGCAAGGAGCAGAUGGCGGAGGCAUCGGCGCAAGCUUGCAUGAGUGUCCCUCCGGGCCCUUGGAGCUCUCUACUCAAGGGCUUCACUGCAUGAUGACGAAACCCAAGUCAGUCAUCGGAUUUGGAAGUACGUUUCUCCCACCAUUGUUUAUAUCACAUCUAUGUUCAAAUGGGUCUGUCGACGACAAGUCAUUUGUAAAUAGAACCACAGGCCAUUGUGUUAGGUGAGAAAAAAGGGGCAUAUAAUUGAAAUGUUGAACUGAAGAAAUACGCAUCUGUUUAUAAGAAGAAGGCUCUGGUUGUGUUGGCAAGAACGAUCAAAAUUCCAAAUGUAUUGAUUGUAUGUAGUAGAAUUAUGGUGUGCUUUUUACAUUGAAUGACAAUAUAUUUUCACAUGAAUACAAAAUUCCAACCUCCAAAAGAAGAAAAGUGAGAAAACAAAAAUGCAUGAUUGAAAUAUUGGUGAGAAAAGGCAUAAGAGGUGGGCUAUACUUAUAGAUGGGAUAUGGGUGAGAAGGGUAGGCUCCACUCCUUUCCUCCUUCACUUGUUUAAACUUUCGUCAAUUUUAAAAGUAGAAUGGGGAGUUUGUGGGUUGUGGUAGUUGAAAAUGGUUAGAUGUUUUGGUAUAGAAUUUAGUGGGGGAAGAGAUAAAUCCACAUAUUGGGAUUAUUGGGAUACUGUUUGUGUGUGUGUGUGUGUGUGUGUGCCCCCAUUCUCCACCUCCCUGGAUCCACAUUCUUCUAUUAUUCCCACUUUUGCACGCUUUGUUUCUUUCCUUUUAUUAUUUUAAUACCAUCUAAUUUCAUGUUCUUUAACUUUAUUGUUUUAAUACCAUCAAUUUAUAUUGUAAAAAAAAAAAAAAAAAGAGUUCCUUUUGCAUCUUAUCUGAAUGUGAAUGUUGGUUUCUAUACUAUAUUUGUAAUUUUUUUAAGAUAUAAUGAAAAUAUGAUUCACUCUUUCAUCAUCUUAAUAUUGAGUUUAGUUAGAUAGAAUAUGUAACAUUUGUCAUCUUAGUAAUUCUUUUAAUCGUGGCUUUAAAUUUACUUUAUUAUUUUCUCGUUGUUUAGUAAAGGGAUGGAAUAUCAAUUAUUGAAACUCGAUUUGGUUGUUUUGUUUAAACCCCAAAUUAUGAAUCAGAAUUGGUUCCAUACAUAAUUCUCAAAAUCUCAUAAUUCUCCAAGAAAAUAAAGAUUUCAAAUGUAGUUUCUGGUCUAUAGAACUUUAAGUUUUUUUACUUUUAGGCUUCAAUAAUUUUUUUGUUUGUUAAAAUAGUAUUCUUUCAAUUUUUUAUUAUAUAUAUAUAUAGUUCCUAGUUGAAAGGAAAAGUUGAUUAAGAGGUAUAUGUGAUGAUUUAAUAAUUUAUUCGAAUGAUUGUGUUUGAAGAAAUUAAACUAGUUGCCAACUAUAUGAAUCAAAUGAUUUUGAAUUCAAAGGUAAUAGUUAGGGAAUUGGAUAUUUUUUUUUUUCUAGUGGAGCAUCUAAUGAUACCUUUUUCAAUAUCAUUAUUACGGAGAUGAAAAUAAAAAAUUGACUCUUGAAUUAGAAUUAUGUCAAUUACUAACAAGCUAAAUUCACCUUUUCAUUAAGAGUCAACGAGACGAAAACUAAUAUGGAUACAUACUUUUGUUUAAAUUCAACGAGUAUGAUUUGAUUAUUUUGUUUCUUUUAAAAUGAGUAUGAUCUUAAUAUUACAAAAUACAAAUGGAUGGACAAAAGUUUCUUAUUAAAAAAUCAACCCCACUACUGAACAAAGGCACCAAAAGAAAAAGAAAAAAAAAAGAAGAAAAUCUUCUUCAUAUGCUCUCUCAUUUGGAAAAACGAAAAGGAACAAAAGUCUUUUUAUCUUUUUCUUUUUUUCCUUCUUAAAAAGUAGAUAAAACUUCAAAUAUGGAAAAGGUAAAUUCACAUAAUGACUAAAAGCAUUUUUAUUUCAUAACCUUUAUUUAUACAUAAAUACGCAUGUGCCUUUAUUGGUAAUCUUUCUUUGUUUUUGUUUUUUAAUUGGUUUUUAAAAACUAAAGUGUAUUUGGUAACUAAUUCACUUUUUAUUUUUAUUUUUUAAAAAAAAACUUUUUUUAAAAUUAUAAAGAAAAAUUGAAAAUGAAAGGACAUCUUUAAAAUAACAACAUUAUCAAAUAUAUAUGGUUUUUAUCUUUAUAAAAAAUUAGAAAAUAGAAAAAUGAAAACAAAAAUAAAAAUUGAAAUGGUUAACUAAACCUGUUCUAGAAGUUUAAAAAUAUAAUGAUAAUUAUAAAUAUGUUUGGAGAUUUUUAAAAGAAGAAGAAGAAAAUUGACGAAUUAUUUACGUAAUCCACUAAAAGUCAAAAUUUAUACACUUAUUUCUCUACUAAUGAUAAAUAUUCUAUUUGUAUGGUUUUUCCCUUUUUUCUUUUUUUGGUAGAGUGGGGGCUCGAAAAUGAAGUUUAAAUAAAGUUAUGUGAUGAACUAACAAUAGGCUAAAAAGAUAAAAUCUUAUUAAAUUUACAUAAUGUUUUUUAAAAAAACGAACUCAUUUAUUAAAUUUGAGGGUACAAUGGUGAGUUUGAUGUGAUUUUUUAGAAGUUAGGGAAGGAGUGGAAAGUGAAAAUAAAUAUAAGCUUAUAAUUAUUAAUAAACAUGAGAAAAGUGCUUUGCAUUAUUAGGAAGUUUACAACAAACUCUAAUUUUUAAUUUAACUUGUUUGUUUCUAAUUAAUAUAAUAUCAACUUGUCAAUAUUUGAACUUUUAUAUAACAUUUCAGUCCUUACAUAUUCUUUUAUAACUUUUAUAUUCUCCAUUUAAAUCCUUUGACUAAUUAAAACUUUUAUUAUGUAUAAGGAAAAUUUUAAAAAAUAAAAUUUAUAAUUAUUAAGUAAGCAAGUGAAUGGUACGAAACAUGUAAGCCUCAAAGUUAUUAUUUCAAUUUUAUUUUAUCAUCUUUUAAAACACGUUCGAUGUUGAUGAUCUAAGCUUUUUACAGUUCUUGGUAUAUGAUUGCAUGUGUAAAGAGUUUAAACCUCGAGUAGGGAAGUAGUUAUACUUUCCUUGAGGUCUUCAAUCAUGACAAGAUUUUUAAUUUUUAAAUUUUUAGAAUUAAAGUUUUCAUAUAUAUAAAAUAAAUUUAUUAAGUAAUUUUGUAUGAUUGACUCAAACGAAUGGUGUCUCGUUUAUAUAAUAUUAGGAUUUGUGGUAAAUAAUUUAUGGGAUGGUUUUGGAGAUGAAAAAAAAGUAAAAGAAUAUGAAGAAAUAUAGAGUUGCAUUUAAUGAUUGUAUUGUGGUGUUUUGAAACAUCACGACUCUCUUCCACAAAACGUUUUCUAAAAUCACAAUGGAUAAAGUCAAAUUGUUGGUGAAGAAUCCUUUGUUUUUUCCAUUAAUAAUUGUAUCUAUCAAAUUUAAACUUUAUCCAUUUUUAUAUUUUACAAAAAUCUACCUACCAAUCAUAAAUAAAAUUAAUUUACAUAUUAAUCAUAAUUAACUAAAAAAUGCAAUAAUACAUUAGAACACUACCACUACAGGUUUUAACUAUGCCAAAUUAGUUUUAAAACUUUGAAAUAUAUGUAUAUACAUUAUAUGGUAAAGUAUUGAGGUAGAUUUGUUAGAAUAUUAAUAAAAUAAAGUAUCUAAGUUGAAAAGAAGGUGAAGGGGAGGAAGACAUGCAAGGUGAUUGGAUUACAAACUAAUUACAAACUAGAUUUGAGAAGAAUAGUUUGAAUUUUGGGUAGUAGAAAAGGGAGAAGGUAAGAAUGAAUGGUAGAAAUAAAUAUUUGGUUAAAGGAAACCCUAAUAUAAAUGUUUAUAAAAGAAUGAAUUGAAGGGGUCAUUGAUUGCAGUGAAAUGAAAGUAUUGAAAGUUCAAUAAUUUGGAGAGCCCCAUGGGACGUAUAAUCGGUUUGGGUAUUGACCGGAUACGACAUUACGAAAGCACUUUUAUUCAAAUGCUUUAACCAUGGUUAAUACUCCAAACUAACCAUAGUUAAGUACCCUUCCCGGUUCUAUCUAACCUCUAACCUCUAACCUCUAACCUCUAAGCUCCAAAGCUCUAAAGCUCCAUCACAUCGGCGGUUCCACACGAAAACAAAACUUAAAUAAUAAUAUAAAAGAAUAUUUUAUUUUAUUUUUGUUAGGAGAAUGAACGGACGUUAAAGAUUCCGUCAAAUUGGUUAACGCGGGGGGAUAAACGUAACGGUCGAUUGGAGAAGAGAGGAAGGAGCGGGACUCUCAGUGGACGGAAAAGCAGAUGAUGAAGCAGAGCCGGACGAUGGUUUGAUGGACGGUCAUAGAUGGAUAUUGCUGAACGGUUUAAGCGAUGUGGGACUUGGAAGAGCGUAUAAAAAUAGAGAGUUGAAAGGGUGAGAGGCCAUUUCGUUGUAUCAUUGAGGAAGGACCUCUCUGUACUACUUCUCUUUAAACUUCCCUUCUAACUCUUUCUCUCUCUCUCUCUUUCUCUUUCUCUUUCUCUUCUACAUAUUUAUAUUUCUUUCUCUUGAUGUCUCUGUAAUUAUUUCCUUCAUUUGAAGCUUUCAAAACCACCCAACAGCUUAAAAUUUUGAUAGUAUUACUGGGUUAAUCGAUCUAAGAUGGCUCGGGUCAUUGACGACUUUUAAGGCAUUGAAAUUGUUGUAAGAGAUGAGAUAAUCGACGGGGGGGAAUUUGAAUCUGGGGUCUGUUUUCUUGGCUGAUUCUGUAAUUGAUUUUUUUUUUUUUAAUAAAUUCGGAGUUGAAUUUUUGGAGAAGAGACUUUGAGUUUUGAAGGUUUGAUAAUUGAAAUCAAUUCACUGUUUAAGGUCUUUGUUGUUCUGGGUUUAGAUCUUAUCUUCUGAAAUUAGUUUCUAACUCUUGAAAUUUUCGUUGUGCAGAUAAAUACAGAGCGAUUUUAGUUGUUCGUUUGAGGGGUUUCUAAGAGAUUUGUUACCUUUUUUGAAAGUGGAAGAAGAAUUGGACUGAGAAAAAUGCAAGCGAUUAUCGGACUCUGGGAUUCGGAUUUACAUUUCGCUUGUUUUCUGCGGUGAAAUAAGCAGAUUUCUGUUCUUUGGAAGAGCUGAUUCUUGGGGGGGAGGGGGGCAAACCCAGAUCAGAAAUUUCAGGUACUGAUUGGUUAUCUUCUUGGUGUAUUUUGUAGGCUCUGUUCUUUCUGUUCUAAUUAUUUUCGUCCGAAAUUUCAGGUCUGAUUUUCUUCCUGUUCAUUGCUACCUUCAGCAUCCAAUAGCUAUCGCUUCCUCCUCUGUUCGAAUUCUUAGGGUCUGAUAAUAUGCUUUCAGAAUUUAAAAAUUCGAGUUGCUUCUUCCAUGGAAGGAUCUUCUAUCUCUCUGUGAGCCAUUGGGAAAUCUGGAUCCCCUGUUUCCAUGUGAAAUUCUUCUUGUUUCUUUGAGUUCCUCACAUUUUCAAGAUUUUCCCUCAAAUUUCCUCUUAAUUUCAGACCCAGCGUCUUCCCAAUACUUUUCUUCAGAAACCCAGACCAGUUCGGCUUUUCAAAUUUCGUGAAUUCCGUCUUCGGAUCAUCGAGAAAACCCCAUGUUCUGGUCUCUGACUGUUUGAUGUUCUCCUCGAGUAAAGUUUUUACAGUGUUGAUGGCGAAAACGUCAUAUUUCAGUGCUUGAAAUUUCUAAUCACCUUUGCUCUGUCCAUUUUUCUUCGUAACUUCGGGAUUUUCAUCCGAAUCCAAUUGACUGCAGAACCUGCUUUUUAUCCAUUUCCCCUUUCGUUUCUCUUUGCUACUUUAAUUGUAGAAUCUUCUGAGUAAUCUUUCUUCAGACUAACCCCCUUUUGAAAUGGGACAGGUAGUGUAUAUAUAAUUAAGCAUAUGGAGAAAGAAAAUCUCAGAAUCAAUAGCCAUGGCAAUUUCGUUAGUAAUAAUCUCAACGGGAGGGAUAGAACCAGCGUGGACAGCUCGCUGUUGUUGCGAGCGAGAUCCGAAGCCGCCGUUGUCGCCGUCGCAACGAGACCGCAGCCAACGCCGUCGGAAUUUGUGUUACAAUGGGGAAACCGGAAGCGUCUCCGGUGUAUGAAAGUUCCGGUUAAGGCCAAGGAUGUUUCCGCCGCAGCACCGGCUCACAGAACCACCGUCCGAGUGGACCGGCGAGUCGUUAGAGCCGAUAAAGACUCGAUUAUACAUAACCACCAACCAACUUCUAAUCAUAACCUUAAUCCGAGUAAUGGGUAUUUGAAUCUCCGUCAACGGCCGAUUUCUCCUCAACCGCCAGUUCUACCGCCGCCGCCAGCUCCAUCUCAGCGUAUUCUAAGGUACUCUCUGUUUCUCUCUCUUUUCUUCAACGCCAAUCUUUCGUAAUUUCUUUUUUAAUCUCUUUGAUCGUUCAAAUCUCAUCCGAUAUUUGAGAUUCCUUUUUCCCGGCUAUGGGAUUCAAAAUCCCGAUGUAUUCUUUUAAAUGGGCCUUUCUAUUUGGGCUUUUAUUUUAUUGGGCUUUUUAUUUGCUUGCUGUAACGCACUGCAUAUCUAAAUAUCUAAGAAACAUAUUAUCGCUAUUUAUAUACUCAUAUCAUAAUCAAUAUUUGACAACAUAGUCUAUGAUUAACACUUAUUGGCUACAUUAUUGUAAAAAAAAAUUCAAUAAUCUUUCUUUUUCAAACAAUAAAAAAAUAAUUGUAUAAAUGCAACUUGGUAUUGGAAUCUGAUGAAAUGAUGAACCAAACAUUGAAGGACGCAAUUUAGCCUCGUUGAUUAGGACACGUCUUCCAUUUCUUCCACGUGUCGUUUUCACUGUGGAAUAAUAGCCGUCGGAUCAUCAAUCGCAGUGACCACUGGUGUCCCCAGAGUGUCUCCAGAUCGGCUGCCCUGGAGCGGACACGUAAUCUCGAACUUGUAGAUCCAAAGGCUGAGGUUGGGGCGAGGUAGUCAUGAUUUGAAAAGACAGGUUUGUCCUUAAGAAAAAUCUAAGCCAUUGAAUGAAAGAAUAGAGACGAAGUCCCCCAUUUUGUACGCAAAUUCUAAGCCAGAUUUCCCCCAACGAACUCCAACAUCCUCCAAGGUCAUUCCCGUAAUUUCAGCCCACGAACGUAAAUAAAUUAAAUUUGCUUUUCUUCUUUUUUCCCUUUUUUUUUUUCUUCUUCUUUAAUGAGUAAUCUUUCAAUCUUUCGUGAGAUUUGUUCUUUAGGCCUUUUGUUUUGGUAAUCUAUGUGUGUAUGUCUUGUGGGGUUGGGAGUCUUUUUUUUAAAAAAAAGAACUUUUUGGUGAAACUAAGUAGUAAACAAACAGAGACUGAGUUUUUGUUUUUAAAAAAAUUUGAUUAGGAACUCUGAGAUUUCCGGUACGAUGAGAGCCCAAUCCAACGGCGGUGUCAGAGCAAUUACUUCUCCGGACAGGGCAGCGCCGGAGAAAAAACCACCACCGUCUCAUCACGACCACCACCAUAAAUCCGCCGCUACCUCAGACACAAAAAAAGGUGGGUCAUCUUCCGGCAGCGGAGAACCAACUGCACCGCCGCAAGCGCUGCCGGUUUGGCCACCGAAGUUCGUAAUAGCUUUAACGAACAAAGAGAAGGAAGAAGAUUUCAUGGCGAUCAAAGGGUCAAAACUGCCUCAGAGACCUAAAAAACGAGCAAAAAUUAUUCAACGCACCAUCAAUGUAAGCAAAACACCAAUCCCCCCGUCUUUACUUUUCCAGAUUCGUUCUCUACCUUUUCUUUUAUUGGUUUUAAUUACUUUUUCUUCCUUAGUUACGAACUGAUUCUCAUGCGCUAUAAUUAUUAAUUAUUAAUUAUUAAUUAUUAAUAUCAUUAUUACUUCUGCUUUAAUUAUUUAUUUGAACCCUAAUUUUCUUUUAAUUUUCACCGAAUAUUUAUUUCCUAGUAAUUAUUCAAUGAGAGCAUUAAUUGAAAAUAAAACGAAAAAGGGGGGUGUGGGGGUGAGAGAGAGAUAUUAAGGGGAGAGUUGUGGCAAUGGAAGGUUGAUGGAAUGCCACGUGGAGAGAUAUGGUUUGAGUGUUAUUUACCGGAAAUGAAGGCAUUGUGUGUGGGUGAAUGAAUGGUUUAACCAAUUACUAGUCGACAGAUAGACAAUCGCUGAGUUGUCCCAUCCUCGCCUUCAACAGUUGGGAGUCCUUUGGGUUUCUUUUUCUUUUAUCUAAAUAAUCAUGUUCACAUUCAACCUUACUUUUUGUAAUAAAUUCUUAAUUUCCCUCUUCCCUUUUACUUUUCUAUAAAUAAUAUUUGUAAAAGUAUAUUACAUUUUGUUCAGGAUUUAUUUAAUUUGUGUGUUGGUUUGGUGUUUGGUGUUUGGUGUUUGCUAUUUGGUGGUGGCAGCUGGUGAGUCCGGGGACGUGGCUAUGUGAUUUAACGUUGGAGAGAUACGAAGUAAGGGAGAAGAAAAUUUCUAAAAAGGUAUGUAUUUUUUUUCUUCUAUUUUUUGUGUUUAUUAAUUUGUGAAUUGUAAGAAUUGAUUCUUGUUAUUUGAAUGUGUUUGGGAUGCAGAGACCAAGAGGGCUUAAGGCAAUAGUGAACAUGGAGUCGGAGUCCGAGUGAGGAAAAGAGGAGAGUUUCUGAUCACAUACCAAAUUAAUUUAGAACCACUGUUUUGUUGUGAUUUUGUGGAGAGGAGGGGAAGAAGCUUUUAAUUAUGUGAAUUACAUAAAUAUAAAAUAUAUAUAUAUAUAUAUAAGUUGUAGAUUUUCUCUUGGCUAAUUGAUUUUAUUAGCAUAAUGAAAUUGUAAUUAUUCUAAUUUUUUAGUUCUAAGUUGAUCCUUUUGAUAACGGUUUUCAAGUAGAAAUUACCAAUUCUUAGAUUGAAAAUAGAAAUGAGGGUGGAAGCUACAUUUGUUUAUGGAUUAAAGAGCUUUUUCUUUUUUUCUUUUGUGUAAAGAUAUAUUGGCUUAUCAACUAACUUUUAGAAAAACAAAUCCUCCAAGAAUGAAAAAAACUCGGAUUAUCACUUUACUACAACUGCGUCAGUUGAUUCUCUAUCUUUUUUUUUUUCUUUCUCCUCAUCCUUCUUCACAUACUAAAUCAAAAGCCUAAUUUCCCGAAGUUCCCAACUUUAAUUUCCCACACUUUACACCCACCCCUUCCUCUCCUUCAAACUAUUUCUUUCUUCAACAUAUUUUUUCUUAAAAUUAACACAAAAAAAAAAAAAAGUUUCAUACAAUAACUUAUGAUAACAACUUACGUAAACAGUAGAAGGUAUUUCCUUUGGUUUGACAAAAUCAUAGAGAAUAAUGAAACUAUUAUUUUAUAAUGAAAUUCUUCAAAUGGUAGAGACUAAACUACAACUCUCUUUGAAUCAUAUUUAUUGUUAAUUAGCUAGUUUUAUGAUUUAUAAAUAUAUUACAAACACGUUAAACAAAUUUUAAAAUUAUAAUCUAAUUGAAUUUGUUUCCAAACACAUAUUUAAGAUAAAACAUAAAACAUGAAAUUAAGGAGAGGAAGAACUCUAUGUUACCAAAAUACUUUUCUUCUAACUUUUACAGAAAAAACAUUCUUAGAUUUAAACAUAAUUUUAAAUCUAUAAUGGCUGGAUUGCCAUGGUAUUAAAAAAUUAAAUGUAAAUCAUAAAAAGCUAAUAUUGCAAUAUUUAGAAUUGUAAAUUUCUUGAAACAAUCAAAUAAACUUCAUGUGAGUUCAAAAGGGUAUGCAAAAUAAAUUCUAUCGAGUAUAUAAAAUAAAAAGAAUGAAUAAAGAAAAGGAAAAAAGAACUCAAAAUGAAAAUAUAUUUGAGUUGAGCAUCACAAAGAUCACAAGUAGACUUUAUUAGUGGACAACAGAAAUCAACCAAUAUACCAUUUCAUUAAUAUAAAUAAUUCUCUAUAUGCUUUGGAUUCGUCCUUCUUAGAGAAGAAAAAAGAAAAGCAAAAAAGGCAACCAUGUUCUUGUCAUCAAUUCUCUAGCUGUAAAAAUUGCCAACCAUAAAAUUAUUGGCACCUUUCCCUUUCGGGUUUUCAUUAUUCAUUGCACAUGCCUCGCUGCCCCACAAAUUCUACUUCAAUUGGACUUCUGUUGGUCCAGAUUUCAAAUUAUUAAAUAUGCCUUACAAAUCUUGGAAUUCCACAAUUUAAUAAUCCUCAACUUAAUUCGGUAGUACACAAAAUGAUUUCUGAUGGGGUUUUUUUUUUCUCUCUCUCUCUCUCUCUUCAAGAAGAAAUUAAUCAAUCAAUUACAGUGAGAAUUACCAAAUUGUUUUGGCUAAGCGAAGAAUCUCAAAGAAAUUGUUGCAGUUAGAUAUAAUAAGCGAGUGUGUUCGUAUGAAUGAAUGCAUGAAAGAGUAAAGAAGAAGAGAGUAUUUAAAAAGAACGAAACAAUUUAUUUACUAAUCAUAACCAACAAAAUAUAGCACAAUCGUGAACAAACCAACACAACCUGCAUUCUAUAUAUAAGAAUGUGUAAACAAAAGAGGUCGUCUGUACCAAACGUGUAGAAAUUAAAGUCCCUUAGAAAAACAUCUAAAACAAAUUCCUCCGCGGCGCAAGGUUUUAGUUGAAGAGAGAAAAGAAAAAGAAAAAGGAAAAGCAGACCAUCACAAAUACAUGGAAGAGUCCAUGGCAAAAUCAAUCACCACAUCCGAAGGCCGGUAGCUCAGAUCCUGAGAGUAGAUCCGAAGGCGAGAGCAAGGAAAGCAGCAAGGCAAGCGGAGACGGCCGAAGGAGCAAUGGAGGUGGCAGGGGAGGCCGGACUGGGAGCCGGAGCCUCCUGAGCGGCGACGGAGGAAAGGGCGAAGAUGAGGGCAAUGAGAGCGAGGAGAGAAACUUUGGAGAGGGCGGCCAUUGGGUAAAAGAGGUAAUGGGGGCGGGGGGUUAGGGUUGAGGCGGGAGAGAGGAGAGAGGAGAGAACCGUUUGAUUGGGAAAUGAGAAAGGGAAAUAGUAGAAGGAGAGAUAUAUAGAGAGAAACGGGGAGGUGCAAGCUGGCGAAUGGUUGAAAGACAGCUCAUAUAUGGGUGUGGUUCCCUUUUCCACAAAGAGCAUCGACGGGGAAUAUAUGCAUUCUCUUUCCACCGCACAACAUUUUAGCCAUCAACAACUACACAACAAAUAUAAAGUAAUUUUUUGUUUUUAAAUUCCAUUUUACACCUUUUUUUUUUCUUUCUUUUUCAACGGAUUUAUUCCAUUCAUGCUUUUUUUUUUUUCUUUUCAAUUUUAAACUUUAACGUUUGCUGUAUGGUUAUAUAUAUUAUCACUAUUAUUUUGUUUUUCUUUUUUAAGCUUUUGAAAAGUAGAAAAAAAAUUAAUACGUUAUAAAUUUGAAAAGCAGUAAGUUUAAAAGUAAUAAUCAUCUAAUAACCUUUAGAUAAUCGUUUCAUAUUAUUAAUUAUUUGUCAUAGUUGUCAUAUUCGAAAUAUGUAUAAAAAAAAAAGGUGUGAACUGUUUUAUUAAGUUAGUACGAUAUUUAUCAGCUUCAUUAAGAUAUUUAUACUUACUAAUAUUACGUUGCAAACUAUAGGUUUGGAAGGUCUUUGGAUGAUUUUCAUCCAUCCUAAGUUUAUUAGAUUUUUUAUCAGUAACAUCGAUCUCAUCUAUUCAACAACUUUUAUGGUACAUGUACUUGUUGGGAUGAGAUUAAAAUAUCAAUUUUAAAUUAUUUAUUGACGUUUUAUCUACAAAUUUACACUUGAGAGGAGUAGUUCAUCUAUCUUAUAUGGAGUAUGAGUCACAUUGUUUUUUCCAAUGUGAGACUCUCAUCUUCUCCAACAUGUCCCUCAAGACAGUGUCUGUUUGAGUUAACUUAUAUUGGAUCAAAUACUCAUUUGGAGAAAAUAGAGAAUCGGUUUCUUACAAAUACUCUUGUCUUCACUCUUUAUUUUGGUAUUAGAGCUUGAAAAAUGGCCAACGCCUUUUAUGCCUCAUCCUCGUCGAUGAUUUCAAACUUUAGCAAUCCUCCCCUAAAUCAACUACUAAACCAACAUGUUCCCUCAGGAUGAUGCUUAUUUGGGUUCACCUAUCUUUAACAUAAGGUGACUAUAUGUUUAGAAUCACAUUUUCCAUGAAUUGAAUAGUAAUUGAAUAGUAAUGACUCAUGAUCAUAUAUUUUUUUAAUAUAUAUGGGCACUAAUCAAACAUUUUAGUUCAACAAACGUUUUUUUCAAAACAAUAAUAAUAAACAAUGGACAUUAAUUUUAAAAUUAGAAUAAUGAUAUUAAAUAUCUCUUUACUUCUCAGCUUUUAUAUAAGGUCCAAAUUCAAAGGAUGCUAUUAAAGUUUCAAACAAAAUACUUUUCUUUUUGAGAGAGAUAUUCUUUCUCUUUAAAAUAAAGAUGAGACAAUGGAUGUGAUAGAUUAUGUAUAGAAAUAAAAAUACAUAAACAAAAUUAUUUACAACUAUAAAUAAAAUUAAGAAAGUUAUUAGCAUUAAUCUCAUCGAAUUAAUUUAGCUAACCAAAAAGAAGCAAAACAGCGUCGUUUGGUUCAUAACGUUAAUGAGUCCGUUGUAAAAGUGGAAGAUUCUAUUUGGUUUAGGGUUAGUGGAAACCAUGGGGGAAAUAAUAUUGAAUUCAUCCAGAUGCGACAAUGGCGCGUGUUAUGUACGAUAAGCAUCGAAGGGAUGUGAGAAGAUGGGGACGGUGGAAAAUUAGAGCGUGGAGUGAAGAAAACCCAAAAAGGGAAAGAAGGAAAAGUAAAAAUGAUGGGGGGUGGGGCCGACAAGCCAAUAAUGGGAAAAAUAGUUGUUGUGAACGUGGGGCCCAGGAUAGAGUGACCGCGCUGUGUUGUUAGGAAAUGACAGGUAAGAGUGAUUGGCCACUGGCUUCUUUUUAAUAUGGUUCCAGAAACUUCUUUUUAUGCACGCCAAUAUCGUCCUUUCCACACAAACUCUCUUUUAAUAAGUAAUAACCACUUUUUUUUUUUUUCUUUCUUCUUUUUUAUCAUGUAAAUGCUAUUAUUGUUCGACUAUAUCAGCUUGUUUGUAAACCUAUCAAUUUACAAUUGAUAAAAAAAAAAAAAAAAGAUAAUGAAGAGUCCAAGUUAUGUUAAUAAUCUUCAGUUAGUUCAAUAGUAUCUAGGGUGGUAAAGAUUUAAAAUCGAGUUCAACACCAACAAAGUGAACCAAUUAAGGGCAUUUUUGGCAUUGUAAUUAAAUCUCGAAUGAGAUUCUGUAUAAUCUAAUGAUGCAAAUUUAAGUAGUGUUCGGGUGAAGGAGCGAGAAGUAUUGAGUAAGGAAUGAAACAGUAAAAAAAGAGAGAAAUGGAGGAUUAUGGAAAACAUGUCCUUGGUCAAACGAGCGGUGAAGUUUGGACUAUUUAUCUUUUUGGAAUUUCGAGAACUAUAUAUAUAAAUAUAUUCAACUAGUUUUGAGCAAUACAUAGGUUGAAAAAAAAGAAAGAAAGAGAGAGAGAGAGAGAGAGAGAGAGAGAGGUACUGGGAAGAAAAGGAAACAAAUAAAGACCGUUCAUGCCAACUCCUCAAACUUCAUUCUUAUUUAAAAAGAAAAAGAGAACAGAUAGAUGAGGGGCAUUCAAAUAUGAUCAUUUUCUUUUACAGUGGGAGAUAUAAUAAUUUGCAUAUAAUUAUCUCCUACUUUAAUAACUCAAAUUUGGCUUCUAGACUGGAAAUCAUGACAGGGCAUUCUCCCUUCUCAUCAUACUCUGCAUACUCACCUCCAUUUAAGUCAAUAUCCUCAAAUUUAGUCCCCUCUAUCUGCAAACAAAACAAGGCAACUCAACUUUAGGAAUAAAUCUGUAACAAUAUAUAGCCAAACAAUAUUCUUCAGAAUUCGUAAGUUAAAGCUAAACUAUAUGCCAGCAUGAUUAAAAUAAAAGAGCAAGUAUCUAUGCCAUAUUCUUAAUUUUUUUAUCUAGUUGUUAACCUUGCGUGCCUAUAUUUCGAAAAAUAUUAAUCUUCAAGGACAGAGAGAGAGAAGGGAAAAAAAAUUCUAGUCUCAUGCCAAAACGUUGUGAAUCUGCAUGAUCAACAAGUUAUAUAUGUUUGAUUUUGAAAAAAAUGAAGUUAUACAUGAUCGUGGAAUUCAAAAACAGGUAGGCCGUGUUAAAUACUUCAUGUUCAUUAUUAAUUGGAAGACUUACAGAUUCUACUUUCCAUCCAGGUCCAAAUAUAAAGCCCAUAGGAUCAUAACCUCUGCAGUCAAAUAACAUCAACGGAGAGAAACCCCCUGAUUCACUUAUUUCCUGAGUCAAUGGUUUACCUCGCCCCGGAAUCAUUGUGAUAGUUCCUUCCCUCCCACAGAACUUGCACUAUAAGAUAAAGAGCAUUAACAUUGUAGUUGAGUUCGGAGGAAAUCUUUAAGUGCAAAUGGAAACUAUUGAACCUACUAUUUGAAAUAAAGCAUAAUCUGAUACAAGACAAUCAUCUUGGACAACUAAUCAAAUUUAAUUUUCUAGCCAUUUCCUUAAAAUUGCCACAAGUUCUUAAUUUCAGAACUAAAUUUCACACCAAACACGAAAUGCUGAAAAAUGUUAUAACUUCAUGGUCAAAUGAUAUUGGAAAACAUUAGUUUUCAGAAAACAUAUCACCAUUUUCGAUUUCCACAUCACUUAAGAACUGAUAUCUUAAUGUCAGUUUGACUAUUGACCCAAGUUUUCAAAUACAACAGCAGUGGCAUACUGCAUUAUUUUAUUUUUCUAAAAAUGUACACCAAUAAUCAAAUUAAAAUAAGGAAUGGAUGAAGCUUAAGUAAGAAACAAAUGCUAAAUUAAGUAUUAGUCUGUUUUCUUUUGUCCACCUGUAAUUGCCAGGCUAGGACUAACUUGUGCACAUCUCCGCCUAUUUUCAUGAGACCAACUAGAGCUCGUUCUCUCCAAGCCUUUUAUUAUUCACAUGGACCUCACUAAACACUAGGUCAACCGUGGUGGUGAACUAAGAAUUAGUGAUCUUGGGUGUCAAUUUUUUCUUUUUUUCUGUUCAAUAAGUGUGGGUGAAGGACUUGAACCUCUGAAAUCUUGGUCGAGAGCAUAUGUCUUAACUAGUUGAAGUACACUCAAGCCAACCGUGAGCGUUAAAAAGUUAAGAAUACCAGUGACUGGAUCCUACUAGUACCAUUGCUUUGAAAAUUGAUUGAAAUGAAGGGCCACCACAAUCUGACAAGAACUUUAUAUUAUUGUAUAACUUUAAAGUGGAAUUACAAAAAUCAAAAUCUACUUCUAAUGGUUACUAGAGGACAACCACUCAGUCUCAUACACACACUUCUUUAAAUGUAUAGAAGCCAGAACUUUCCUACUAUUUCCCUUCAUUUUCUCAUCAACCUGGAACGACCAUCUUUAUGUCAAUAACUGAUCUACAUACUUUCCAGAAUAUGAGCAUCUUUAAAAGAGAAUUACCUUUUGAACGAGAUUAGUAGUCCCUUUACCCGCUUGGAGAGGAAUAGUUUCACCCAAGGUCACACACGUUUCUUUCUGGCUCACCUCCCCGCAUCUCCCGCAUUUCACCUUCAAACGGAAGAUAGCACACAAAUAAUACAAACAAACAAGCUCAAUUAACACAAUCAAGGAGGAAAAUACGGUAAAAACCAACCAAUAGCAGCUAGAAAGAGAAGGAAUCCAAGAAUCAUCACCAAACAUGAUGUCCUCGGAUCAAUUCCAGGGAUAAAAAUCCGAAAACGACAAUAUAACAUUUCAAGUCAAGAGGAGGAUGAUAAAGUGGAACAUGCAGACAUAUCAAAUUCACUUCGAAUUCGACAAGUACUAGUGAAUAAGUUAGAAAUUGAAAAAAGGAUUGAAGAAAUGUAAUGGAAAAGAAGGCAGGACGUUGGAAGAGAUUAAUGAAACAAACUCAAGAAAAUUGAAUGAUAUUAAGAGCCAAGAGGAUUACUUUGAAAAGGUAAGGGAAGUUGGGGUCGUCGCAACCAUCUUGAGGCUGAAGAUUCGUGAGGUUCUCGAGCUCCGCUUUGAUCUUAAGCAAGAAGUUCACCAUUUUUUUUUUAGCGGUUUUGCAUAAUCACACUUCCCGUGCGUGGAAUUUUCGAUUUUAGUCUUUGGGAAGACGGACUAUGGGCUCGGGUCUUCUUUCUAAAACGGAUGACCCGAAAGGAGUUUUCCUAAAUGAUUUUCUUUUUCUUUUUUAAAUACAAAUCUAAAAUAUCUGAUUUGCUAUUCUAGUGUUGAUUUUUGUAACCUUUUUUAUUAUCAUUUUUGCUAUAGAUUUUGGAAACAUUCUUUUUUUUUAAAAAAAAACUUAUUGUUAUUAUUUGAUUAAUUUUUAUUGAAGUUCAAAAUUGAGAAAAGAAUUUCCAUGGUUCAAAAAAAAUUUGAACAGUAGGAGAAAUGUGUUUAUAUAUUCGAGAGGGUAGGAUAUAAAAUUAGACCUUUAAAAAUGCAAAACUAAAAUGGUAUAAACACCCAAAACUCCAGGAAUUUGAAUGUUUAAGUUAAGUUCAAGUUGAUUUUUUGACCUCAAAUUAAUUUUAAAUAAUUAUAUUUGUGUAGAUUAAAUUCUUUUACUAAAUUUCUUAAAACAAUUAUUUAAGAUAAAGUUUCUCUCUAAUCAAACAAGAUUAAAAAAUUUGAAAUAAAAAUUGGUUACUUACGUUUUGUAUUUUGUUUUAUUUUGAUUUCAAUUUCUUUAAAAAUGUAAAAUGUCCUGUUUAGUCUCUAAAAUUGAAGAUGACGUAAGUCUAUAUUUGAAUGGUUAGAUUAUUUAGAUAUUAAAUUACGUUGAUAAAUAACUAAAAAAAUAUUCUUAAUUUAUUAUAUAAUUCUUUUAUGUCGAUGAAAAACAUAAUCAACACAAUAAGCUCAAAUUAAAAUCUAAUUUUGAUCUUAUUUCCUCCCAUUUAAAAUCUCUCACGUCGCUCCAACUUGUUUGUUUCAAAAAUUGACAUUGAAUAAAAUAAAAAAAUAAAUCGAUAACAUCCAUGAUAAAAUAAAGUCAAUAGAAAAUUAAAACUCUACAAAAUUGUAAACAAAUAUUUACACGCUCAAUCACACAAUCCAGAAAGAAAAGGAAAUAACUGGGAAUUGCAAUUACCAUAUUCAGUAAUAUGAUUAACAAAAUAUUUAAUUGAAAAUUAAAACCCCAAAUUAUUUAGGAUUUAUAUUAUUUGACAACUUAAUCAUUAGUAUACAAAAUUUGAACAAAAUAGUAUUUAAACCUAUAAUAUGUUUUCAAAUAAUAUUAAGCAAUCCUCCCUAGCUCGUACAAUUGAUGGAAUGGGCAUCGUCAUCGCCAGUACAAGUGAGAGUGAUAGGAAUUAACAUGAGAAUUGCCCACUUCAAUCGGAGCUUCCUUAGUCUCCGCGGGCGCUGCCAAUUUCUUCACCGGAAUCUCCUUCCCGACAUCUGAGACUGGGGAUGAGGAGAGGCAAGAAGGGAACAAACGGAAAAUUAGAGAGAAGAGACUCAUUUCAAUAGAUGCCCUAACAACUUUUGUCCUACUCGAGAAUGAGAUAGUACACUAUGUUGAUGUUUCUGUGGAAAUUGAUUAUGAAUAACGUGAAAUUAUUUAUAGAGUGUAGAAGAUGAAAGAAUGAGAAGAUCCAAUUGCUUGCUGUACAAGGACCUGCCGUGGAUCCCAAGCACCUACACCACCCACCCAUGGCGGCUUUUGCAAAAUCAACGUGGGGAGUAACUAUCAUUUGUUUAUUUAGGGUUGAAUUAUAUAUAUAUACAUAUAAUACCCAUUUCAUUUGUAUAUCCAAAAGUUGUACUCAUUUUCUUCCCUAACUUUUAUAAAACUUUAAAAAACAUCCAUACACUAAAAACAAAACUUUUUUUUCAAAUAAGGUAAAUAGAGAAAGUAAUAACAAAAAUAAGGUUCGAAACAAAUUAUUGACAAAAAUAUGAAAACAUGAGUCCACAUAUAUAUGAAAAAGAAUGUGAGACCCACAAUUAAUAUAAAUAUUGAAUAAAAUAAGAAAGUGUAGAACUGACAUGUAAUAUAUAUAUAAAUAAUUAAAAGCCCAAAACUACUUUACUUUUGUAGAUGAUUUUUUCAUUUACCUAACUUUGAGAAAAAGUGAGUAAAAACUCUUUAGAAUUUAAUAGAAAAUUCAGAUAUCAAAAUGACAUAUAACACUUUUUUGUUUGUGGUUAUCACUACACCCUUUUAAAUUCCAAUUUCCAUUGAACUUUUAGCAUAGUUAAAAUGUGAGGUAAUAUUACCAUUUUUUAAAAUAUGAAAGGUAUUUUAUUCGUUAGUAUUUAUUUGGGAGCCUUCUUAAAAGUAGCAAAAUAAAUUAAAAUCUUUAUCAAUUAUAGUAAAUUUUUGAGUUCUAACUAUGAUAGAAAGUGAUGGUCUACCAAUGUCUAUUAUUGAUUGAAUAUGAAAUUUUGUUAUAUGUUGUAAAUAUUUUGUCAAAUUUGCUAUUUUUUAGAAGGGUAAUUGUAAUUGAUGAUCAUUUGAGGAAUAAUAAUUAAGGAUAUAGCAAUAUUUAAAAAAAAUUGCAAAUAUAACAAAAUCAUCGCGGAUAAACUUGUAUCACCGAUAGACUCGUAUGAUCUAUCGGUGAUAGACCAAUUUUUACAACAUGAUCUAUCAGUGAUAGACUCUAUCAUUAAUAGAAUUUGACAAACUUUGCUAUAUUUGCAAUUUUUUUAAAAUAUUGCUAUAUAUUUAAUUAUUUUAAAUUUAAUUGCUAAAUAUGCAACUAUCCCCUCUUAGAAUUAUCGGUUUAUCUAUUUAUUAGUAUUUAAUUUAAAAAGAAAUGAAAAGGUUGAUUUAAUUCUUAGUUUAGUAACCAUUAGAAUUGGUCCUCAGUAAUUUUCAAGUUUUAUUUUUGUGUUCAAAAGUUAACUAAAAAAAUGAUUGGUUUUUCUCUUUUAGCUUAGCUUGGGAUAAAGAAAGGUGAAAUAGUGAGAAAAAAAAAUCAAACAGACAUAAAUUUUCUCUAAUUUUGACUUUAAAAAAUAAAUUUUAGUCCCAAUCUUAAAAAAAAAUGUUAGUCAUUAGGUUUUGUUGGUAUCAUUUCAUUUUCAACCACAAAAUUGUAUAGGUAAAAUUAAAAAGAGAGAAAAAAAAAAGUAAAAUGUGCUACACGAAUGAGAAUUUUCUCACUAUAUUGUAAAAAUUAUUUAGUCAUUAAUUAAAAAUGAUCAUAGAAAGAUAAAUUAAUCAAUAGAAGUUGACAUAAAUGAAAAAAUAUACUUUAGUCUCUAAAUUUUAGAAUAAUAACUAUUUUAAUCAUUAUCAUUAAUUAAACAUUUAAAAUGAUGGAAACUUUAAAUAUUGACAGAAAAUAAUAAUAAAAAGUACUAUUAUAUUUAAGGAGUAAAUUAUAUGGAUUAUUGUUUUUGAAAAACAAAAUUGUAUUAGGUAACAAAUUAAGCAUAUGAUUGCUUAUAACUUAGGAAUAAACAUUCUAAAACGUUAGGUGUUGAUUGAAGUUCUAACUUGUAACUAUUUAAGUUGAUUUGAAAAGUAUAUGACAAGAAGUGGUUUGAGAGAUUCUAUUUAAGAAAGUAAUGAAAUUUAAUGGGAAAUGGAUGAUCAGAAGUUAAGUCAUGCAAAAUAUGUAAUUUAGGCAGAGAUGUCAUGCUAAUAACAUACAAAACAGAAGAUGCAUCUUCCAUUGCUAUUUAGAAUUUCCAAACUACUUUGGUAAUGAUGUUAUGUUUGAAUGAUUUCUAAGCGAAAGUCUACAAGAUUUCCAUUUUGCCCUCCAUUCCAUUUACCCUCUGUACUCAAUCUGCCUGUUUUUAGUGUGAUUUUUAGGAUAUAAAUCAGUUUUGGAUGUUUUAUUACAUGAAGAAUUAUGUUGUGUUGCACCAAAUUAUCUCUGAUCCAAUGACUCUUAAGCAAUUCAAAAAGCAUAGCUUUUAGCCAUUGGUGUUUGUGAUUUAAAGGCAUCAAGAGAAACUCAGAGUUUGAUUUGGUGAGAGGUUUUCGAUGGGGAAGAAUGUCAUUUGUAAUGGUUUGAUGUUCAAAAUGUUGGUUGGGAUAUUGACAGUCAUAGUUUGUGGAGUUGUGGAGGUUGGUUCACUUUCUAAACUUAAGACUAAGAAAAUGAGCUCUCUUAGGAAGCAAGCAACUAAAAGCAUUCAGGUACCAAUCUCAGUUUCUUAUUCUUCUUCUCAUUUUGCUCAUUCAGUAUUUUCAUGAUUCUCUAACUUGACUCCCUUUUCACCUAAAGAAAUGAAUAGAGUUACUACAACCACGAGUAGACGAAAGACUAGUUUAUUGUUAGAAAAGAAGAGUUUAUAUAGUACACUCCUACGAACCUUAGAGCCAAAAUUAUAGAUAGCAUAACCAAGUACUCAUGCCUCUUCGGCUGCAUUUUUCUUUAUGUUGCUUGUAGAGCGAAGAUGGCGACAUUAUUGAUUGUGUUAGCAUCUACGACCAGCCAGCUUUUGAUCAUCCUGCUCUCAGAAAUCACACCAUCCAGGUCUGUUUUUUUUCUCUCUAGUUAUCAAUUAGAGUACUGAAAUUUGGUUUACAAGUUGAAGAAGAGGGAGAUUUUUAUGCUAUUUUAAGCCAUUCACCAUUGGUUUGGCAUAGAUGGCACCUACUUAUGAUCCCACCAUGGAUAAGCAUUCAAAGAAAGCAACAGCAGAAGAGGAAGGGAUGGGGGAAAAGAGUUCAAUGGGUGUGAAACAACCAUGGAGGAAAAGUGGCAGUUGUCCUAAAGAAACAAUACCGAUUCGAAGGAUCCGAAAACAUGUCCAACUUAAAGCUAAUUCAGUAUAUAGCUAUGGAAAAAAGAGACCGACGCCUUUGCUCGAAAUUGCUCAGCUUUCCAACAGCCGAAGUUCGCAUUUUCUAUUAAAGAAUCAUUCGGUUUGACCAACAAACAUUUCUUUUUUCCUUUGAUGAAUUCCAUGUUUGUCUUUCUCAAUCUUACCAUCUACUUGACAAUGGUGCAAAACAGAAGGCAAUUCUGCUUGCUGUUGGAGACAACUUCAACGGAGCCAAGGGAGACAUUAAAGUAUGUAACCCCAACGUCGAAUUUGAUGAUGAAUACAGUACUUCCCAAGUGGCUCUAUUAACCGGCCCUUACUAUAACUACGAGGCCAUCGAAUCCGGAUGGGCAGUAAGCACCACUUUAUACUCAACAACAUAUUUGUCUCUCAUUUCAAUUUGCGCUGGUUUUAACAUGUUUGUAUGGUGAUAUCUUAAACCUUCCAGGUAAAUCCAGGUGUUUACGGGGAUCGACAGACUCGACUGUUCGUGUAUUGGACUGUAAGUUAAUGCAAACAACAGACUGUCUCCUUCCCUUGAAUGUCAUCAGAUAGACAGGAAUGUUAAUUAUCUCUAAACAGAACUAACUUAAAAUUGUUUUCUUUCGGUGUUAUUAGGUUGAUGCUUCCCAUAAAACAGGUUGCUUUGAUCUAACUUGCCCUGGUUUUGUUCAAACAAGUAAUGAAAUUGCUCUUGGUUCUGCUAUUUAUCCAAUCUCAACUUCAACUGAUCUUCCAUUUGAAAUAACUAUGUUCCUUUUUAGAGUAAGAAAUGAUUUGGUUUCCUUUUCAAAUCCAUUUAUAUGCUUCUUUUCAUAUAUUAUCAUCUUCUCCAUUCUAUCUUCCCUCUUCCUCUUUCCUUUCAGGAUUUCGAGACCAAUAAUUGGUGGGUACAAUAUGGUGAAAGCAUUAACAUAGGUUAUUGGCCUUCUGAGUUAUUCAAAGCUCUAAAAUAUACUGCAGAAACAGUACAAUGGGGAGGGGAAGUUUACAGCACAAAGUUGGGAGGACCUCCUCAUACUGGAACAGGUAUGGGCAAUGGAAAGUUUCCUGACUACAUUUCUGGUGAUUCGGGUUGGGUAAAACGAAUAAGAGUUCGAGACAACUCGAUGAUUUUGAAGUUUCCUAAUUUUGUUGAACACUACUCCGAUGAAUAUGAUUGUUACGAUGUCGAUUUUAUCCGAGAAUAUUUAGACGAUCCUGAGCUAUACUAUGGAGGACCUGGUAAGAAUUGGAGGUGUCCUUGAAGGGGACUUUUACAAAAAUAGGAUAUCCAUCAAGUACAUUAGGAUCCCUUCAUGUAAUGAAUAAUAUAGUACGGUAAAGAUGAAAGUUCUUUCUUUUGUUUCAAAUUCUUACUUGCAACUUGCAACAGUGUUGCCUUCCUUCCUAGCCAACUUUUCCAGCAUCUAGAAAUAAAGAACCUUAUAAAUUGAUACAUGCCCGAUUCUCUAAGACAUAAGACCAAAACAAAUAGGAUUAGGAUUUAUUCAUAUUUCAAAGUGUUCGAGUAUAAAUCAUGUUAAAUCAUUGAUUUAUAAAAAAAGAAAUCAAGUGUAUUAUAUCAUCUGACACGCUUCUCACGCGUGGACUUAAAAUAUGGAACACUCAACAAGUAAAAAGCGAGUUUAAAUACAAGAUUUCUUAGACCAUCUGCUCUGUAUAUUUAAUGUUAUAUCAUCCGCAAAUGUAAAAAUUAGAUAAAUUAAUAUUUGAAUCGUUAUCCUCAAUUAUUUAGUGAUAAUUAGUAUCAUGUUAAUCAACUCAUCCAAGUAUCAAACAAGCAUGAAAUGGACAUUUAGGAGGAAAACUCCCAAACAAUUCGCCUAAGCAUUACAUCAAAAAUUUCUUUCAAGGUCUAAGUUGAAGUCCAAAUUCCCAUGACAGCACUGAAAACUGGGUUUGAAGUCUCAAUUUAGAAUAGAACUCGUCGUGCAUGUGACAGACAGAUGUGGUUAUUUCCUUAAAAGAGCAAAAUCCAGAUGCCAAAAGUGUAUAUAGCACACUGUGAUAACUCACUCAUAUUCCCAUGGCAUUGACAUGUAAAUCUCCAGAAAUGUAUUUACAUAUGAAUAUAAACUGUUCUGAGGUAGGGGAACAAGGGGGAGAAGGUAAACAAAACAUUAUACUCCAAAAGCAGUGUGUAAAAUAAACUAAUAAACAACAUAGUGAGACAAUUCAAAGAUAAUUGAGGUAAUGGAGAAAGGAAAAGGGGAGAAGGAACUUGCUAAAUUGAGUCAUACUGUUUUCUCUCAUUUUGAAUAGAUUGGAAAAUUCGAGCAGCUGAUUCGUUUGCAGAUCUUCUAUUGUGUGGGACAACUCGAAUUACACGUGUUUGGUCGGAGUCUGAAGGUUGAGGACCUUCCUCUACAAGCGGCUGAGCUACAGGGAAAAGUGAAAGUACAUUGUGGCUUUCAGCAGUUCGAUUGACCUUAUUUCCUUGCACUUUGCUAGUAGGACUACAGACAGGACUGCUUGCAGUACUUACUUGUACUUCACUCCUUUUAGGUGCUUGAGACUUGGCAGUUCGUGAAACAGUUUGAUUUUCAUCUCUAUCUCUCUGUGUUGAAACAUCAUAUGAAGUUUGAUGCUGUAUAUUGGAAGCGGCCACACCUCCUGAUAAUUGAUUCGGAUCUCCUGUGUACCAGUUAACUUGAUCGACAGCAAAACCUGACAUACCCGGGUUCAUGACUGGCAUGCCAUAAGGGGGGAAGAAGGAACCACCAACCAUGGGAGUGGUAGGAAGGGCUCCAAUCCCUUGAUGAACAGAAGCUGGAAAUCCAUAGGAUGGGUUCAUCAUUGGAGCCAUUGGACCAUAAGGUCCACAUCCUCCAUAAAUAAAUCCAGGCCCAGGGUAAGGCUUAUAGAUGAGUCCUUCAGAAGGAGACAUUACAGGGACCAGCCAGUGAUGUGCUGAUGUCUGGUACCAACUGCUUAAUUUAUUAUCAGAAGAAACAGAAGUUGGUUGUGGAUUUACUGAAUAAGGCCCAUUAGUUGAAGGCUGGCAAUUAAUUGGCUCAAGAGGAAGAGAUGUCUUCCCAACAGCAUUUUCUGCUGAACAUUCCACAUUGUGUUUUGGCUUCUUAGGGUCAUCACUGGGCUGAAGUUGCACAUGUGAUUUGACAGUGUAGUCUGACCUAAGUUUCUUUGCAGGAAGAGGGCUUGGAGAAGAAUUGUCCAGAAAGACACCAUCUUCAAGUAAUAGAUGAGGUGAUCCAGCAAUUAACCGUUGGACCUGUUUGCGUCAUAGAGAGAGAGGUAAAUCAAUAAUGCGAACCUCAGGGCACAAACGCUCUGCUAUCUGAAGAAACUAGAUCAGUUUACCUUGAUAAGUCUAUGCAACUCGAAUACUUGGACCUCAAACACUCUCUGUUGACUGCAGAGUAAUAAAAGUUCAAAGAGUAAAUCACCCAACAUCAUAAGUGAAAUCAAACGCCACAUCUUGAAGUUGAUAACAACAAUUAAUUCAUAGCAUUGAAAUAGAAUCAGCUCAUAAACAUAUUGUUAAAGUAGUUGCCUGCACGUCACAAACGCUUAGCACCGAACUGACGCUUUGCAAAAUAGCUCAACUAGCCUAAUUGUGGAAAACAUAACAAUCUUGCUGCAUACAGUUAUUAUCUACAAGACCUGAACUGAUUUCAAAAUUCUAUGUAGCCUAUUCAACCACAAGAUUCUCUAACCUCCCAAAGUCAUCACAACCUUAAAAUUCCCUCUAAUUAAAUUUGCUGCCAUCACAGCCAUGAUGCUCUCUAUAAAUGAAGGCAACCAUACCUAGGAGGAGUAUAUGACAUCUACGUACAAUGCUUUUUAAUGUGCAAGUAUCGAAUCACUUUCUUCAGGGAUCUAGUUAAUGUUUAGUACAAAUGUGAAAUGCUUAAAGGAAUCAAACGCUCAUGAAUAAUAAAAGAUAAAGAUAAAUAUAAAAUAUCCUCAUUCCCAAUUCUUCCAAUGGUAGACAUGCUCCAAAACUGCCCUAAUGCAUCACCAAAAAAAAAAAAAAAAAAAAAAAAAAAAAAACUCAACACGUGAUCAAUGAACAGAAAAAUCAGAGUUCUCAAACAGUCAACUAGGACUUCAUGAAUUAACCCCAUCAGCAAGCAAAUCAAUAAAAUGGAGACGUGAUGCCCAGAAUAAAUGUGAUAUUCAUUGGUAAAACAGAGUCCUUUUCUUUUUUCCCCUUGAUUGAAAAGCAUGGUAAUAACAAGAAAAGUUAGCAAAUAUACUCUUCUUAAGUGGUGCACUCAGUUGUAGAAGGGAAAGAUCUAAAAAGAACACUAAUUUCAUCCAUAAAAUCGAUUCUACUAAAUCUAAAGAAGUUCUGUACUGUCAAAAUAUCCUCCAACGAAUGCUCCUGAAAUCCUUUGGAUGCUCCAUUUCUGCUCUCAUCCCCCAAGUGCCAUCAAAGGAAACUUUCCACGUGAUUACAGAAAAAAGGAGACUGAGCAGUACCCAACCGAGACAGUCAUACAUUUACACGAAGCAGAAUCCAAUGGACAAUGAAUGAUCAGAUAAUCAGUUGUCUCGGAGGUUGCCCAGCACAAAGUAACUGUAUGCACAUUGCAUAGUCCCUGCUAAAAGACGAUCCAGUAGCCAUGUCAAAAUAUUAUUGAAGGCCAAAGAUUCACUUAAAAGGGAACCUGAGAUUAUGAGUUCUUACCUUUACUAGGGCAUAAAGUGAUUCGUCAUUCAAAUAUAUCUACUUCUAUACUUCCAACUUUAGUACUUGAGCACUUAAUUAAAUGAAAGAACGAUGUGAGCACAAAAAAUCACAAGCAAUUAGACAGAAAUGAAAUAGUUCAUUGAAAGGAAGUGCUGGUACUUGAAAUCCAUAUCAACAUCUAAAUUCUCCACAGAUUCAAAUAAUUUUCAAUUUCUACAUCAGUUAUAUAAUAAUCAUGACAUUCAGAUGCAUCACCCCAGGGAAACAGAAAAGACACCUACAAUAGCAGGCAACUUACUUGAUAAUUGCUCUUCUGGCUUUCCAGAAAUGUUUUUGACCUAUUAUUCCUACAACGUCAUCCGGACAGAUUUCCGAGCCAGAAAGUGAGUCAACCAUUGAAUUCUCAGAGACAAUGUCACUUUUGUCCGCAUUUCCCACCUGCAUGGAACUAUAAGUCCUUUCUACAUGAUUCUCAACAUUGUCAACAGGAACAAUCAACCUCUCAUUCUUUAGUGAAGAAUGAGUGUCCACUCUUGAGCAGGGAACGCUAUCGGCCUCCCCAAAUCUUGUAGGCUCAACUACAUCAACGACACAUCCACUCUCAUCCAAUUGAAUAUUGGAUCUUGAAUGUCGAUGUAGCCGAACAUCGCUAUCUUGCAAUUUGUCAAAUCUGGUAUUGGAUUUAUCUUGAAAUAUUUGAUCUUUAGAUAUAUUGGUUUCUUUCUGGAGUCCAUCAGUAUUUCCUCUGUCCAAUAAAUUUGUUGUGGACUUUCUAGGAUGGACCCUACUUUUUUCAUUCACCUUAUUCCCAUUUGUUACUUGUCUCGAGUGGGCACUAGAGGAUGUAAGAUCAAGAUCAUUUUGACCUUUCUCAUAACCAGCUUGCAAAAUUGUAGAACAAUCAGAAUGUUUUGGUCCAGGAGAAGACAAUUUUUCCUUGUGGUCACUAUUUUGAACUCCACUUAUACCCAUCCUCGAUUGGUCAUAUACUGGUACCAUGAAAUCAUCUUCAUCUUCUGCUUCUGUUGUCUGCCGACUCUGCUCAGGCUGAACCAAUGGAGGAUUCUCAUUUACUUCACCAGAUGGAAGAGCUUGAGUAUUUCCGACCUGACUAGUAGAAGUUGGUGAAGACAGAUUUAAUGGCAGGCGCAGAUUUCCAUCAGCUCCUGUACCCUGAAAAGAUUUUCAUUUGGGGUGUUAAAAGCACCAUUUUCUGAACAACCAAAUUCUCAUGGUUCUAGUAGCUCCUUAUAUGCGAACACCAAUUUUCACUAAUGUAAGUAAUCCGAUGGGAAAAAAUAAAACCAUUGAACUCCAGUUUGCAAUGAUUAGUCUGAUACAAGAUUGUUAGCUAGGAACUAAAUAAACUAGGAGAAGGGAAUAACGAUUAGGCAACAAUAAACUUACAAAAUAACCGGUAUAUUUCAUGCUCCAGCAAUAAACAAACAUCAAUCCAAAUGAUCACAGUUAAAAAGUAACAUAUCAGACUAUUGAAAUUGGUAUCCUUCGGUGGUCUGUUCACUACAGAUAAAUUCAAGAAUAUGUUGUGAACGUCCCCAAAUCCCACAUGAUAUAAAACUAUUAAAAAGCUCAGAUACAAAGGUCAAUUUUCAAACAUAUCAAACACGAACUACUAUCUACCUGGCUUGAGGAUGGUAUGGCAACUGGUUUACUGGAGAUGUUUGUCUUGAGAGGCAGAACCCCGGGACUCGAACGUUUGGAUGGCACAGUGAACUGUUCAUAGAGGGCCAUCUUAUUCCUUGGAGGGGCUCUUGGCCAACCUUUCUCGGUAUCAUUAACAUGGAGCCUAGGAAACAUAGGUUCCAUCGUCUUCUCGUCAUCCUUUCCUCUCUUCAUUGUUUCGUUUCCCAAAUUCAACCCAAAGUAAGGUUACAAAGACAUGUAUUCCCACUCAUUUUGACCUCCAAAACCAAAGACAAACUUCAGGGAGCUAGAAAUUAACCUCGCAAGUCAAUUAAGUCUACAAAAUAGUCUAACUUGAUUCAAACCCAGAAGUUAUCGUCCUGAAAUCAGCUCGGAAAUAUGCAAGGCAAGCCCCCCAGAAACGAGCUCAAAGUCUAGAAGAUUUCCUAAAACCAAGCUAUCAUAGCCCAAAAUACAAAUAACCCAAGUGAUGAAAUUGAAGUCGGUUUCUUGUAUGUAUGAGAACCAACAACAACAACAACAACAACAAUAACUUACCCGGAAUUCAAAUCCAAUCCGAUCGAAUUGAGGUGGAGCUUCAAUCAGACGGAAAUGGAUGGAGAAAGAAAGCAAAAGGAUAUGAAUCGUUGAAGAGAGUGAGAAGAAACGAUGAAAGAGGAGAAAUCGAUAAGAGAACAAGGGAAUCGGGAAGAAAGAGAAGGAAGAAGAAGGGGUAAGGAUUAAUUCAUGGAUUUCUCUAAAAUCAUAGGAGUCAAGAAGAGAGAAAAGGGGCAAAAGUGCGAAGGAGUGGGUCCUCUUAGGAUUGAGCUAGAAGAUCCUUUUAGAUAUAAACCAUGAUCUCCGUUUUCUACCAAACCCAAAACUUAGGUAAAAUAUAAUUCCAUAAAUACUUCACCCAAAAUCCUACAUCAUUUUUUUUUCAUUGUUAUUCUUUUUUUAAAAAUCAACCUUCUUUUCUUCACAUUGGAAAUUCUCCUCACACUAUUUUUAAAUUUUAAUCUAUUUGUUUCAAAUUCAAUAUUAACGUCUUCAAAAUAUUAAAUUUAUCUAUUUAACCUCUAGACGGAUGAUAAAUUUAAUUUUAAUUUUUUGAAACCCCAAUAAAAAAAGAGACUAUAUAUUUCACUUUUUUUUUUUUGAAAAUGCUUAUUCUCUACCCAUCAACUUUUUAAAACAACUUUUAAAGACAUUAAAAUAUUUCUAAGCAUCUUACCCAAAAAAUUUUAAAAAAAUAAUAUUCAUUUUGAUAGUAUCUUAUAGUACAUGAGAAUCAUGAAAAAUACAUUCCUUAAUUAUUAAUUAUUAUUAAAUUUGUUUUGAUAAUUAUAUAUAAAAGAAAAAACUGUAAUUUUAGAAGCGAAAUGAAAAUUAAUUACCUGAGUUAUUUAUAGAUUUUUAACUAAAAAAGUUAGAUAUUUUUCACGACUGAGAGAUAUUUUCACGAGUUUCAAGUAACAAGGAAAAAAUAUCUUCUAAUAAUUUAAGUCUUUUUCUUUUUCUUUUUUUCUUUUCUUCUUUUUCUCUUUUUUACAUCUCAUUACUGAAUUCAAUGUUUAUGUAAAAUAUAAUAAUUUGGUAAUAUUGAAUUUCAUUCAUGAUUUCAUGUGAAACAUAUAUCAUAAAUAAAUAGAUCCAAACCCCUAAUUUAUUAAUGGUGAUGAAGAAAAGUGAAAACAAAUUUGUAAGUAACGUUAAAACAGUUUUAUAUGUGGGAGUUUUGAUUUUAGUUUCCAUAAUGUCUAUGGAACAAAUUAUUAAAAAAUCAAAACAAUAUUUUACUAUUUUUUAAGUAUAUAUAUAUGAGAUUUGAACUAUAGCAUUGCGUGUGAUUGGUAUCGUUAGUACAUUCUAACGUCCUUUAAGCUUAAACUCAUAUUAACAAAUUAGACGAUCAUUUUAUAAUAUAAUAAAAAUGUUGAUCAUAUAGCUCAUGUUGAUGUUUAAAAAUAAUAAUUAAGUAUGUAUAGCAACAUUUAAAAAAAUUACAAAUAUAGCAAAAAUCUAUCAGUUAUAUACUUCAAACACUCGUACGUAUGUUAGUAAUAGAUCGGUAUUUACAAAAUAAUCUAUUAGUAAUAUAUUUCUAUGGUCAUUAGACUUUGACAAAUUUUGCUAUAUUUUGUAAAAAGAAAAUUAAACUUUGUUAUAUAUUUAAUUAUUUUAAAAUUUAUUACUUAUUUAUAACUAUUGAUGGACGCACUGUUAAAAAUACAUAUAUUUUCAUCACCUUUGAAUUUAUCAAGAAACUGAAAUUAUAUUUAUUGUUCUUGAAAAAUAGAUGAUAUUUUAAAAAUAUAAGAAUACAUAAUUCUCUAAUUUACAAAUUACAAUGAUACAUUUAUUUAUGGUCACAUUGGCUGAGGCACUGAGGUGAAAAAUAUCUUUUUUAAAAUAAAGGCAAUAACGUAGAUAUAAAUUCCAACGGUUUCUUAUCAAUCUAACGGCAGACGAACUUUCGAUCUUCACCGUCCAAUUUCAUUUAUUGUCCUUUAUCUCCUUACGCAUCUGGACUCCCGGCCUCCACGUAAUACAUUGUUUAAUUUUAGUUUCCACGUGGAACCUUUUAUCCGUACUCGGUGUCUCACAGCUGGCAGCAGCAAAAUACUGAUUUUUAAAUACCUAUUUUAGUGUCUAAUUUAAAAAAUAUAGUAAAUAAAUAAACAAGGAUUCCAAAUAUAUUGAUAAUAUUAUAACUAAGAAUAAUGAGGAUAAAUUAAAUAAGGUUUAAUGAUAACAGAUAAGUUGUGAUUGGCUUUAGUCAAAAGAAAAAAAAAAGGUUGUGAUGGUAAGAAAAUGACAACUAAUAAAGAAAUAUAUCCUUAGUAUUUAUCUAAUUUUAUGUCUAUUGGUACAUGUCAUCAUUUAGUCAUAUAAUAAAGAGAAAAGGUAAAAAUUAGAUUAUUAUUGUUUUUAAAAAAUAAUGAAAUAAGACUUGUGAGUAUAGUCAAUAAAUAAAAUUAGUCAAAUAAUAAAUAAAAAACCCACGUUAUUGUAGUUUAAUGUAUUUAUCAUUUGUAUAUUUGAAAUAUUUUUUAAAUAGAUAUUGAUAAAUUAAUAUAUAUCAAUAUCGCAUUUGAAAUGAAUUGUAAAUUAAUUAUUUAUGUUAUUGACGUAAUAAUAUUGUGUCGAGUAUUUAACGUGUAAAAUAAAGUAAAUUUAUUGGUAAUGAGGUGUCUAUUGCUAUUGAAUAAAUGUGUUUAGUACCUAGAAAUAAUUUAAUAUUUAAAAAAAAAAAAGUUAUGACUUUUAAUUUUUAAAACAAUUAAGAAAAAUCUUAACAUCAAGUUUUAAAUAUGUUAUUUCAUAAAGUUCACUAAUAACUUUUAAAAUACUUUUAAACUUUAUUUUAAAAAAAGUUAUUGAAAUAGUUUGAAUAAAUAUGAAUAUUUAAAAGAUUUUUCUAUCUCUAAGUAAUCCAAAUAUAUGCUAAGAACACUUUAUGAAUUAAAAAUUGUCACUUUCCUUUCUUUUGUGAGAUUACAAGAAAAUAGUAUUGUUACAUAAGAAAGUUUUAUUUAGUAUUUAACACGUCUUUAGAUAAUAUAUAUUAUUGUUAUUUGAUGAGUGAUGUGUAAUUAUUCAUAGUUAUUUUUUUGUAUCAAACAAAUGGAAGUAGUAUGAAUGUUUUUAAUACUAUUAUCGUGGAACUAUAAAUUUUUUCAAAUAAAACUUAACAUUGAGUUGACCAUAUGGUUAUCAUUGGGAUUUUACUCAUGAAUUGGAACCUAAUUUUAGUUUUUUAUUUUAUAUAGUUACAAAAUUUUGAUUGAAUUACAUUUUUCAAAAGACAAAAUUGAUUCAAAUGUAUAGUUUUCACACAAUCCAGUUGAAAAAUAUCUGUUUUUAAGAUAGUAUAAACUACUCGAACAUAAUAAAAAAAGUGAAACAAAGUUCCAUUUGACAAAUCGAAAAAGGAGGUUGAUUUGAAAAAGAAAACCCACGACAAAUUCCAACCAUUACCAAAUUACAUUACAAUACAACGAACACAUUUGUUGUUAGAGAACCCAUAGAAAACCUCGUCAAUAGCCUUAUACGAGUGUCUUAACCUACCUGUUUCGAACUUUCUUUUUUUGGAGUGGAAUAUUUAUGGAAUCCCCAUCCAUAUCCGGCAAGAUUAAGAAUGCCUGGUUAUAGGGUCCUUGCCAAACUCAACAAAAAAAAAAAAAACAAAAAUGAGUUUGAAUCUUUAACAGAAUCCGUAUACUCAAAAUAAAUCAAAAAUUUCAUUAAAUAUGUGUAUCUAGGGGUAAUUCACUUUGAAGCAACUAUUCCCUAGAUACACACAUCGUGAUAUUUUAUUUAUUUCACAAUUGAAUCAAUUUAAAAAAGACCUAAAGUUAGGGAUUUAUCAAUCGGUAAUGUUGCUCCAAUACCCAAAACUCUUCGACAGAAUCAACCAAAAUCACAAUCGAAACACCACCACCUUGAAAAUCCACAUAGGUAUGUAAGCAUAGUAACAUUCAUAUAUAAGAUCACACUUUGAUCAUCGUACAUACAAAUUCACUAAUGGCCCAAGUCGAUCACGCAUUAUUGGUACAAAAAAUCAAAACAUAUAUAGAAUAAAAAAAGAAGAGCCUCAAAGACCGUACCCAUCUCGUUUCUCCACAACACAUUGCUUCUUUGAACUCUCGAGACAAAUCAAAGAAGUUUCUCAAAUAUGAGUUGGAGAAACGAUAUUAAUAAAUUGGAAGAAUUGACUAACAAAAACUCUUCCAUAGAAAAAAAAAAAACAAUACCAACAAGAGAAGAAUCUAACAUUAACUAUUUAAAAUUUUAAUUAUUACUAUGUAGAAUCCGUUUGUUAUUUGUUAAUUUUUUAAAAAAAUAUGAGUUAGCAGAAAGUAUUAUAGAUUGAAUUUGUUAAUUACCCUAAUGUGCAAUAUCGACAAAUAUUCAUUACCAAAUUUAGAUUCCAAGUAAUUAAAAGCAAUAAGUUCGAAGAGAAAAUUGAAUGAUUCGCUCAAAUGGCGAACACUCCUCCUUCUCACCAGACGUGUAUUCCUCUGCCUUCGGACUCAGGUCACUCUCUAUUUCCCCUUUCUUGCCUUCUUUCGGAUUGGACUUCCAUUUUCAUUCAUCAUCAAUUUCAUUUUGUUUUGAUCUGUCUUUCUUCCUCUUAAUCCAUACUUACUUGUUUCAACUUCUGCCUUUUGGAUUGACGUCCAAUUCUCCGUAGCCUAGGAGGACAUUGUUUUCUCUCUUAUCCAAGCUUUAAUUUCUGUUUGUUUGUCCAAUGAGGAAUCGCGGAAUAAACUCGAUUGAUGUUGGAAACUGAUUUUUGAUGCAACAGAAUCACAAUGAUGUAAUUAUCCAUGGUUAGAGUAGAAGAAUUUUUUCCGAAUUUUUUAUAGACAUACCGCUCUUUAUGUCACUUCGUUUUAGUUUCAGCUCAUGCGGAUAGGUUUCGGCUUUCUUCAUUGCUUUUGCCGCGUAUGGUUUCCUGAUUGCUUUACCCGCGCGUGUUCCGUCGAGAAUUUUAGUUAUUAUGUUCAUUUUAAAAUUGGGAUGAUGGAAUGUUUUAUAUAGUUGAUAUUUUGCGCGCUGUUUAAUGUUAAAUGGAACAGUAGAAGAGCUUAAUGACCAUUCGCUCCUCAGCUUCUGUAUUCAUAUUUUCAUUUCGUUUGAAGAUUUUUUUAUCAUCUUCCAAUGAUUUCCAUUUCGUGUGGGUGUUAGGUGAAAAUCAGACCGAUCCUGAAGCCAACGCAACCUUGGUUCCUAUACAUAUUGUUACUCAUGUAUCUCAACUGCCUAAAGAAUUUGUUGAACCAUCACCUGAAAAGCCUUUGGUAGUUGGCUUUGAUUGUGAAGGUGUUGACCUGUGUCGCCAUGGAAACCUAUGUGUCAUGCAGGUAAAUAAAAUACUAAGAACAAAUCAAAGUUUUACCAUCCUUGUGGAUAGUAAUAAAUUUUAGGGCAGAGGCGUGUGUGUUAGUUAACCUCUUAACUAAGGGAGUCGGUGGUUCUAGUUUAUAAUUUCAAUUUUUCUAACCAUCUUGUGAUAGUCAAUUGAAUCAAUUCAUAAUCCAAGUUGCGGCCUUGCAAGAAAAUGACUAAUGUCUAAUAGUCUAAUAUUCUGUUAGAAAACAGUGAUCGAAUUAGUUGAAUUUACCUUUCCAUCUGUGUUCAUUUCUUGCCAGAUUGCAUUUCCAGAUGCUGUAUAUCUGGUUGAUGCUGUUCAGGGAGGAGAGGAGCUUGUGAAAGUCUGUAAGCCUGCUCUUGAGUCCAAAUAUGUCACAAAAGUUAUUCAUGAUUGCAAACGAGAUAGCGAGGUCUCUUUUGGACACUGUUUUCACCAUGGAAUGCCUUCACAGCGACAUGACAUGUUUUAGCUAAUAUUUACUCUACUUUUCCUCCCUCUGUAGGCAUUGUACUUCCAGUUUGGUAUCAAGUUGAACAACGUUAUCGAUACACAGGUGAUUAUCAAUUGUGAGAAGCCUGACACUCUUCACUUGUUUACACCAUUUUAUCAUGCAUUAUAAUUAUAUCUUAUUUUAGAGGGCUUAGCCACUUAGCAUGCCAAUAUAAUGUUACUAAAGCAUAAGUAUUUUUUGUAUUUUUCAUCUUCUACGUUUUAUUAUUGAACUUGAAACUGCCAUAUAAGGCCAUAUCAGGAGAGUGGAUCUUACUAAUCCACAGACCAUGCUCCCAUUGUUUCUAAUCUAGGUUUCUUGAAGUUCUCAUGAUGUUGCGGUGUAUGAUUUGAAUCUACAAUCUGAAGUGUUAUUAUAAUUUUUUAAGUAUACAUAAUCAUUAUGAAGGUUUAUGUGAAUAUGCAUAUAUUCAAAAAGAAGAGAGAAGAGAGAGUGUGGUUAUCUUGUGACUUUUCAAAUGCAACUAAAGAGUUUGCUUAUUGAUUUAAGAAGUGAUCUAAACAAUUUAUUUUAAGUUUGAGCUACCUUGUAAUUGCUUUGGGGUUAAGCUGCAAUAUGGAGGAAGGCUGAGUUAUUUGGACCUUCCUUCUUUAAUUUUCAAUUGUAUUACUUGAUUCAGAUUGCAUAUUCACUUUUAGAGGAGCAAGAGGGACGGACAAAGACACCAGAUAACUAUAUCUCAUUUGUUAGUCUUCUUGCAGAUUCACGUUAUUGUGGUAUUAUUUUAAUCCUAGUACCUAGAUAUUCUACAUUUUUUAUCAUGGAAAUUUAUGCAUACUUUAAUUUUUUGGAUAAAAUCACCUACUCACUCAAAAGUAUUAACUGAUAAUUGCUUAUUAAAAGGCAGCAAAGCUUGAUUUAUUACUUGGCAUCUUCAUCUAAAGACAAUUCCAUAUUUCCUACGCAUUAUGAUGGUGGUGUUUCCAUGAGCUGCAUGGUUGGGGGAUAGUGAUCCACACAAGUGAAUGCAUACCUUAAAGUUUAUUUCAUGCUAAAAGAUACACAAGGCUGCCACCGGAAAAUGGGAAGCACGUCUUUCCACCUAAAAAAAAACUAUUACAAGAACUAAAAGAAAGGAAAAUACCCAACUAAGGACUAUUUCACAACCAAAGAGAGAACAAGAUUGGCAGGAUAAGGCUAAGAAAAUCAAGUUGUGCCUAGUCAAAUAGAUUAUCAACCAGAAGAACCUCCUGUCUGAAAAGGGUAAAAGAGUAGAAAUUUGAAAUUGAAAGGCAAUAACAAUCUUAUUUACUAUCGUAUACUCUGUUUACUUUUUCUUACUUUUGUUACUCUUUUCUUGCUACUGAAAACGUCGGUGGUUGCUGCUUGGUUUCUCAAUGUAGAAUAUAGGCUGCUGGAAAUUCAGUGCAAUGUAGUAAAUCCUUGCUGAAUCUCUUGUUAGAUAAUUUAUGAGAACAAACUUUGGUGCAGUUUUCAAAGUAAAAGUCCCUUAAUAUGUGGCCUUUUACUGGUUGACCUUUUCAAAUACGAAUCUAGUGACUGGAUUAAAUAAGGAAUCAUAAUUUGCAAUUGCUAAUUUGCAACCUCAUAGAUAUGUUAUUGCCAGAUGAUAGAUAUCGUUCGCAUUCAUUCUGUCCUUUCUUCCUCAAUAUGUUGGAGUUGCUUGUGGGGAUUGCAGAUUUUAUAGUUCAAAUUGUAGGUGUGUAAGAUUUGAAAGUGUCGAUCGAGAGUUAUAUUUUUUGGUGAAAAAGGCAAAAGCCUUUUUUCUGAUUAGACUUAUAGGGAAAACUUUUUUAAGAGUGUUUCUAGCUCGUUGGACUCCUUAUCACUUCCUCAUACCUUGUGUUUGAUUUUUUUUUUUUUUUGGUCUCAUCUCCCUUCUACUUUUUUAUUUGAAGUAAAGGGAACAUUAAAUUCCUCUCCAUGUGUAUUUCCUUUUUUUUCCUUUAAUAUUUGUACGUAGGAUAUAAAUUGUUUGACUUGCUAAUUGAAUUAUCAGAAUUUUCUGAAAACUGCAUUAUAGAAUCUACGUCAAAUUCUUAUUAUCACUGGUGAAAUUGAUAAGCUUUUGUUAUAUGAAAUGCGUUCACUUUUUAUUUUAAAACUUAAUACGUUUUGCUGCUAAUGCUGCCAGUGUGCCAUUUAUUCUGACUAACCAAUAUGUAAUCCUCACGCUUAAAUGUAGGUGUAUCAUAUGUGGAGAAGGAAGAGGUCCGGCUCUUACUUAGAAAGGUUAGUUUUGUCAUAGUUUUUAUUGCUGUGGAGAAUAUUGUAUCUAGGCAAGAAUUUCUGUGGUUCUACAUAUUAAGCAUUGUUUUUCGUGAUGGGGUGCUUUGUUGGUCAGAUGUGCUUGAUUCAUAAAUGUAAUAGUCUUUUAUUUUGGAGUAGCACAAGUAUAAAUAUAACGUAGAGACAGCUCAAGUCUUUUUAGUCAACAAAAAUGACAUGUAAACAAAGAUAAUUACUAUGCAAGUAUAGUAUAACUAUGACCGUAACAUGAUAAGAUGCAAAAUGUCAUCUUAUCAUAAUAUUAAUAUGCAGGUAUAGUAUAAGUGUUCUGCAAGUUUCAUGUAUCUUUGCAUAAAACCAAAAUUCUAAAUUUAUAUUUUACAGGACCCCAAGUUUUGGACCUAUAGACCAAUGUCUGAAUUAAUGGUCCGUGCAGCUGCGGAUGAUGUACGCUUUCUGCUUUACAUCUAUCACAAGAUGAUGGAGAAAUUGAAUCAUCGAUCACUGUGGUAUCUUGCAGUGCGUGGUGCUUUGUACUGUCGCUGUUUUUGCAUCAGUGAUAAUGGAUAUGCCGACUGGCCUCCUCUCCCUUCCGUUCCAGGUUUUCUUUAAGAACACACCUUACCAUGUUUAUUAUUUCCAUAUAAUUGGAUGAAUACUAAAUUGAACGCUCUAUAUUUUAAGUUGAUUAAAUAUAACUGCACACUUUUCAACAUGUACAGUUGCUCACAAUGGUUUCCCCGUAGUUUUUCCUUAUUGUUGGCUUCUUUUAUGUUAUGAUAACACCAUUGAUAUUGGGUUCAAAAUUUAAAAGGGCCGUUGAGCUAUGUGAGAAACGUUGGCUUACCGUGUUUCAUUCAAUUAUCCAAGUACUGCUGGAAUCUUCUCUAAACAUCAAAUAUGUUAAAAUUUCAUUAAUGUUUUAUUAUAUGUUUAAGGGUUCUUAUAGUAGACUACAUUUCAUUUCAGAUCUUUGAAGAAAAAGAAGAAAAAACAACUUUUCUAAAUUUGAUGCGUCUAAAACCUUUUGUUUCAUGGUCUCAGUCAAUCGAUCAUUUAUAUUGGAUUAACAUGUUUUUUCAGAUAACCUUGUAAAAGAGGGAAAUGCUCCUGAAGAAGAAAUUCUUUCAGUCUUAGAUGUUCCUCAUGGAAUGAUGGGUCGCGUAAUUGGUAGGAGGGGAGCCUCAAUUUUGUCAAUAAAGGAAUCUUGCAAGUAAUUCCUUACCGCCAACAUAUAUCCUUUCAACUUCAUUUAUAUAUCUUUUAGGCUAAAAACAAAAAAUCAUUUCCAUUGUUUCUCACCCACCUUGGAUUUUUUUUUAUAUAAAUGCAGUGCGGAAAUUCUCAUUGGCGGUGCCAAGGGCCCACCGGACAAGGUUAGUCCCUUCUCAUCACUUCAAAACAAAAUACUAUAAAGCCCAAAAAAUUUGAUGCUGUUCUUUAAACAUGGGAAGAUAAGAUAGAUUAGUUCCUGCAUUCUUCCCCAUUUGCUUCAAAUCCCACAGCUUAGACUAAAACUCAAGUACUCUUUUCAAGUUCUUCGUUCCACGAACAAACAGGGCUCAUUCUCCUUGCUUUGAAGUUUCGAAUAUCAUCCAAAAAGCUGUUGAAUAUUGAAAGUUAGUGUUGUUUUUAUGUAGGUACUCAUCAUCGGAUCGGUGAGACAGGUGAGGAAGGCAGAAGCUAUGCUAAGAGGAAGGAUGCUUGAAAUAUGAUUGAAUGAAAAAGAGGAAAAAAGGGAGAGAAAAAAAAAUAUGAAAGAACGAAAGAAUGAAAGAAUGAAAGAAGAAAGAAAAAGAAAAAAGAAAAAACCUGUGUGAUUGUGAUGAAAAUGAACUAAAAAUUGAAACAGUAUGGUGUUUUGUGUAUUUGGAAGAAUGGAUAGGGGAGGAGCCAAAAUGAGGGGUUUGAGGCUGUGCUGCCAUUUUACUACUCCCCCAAAUGGAAGGGGAUUACUUUACAUACUCUACUAAACUAACUCAAUCGUAUCCUAUCGUGUCUCAUCUCUCUAUGUAGGUGGAUGCACUUAUCUUUAUAUCGAAACAAAUAAAAUAAAAACCUAAAGCGAUUAAUAUAUACAAAUAUAUAAGUGAAGCACACAUAAAUAUAAUCAAUAAAGGUUAAUCAUUGAUUCGCUUCAGCCAUGUGUUUCGAUCAAUGUUACCUUACCACACCCUCGAUAAGCUAUUAUACUUUUUAAAACUGUAUAUAUAUAUAUAUAUUAAAUUGGAAAGUUUUUGCAUAUGUUGAUUGGGUUUUGAUUGUGAUAGUUUUGUCUGAGUUUUAGGUUGAUAUUUGGGUUUUGAUUUAUACUGUUUGUUAUCUGAGUAAUGAAGUUUUGUAUCACCCAAAUUAUUAACGAGAAAUUUUUACUAUUUUAAAUCCUAUUUUGUGCAGUCCAAAAUUUGAGUUUGUGAUUUUACUUUUCUUUCAUAUUAGUUCCAAGAUGAGUUUUUCAUAUAAGCAAAAUGGAAAGACUUGAAUAAGGCUUUUUUUUUUCUCUUACCCUUUUCUUUUUGUAUUUAAAUAAUAAUAAGAAACAUUUAAAUUAUGUAAGGUAAAAUAUACUUUUGGUCGUACUGUCUAUUUGUUAUUUGGGAUUUAGCAUGAAAAAUAGUUUUAAAUGAUUCUUUUGUUAAAGUGACCAUUAGGUUACUAACGAAACGAAAAAAAUGAUCAUUUUGUUAAAGUGACCAUUAGUUUACUAACGAAACGAAAAAAUUAUUUAUCACUAAAAUAACUAUUAUUAUUUUUCUUGUUUUUCUUCUUCAGCUCCCCAACUCAAAUGUUUCUUCUCCACGUGGUUUCUUCUCCAUGUAGAUUUUCGACUGGUACACUUUUUGUUGUAUGUUUAGUUCAUUACUCUCUUUAAAAUUUGUAAUUUACAUAGGCCACUUUUUCUCCAACUAUGUUUGUUAUUCUAUUAUAUAUUGAUAUUGUAUGCAAAUAUUUGUUAUUCUAUUAUAUAUUGAUAUUGUAUGCAAAUAUUUGUUCUCAAAGAUGACUAAAGUUUUGACAAAAUAUUCUCUGAGCUUGAAUUGUUUUGUUAUUUAUUUCUCUAUUUGUUUAAGUUCACAGGCUAGAACUCCUUUUAUGAACAAAAGAAAAGUGGUAUGGGAAUGAUCUAGAACUCUUGUUGCCCGUUGUUCACCGUUAGUUUCUGUUAGUUCGAAAAUUCCUCAAUGACCAAUUGCUCAAAGUUUUGCUCUUAUUAUUGUUUUUUAUUAUUUUUGUUCACCAGAGAUGAAAAACGUUCUCAGAUUUUUUAGGAUUAACAAAUAGAUAAGAACAAGAAACAAAAUAAGAAUUUGUUUUUUUUGUUCCAUGUUUUAGGUGAAAACUCGUAAGGAGUGUAAAAGAGAAGACUAAAAUGUUACUUUUAAAAUCUCAUAAACCAAAAUAGACGUAGAGACUAAAAAUGCAUUUUGCACAAUUAUUUACAACCAUGCUUUUGCUUUUGAGACACAAUGGGAAGAUGUUCUAUUCUGAAGCAUUCAUGAAUAGAGUAAAUUUCAGUUAAGAUGUGAACAGAAGUAGAGUUUUUCUUGGUAGAGAAAUUAUCAUUCCUUCACUCACAGAAACUCAGUAGUAAUUAAAGAAAGGGAGCAACCAUUUUAUAAUUAUUCAAGGCAAAUUUCCUCGAAUCAAAUUAAUGAUGUAAACGCCACUCAACUCAUCGCACCCAAAAGGCUCAAAGGUUUUCCCCCACACGCACUUUGUAGAUUAUAAGAGGAAGAAGACGGCAAAAGAAAAGAGGCAGAGGGCUGAAACCCUAAACAAUUUUACUUCUGGAAACCACCAAAUUGGUAUUGUUGACCAGAAAGUUGCGAAAAGAAAUCGUCUCCAAGAGCCUGCGAUCCUGUCCUACCAAGACCAGACCCUGCACCCAUUGCUUGCCCCAUGUGAUAAGUGGGUGCUGGUCCUUUCUCCCUCUCGUCUGAGAAAUCGCUCAGUCCCCCCACCACACCCACGUCCACCAGGGAAACCUUCUUGGCUGCAAUGCAAAGCAAAAGCAAGUUUUGUGUUAAGGGGUGGUGGUGGUUGCAUUCAAACAAACCAAAAGUUGCCUUUGUGGAGUAAUUAAUUAAGAAGGUUUCCCUUCAUUUCUCAUCAUGUUUGUUUGUGUCUAAUGGGACAUCAAAGCAUCCAAACAGGUCAAUAACAUACUUAAUCAAAAGUCGAAGGACUUUUUACAUAUUUUAAAGUGAGACCUAUUCAACACAAAGUUUACGAUGAUGACUUAUGAAUGACUAAUUCUGUAAUAACCUUUCCUUCGACCACAACCUAAUAUAUUUAAUUCAGCCCCCAUCCCAUUAAGCAUUAGCAUGCUUCUAUUCCAGAGAUCCAUCUCAGAACAAAAUAACAAUAAAGUACAUUCUAUUCCUAAAUAUUGUCUAUGAAAUGUCUAAAUUUAAUUAGCUCAAGAAGAAAGGAAAGAAAGGGGAAUGAAAAACAGGGUCAGUAAAAAGGAUUGUGAUAGAUAGUUAAGAUAGACUUACGAGCAGAGAUAUUAAGAUCAAUCAACCCUCGACUAAGUGAAUCCGCCCAAAUCCCAGAUUUGACCUGGAAAGUAUUCUUCUUGGCUGGAGCUAUUGAACUGUUGAUAGAUUUUCCAUCUAAAUUAUUAGAUGGGCCACCGACAGGACUCUGAGAAGGCUGUGAUGAAACUGGUUCGGAAUGCGAAGAAGGUGCACCAAAAAGAUCUGAUCCAUCAAAAGAGUUAAGUGGAAGAGCAGCAAAUGGAUCCACAGCUUUACUGUCCCUUGCUGCACUAGCAAAGUUAGUUUCUGUUUUUAAAACUGGCUCAGGAGAGGCAAAUAAGUCAACCGGUGCAGAAACUGAAGAAGGUUGUGAAGCUUUAAUGUCUCUUGCUGCACUCACAAAGUUAGUUUCUGUUUCGACAACCGGCUCAGAAGAGGCAAAAAAAUCAAUGGUUGAAGAAUUUGAAGCAGGUUGUGAAGCUUUGCUGUCUCUUGCUGCACUAGCAAAGUUGGUUCCUGUUUGUACAACUGGAUCCGGAGAGGAAAAAAAGUCGACUGUUGCAGAAACUGAAGCAGGUUGUGAAGCGAACAAAUCAACCUCUGUAGUCUGUAAAGAGGGUAAGAAACUUCAUUUUAAGAAAAAAGAGAAAAAAUUAAUGAUCAGAAGGAGGAACUUAUGGAGUCACUUUCAUGAAUAGAAUUUUUUGAUGAGAUAAUGCUUAUACUUUCCAUGAAUCAAAUACUUUUGAAGAAAUAAUGAAUAGGAGAAAAACAACUAGAUCACUUUUAUAACAUCAAAAUGCCUUUUGAUAGAUAAAAAUAAAACUCACUACUAUUAGAGCAGGCUAAGCAAAACUGACAGGUUUUCAGCUUAAUUCCACAAAUCGAUCUUGAACAUAUUCCAGGCCAAAAAAAUAACAGCCAGUAGCCACUCAAGUUCUCGGCAAGCCAACAUAAAAGCCUCAGAUAUUCUAAGGACAGACCACCACUGAGCGGUGAGGGGCACGAAAGAAACAGGUGGUUUAAAUUCUCAAGCUUCUGUAGGCAAGAGAACCCAAUUUUUACAUCUUCGAAAAAUCUGCUGCUCGCAUCUUUAUGAUAGACCAUAAUUUUUUUUUUUAAAAAAAAACUUCACUUUCUUGGGGCAUUUGAACCUCCAAACAGCGUUGAUGAGUGGGGCUUAGUGGAAAAUUAACCCCCCCCCCCAAAAAAAAAAAAAAAAGAAAAGAAAAGAAAAGAAAAGAAAAAACCAACCUAAGAUUUCUAAGGAACCCUCAUGGCCUUCGACUACAAUAGUUCCCUCUGCCUCAACUUUUGUCUCCAAAACCCUUGUGCUCUUGGUGAUUUUCCUAUUUUUCUUCUUGGCUACCGCACUACCUUUGGGCAAAAUUGGGGAGUUCAUUUUUUCGUUGUUGUGUGUGUGCGGUGGGGCAGGGUGGGGGGGUGUUAGUUACUGAAAGAUUAGAUUUCAAUGACACGUGAGAAUUUCAGAAAGAUUAGGAAAAAAUGCAAGUGCAAUAGAACAAGAGCCAUGAAAUAUUUUGAGCUAAAUGUUAUAAUAUUCAUGAAAUGUUUCUUUUACCAAAAAGAAUAAUAAAUAAAUGUUAUAGAUAUUAUUCUUGAAACAAAAGGCAAUUUUUUAACUUAGCUAAAUGCAAGAAUGUGAAUAUUGCCGUAACCAAAAAAAUUUGUUUCUUCUCCUUAUCUAUAGAAGCACAUUGUGGAAUUUAAUGGCACUACUGAAAAUCCUAAAUUGUAGCGAACCUUUAAUGGGGAAUUGGGUUCCUUUUCCAUUUGCGUUGGAGCUGAUACAAAAGUAGCAUCUGCAAACAGAUCAACCUCAGGAGAACUGGUGUCCGGCUUUCCAGGAGGAGCAAGAGCUGGGCCAUCCAUGAAAUCUCCUAGUAAACUGUCUCCAAAAAGAUCCACCCCAUUGGGGCUUGGUGCAGCAGCUUCUGUCAAAAGGUUUAACUCAUAAUGAGAAAAUUCCCUUAUUCAUUUGGUUUUCUAGUUUAGGCUUUUUAUGGCUUAACAUGGGCUAACUAAUUUAAUCAUCAAGAAUAUUUCAUUUUUCUACUAAGGGUAAUUUUGAUUGUAGAUCACAAGCUUUUUCUUUUGAAAUUUAUUAUUUAUUACUGGUACAGUUUACUUUACCCCUCCAACUCUCAAUUUCAGGAUCUUCCCUUAAAUGAAAUGAAUAAGGAAGAAGUAUUUUUACUCAUCUAAGGAAACAUCCAUGAAGUGAUACCAAUUUGAUGGAAACCACAAGUGAUACGGAAUUUCCAGUAUUAUUGAUAGUAGUAUAGGAAUGAAAUCCUUGUUACAAUCUCCAAUCACAAUUCUACUGCUAUCCUAUCUUUCAAGGAAGAACAGAGAAGAACACUUGACUCACAAAUUCUAACUAACUUUCCCACCCACCUACUUACUUUUAUGUAUACUAAUUUCUAACCAUCACAUUAUUCUCACGUGUUACUUACACACGUGUUAAUUCUUUUUUUCUCUCCUGCUAUAUUGGUGUACGAUGAGUGACGGAUCUAGAAAAUUUAUUGACAGGGGAUUUCAAGUUGUAAUUUAGGAAAAAAAUAAAAAUCUGGAAAAAAACUACAUAGGUAAGACUUGAACUCGGGUUGGAAUCUGGAAAAAAACUACAUAGGUAGAACUUGGGUUGGAAGGGGGACUGACAAGCACAAUUACCACUAAGCUAUCUAUCAAUAUUAAAUAUUAAUUAGUUUUCUUUAUACAUAUUAUAUAAAGACAAUAAAGUUGAGGGGGAGAUCGAGCCCCUCUGGGCCACACUAAAUCCGCCGGUGUAUAUGAUAGGGGGUCUAUCACGAUAUCUCACCACAACGACAAUAUUAGUAUUUACUCUAGCAUCUUGUUAGAGUCUUCAACUAGACUAGGCUUGUUAGCAGCUAAUUAGGAAAAGUUUAGUUGGCUUUUAGUCAAUACCAAGAGAAAUAGUUUGAUACAACACAUUUCAGAGUAACGGAAAUAUAUUGACAACAAGAGAAGCCUCUGAAACUUUCUAUGGGCCAAAUUCUAGUUAAAUAAAUAAAACUCACGAGCAUAAUCUAACCAUCAAAACAACACAUGCAGAUCAUAUUCCAUCUAAUAUCAAGAUAAACAAUCUGAAGAUGCUCCUUAAUUACAAGCACAAAUGUGUAUUAUAUUAAGACAUCUCCCAUUCCACUCUUUAUCAAUAUUGUCAAUUUACCACACAUUUCUCGUGUAUUGGGAUCUCUUACUCUUUAAGAACAUAAAGGCAGAAGACAAUGUAUAGAAGCUAGAGGAAGAGAAUGUUUUUCCCCAUGGUUAAAAAUGUAUUUUGGUUUGUGGAGAGAGCUGGAAAUAUGGGUUAUUGUAAUUUGCGAUUAAAUUGUGAAGAGAAAUGUAUAAAAAAAGUAAAAGUUAUUUUAUCUUCAUUUGAUAACAAAACAAUGGCAAUCAAUAAACAUAAUGGAAGAAAUGGUUACGGAAAACUAAAUAGAAAUAACUGGGACAAUUAAAUUAUUUAAAAAAACCAAGCAAAAUGAGGUAGAAAUGUCCACUAGCAUUUAAGCUACAAAAAUAAGCCACGUUCAACAUUUUUUCACCAAUUAUACUAUUGCAACAAAACAAACACAUACAUUUCAACAUUGAAAACACUUACUUGUGGUGGUGGUGGAAGAAGUCCCACGAGGAUCAAAAUCAUCAAAAUCAUCAUCAGAAUUAUUUGUAGGGGUGCUAGCACUGAAGGAGGAAGUCUGAUUUGCAGAGUCAUUCGACUUCUUUGACGGCUUAGAUUUACCAAAUGAUGUUUUACCCUGAUCCUUGCUGAAAAAGAACUCUCCCUAUUAGAAAGCAAGGCAACAUAAAACUAUAGAGCAAUGUCUAUGACUCUGUCUGUUUUCACAUAACUUCUCCCAACCGUAGAUGCAUUUAAAAAACAUUAGGCAUUGAUAUUUGUCCAAUAUAAACAGAGACCAGAGUCCAAACAAAACUCAACAAAAGAACUGUGCCUAAGGCAACAGGUUUUUUUUUUUUUUUUUUUUUUAAAUCUUCUCCAAGUCCAAGAAUCUAACAUCAAUUUUAUUAAUAAAAAUCGAUAAUGUAUUUCAUCAAAGGAAGGACAAACUAAGAUCACAGGUAUGGGGAACUCCCCACAACAAUGCAUUUUCUGAAUAAAACAUCAUAUUCAGUCAAUAGAAUCUAGUAAAAGGGUAAAUAUUCAACAAGUACAUACCUGUUGUUUUGUGCAGAACCCUUGCCAUCUGGCUUAGUGGCCCAAUCUGACUUUUUAAAGUCAUCCUGGCCAUCCUUUUCCUUUCUAAAUGAAUCCCUGUCACUGCUCCUAUCACGAAAUCUAUCGCCUCUAAUGGUACUCUGACUAUCACUGCUGUAAUAACUACUGCUGCCGUAGGACGCUGUACCUGACUUGUAAGUAAUUCCAGUAGAUGAAAGUCCAAAGUACCUAAAGAAUGGACAAUACACUAGUUAUUCUGAAAAAUCAAUGUGUAUGGUGACUGAGCUCCAAUACAACAACCUAUAUGGUUGGUAUGAAAAAGCUGAGUUUACAUAUAGCAGCAUGAAAAACCAGUGUAUUAACAAGUAUCCUUUGAUUCCCUUCAAAGUGGUAUAUAUAAAGCUCCUAAACUCACUGUAGAUUUUGUUCAACUGCCUACAUCCACUAAGGUUAGUAUAGAGGAAAGUAAAUAUACGAAGAGAGUUAAAUGUAUUUAUCAGAAAGUCAGAGACUCUUAGACAAUUUGACAAAGUCCAACGCCAAAUAAGACGAGAUGCUAAAAACAAGAUAUGAGAGACUAUGGUUCUAGUGAUGGUUGAUUCAAGGGAGGAAAGAUUUACUGCAACACAAACAAGCUAAAACGUAUGAAAUUCAGUCCUCACAAAAUAUUGAUGAAAGUAAAAGAUAAUGACUAUACUUUUCUUCAUUUAGUUAAUGCAAGCUUCUCCAACAUGUUUAAUAUAAUUGAUCUUGCAGCAAAUUACCUUAACUCUGGCUCCCAGAUUAAAGCCCAAGGCAAAUAGGAAGAGUCUAAUGCUGUAGUGUUACAUAGGCUUAUUGUUAAUGUCAUAUAUUUACUACACAGUCAGUAAAGGUUUUAUCCACACUCCUUUUAAUAUUUUAACCAAGGAUCAAUUUGUGAGGAGAAGCUCACAAACGAAACUUUCCAUUCUUAGGUAGUCAAUCUAGAAAAUGAAAAAUGAACCAGAUAGCUCAAAUGUUCACUUACUUUUCACGAUUUGAAGCUGCUUUAUUUCUCACUUCUUGUAUUUUAUCUUUAUCAUUCAAAAGGGCCACAAUGGUUUCAGCCUUCUUCCUGACAUUUAUGCCCAUGUCCUUUCCACUUGGUUCAACAUAUUCAAAACUCGAGAGUGACUAUCCAACAUAAUACAAAACACAAAACAGAAUAAGACUAAGAGUCUCUAAAGUGCUGAACUGGAUCUUAGUGCACAUUUUAAAAACAUUCUUACAGAUAUCUGGAAAGUAUGUUCAAUAAUGUCAUCCACUGCACGUUCAGAUCCAUGUGACACCAAAUACUCUAUAACAGCCAAAGCCUGAAGAAGUUGACAGUGCCACUCAUGAGUAAGAGUGGGAUAUAAAGCAUUAUUUGUCAGAAAAUAAGAAUGUAUUAAACUGGGAACAAAUGAAAUUUUACCUUAUAGACAAGACGCCAAUUCUUACCAGUUUCAGUCAAUCUUGUCCAGAGAACAUUCAUAACCAUCUGAGUUUCAGAACUGAAAAAUCAAAAUCAAAAUCAAUCACCAAACAGAAACAAGUUCUUGAUUAAAGAAGAAAAGAACCAUAUGGGAUGAGUUGAAAUUUGAAAAUGUAACUUUACAAUUUCUUGGUAGCUUGCGCAAUUUCAGCCAGAGCAGAUCCAUGAGGACCCCAUGGUUCAUCAUCUGUUGCAUCCAGCACCUGAAGCAGCGAUGACAACCAGUUAUGAAACCACAUAGAGAAUUUCUAUCCUCCAACAGUAGAAUUAUUAAUACUUCAUGAGAAGCGAGUCAACUGUGAAACUCAAUCCAAUUUAUCUGAAAAACCAAUUCCCUGAGGGUCAUCUGGAAUAUGACCAACCAAAUUGAAAACCCACCUAAAUGGCACUUGGAACUCAAACGAAUGUGAUUGCCCUAUGGAUUUAUAUCAAAUUGAGGACAAAAAAUCGCAUACACCACACGCCUAGAAAAUGCUAACCGCCAUUGAUAGAGUUGAAUGCUACAAUACUAAGCAACAUCACUAUUCCCCGAAAUCCAUCCAAUUGACGCUAUAAAUUAACAGGCCAGUGGUAUGGCAGUUUUUAAACAAUAAUAUAUGCUUCUUUAAAUAUUUAGCAAUAAAUUAAACUUUCGUGGUGUUUGACUGAAUGGAGGUGGAAGUAGAACAGGAGCAAGAAGCAAAAUAGGAUAUGAGUUAUGACACCAUGUAGUAUCCUAAAGCAAAAUAGGAUAGAGAGCUGCUUAGAUCUAUAAAAGCAAAUGCAUUAUUCGAACCUUCUGUUCGAUUUCUGGAACCUUCAGAACCUUCAAAUUCACCUCCCUCUUUCUGUAACAACACGUAAAUAGAUAAAAUGAAAAUGAUACAAAAAAUCGAAGUUAAAGCUAACAGAAGGUCAUCUUCUAUCUAAAAACCUAUACACAUAACAUAGAAAAAAGAAAAAUAAAUAUAUAUAAUUUUAUAUCCAAAUUGAGAAACAUCAACUAGUUGGAGCCUCACAUUUCACGGACAGUUUGAUCGAAAACCUUCAUGAAAUCCAUGACAGAUCUGCGAAAUCUAUCAAACAAUAUUGCAGAAUUGAAAUCAGAUAAUGUGAGGAAUUGGAGAAAGAUGAAGAGAACGGAUCGGGAGGAAAACCAGCAAAAAGAAGAAGAAGAAAAAUUGAAGAGAUGAUAUAUGUAAAAAUGAAUCGAUUGUGAAGAAAAAAGAAAAAUAGAAAACGAGGUGAUGCGCACCUGAGUAGCUAGAAAGGAAGCUUGAGAUCGAGGUAAAGAAGGAAAUCAGGUGGGCGUGAAGAAAUUUCAACUUUCUUUGUAUGCGUGACGGUGGAGAUAAAAGCCGGAAGAACAGAACAGAACAGACGAGACAACGGAGCAAUUUUUCGUAGUCGAAAUUUUCUCUUUAUUGUUUAUAAUUUUAAUUAAAAAUGUGUUUUAUGGUUUGGAGAUCUUUUCAUUUUUAGAACCAUUCAUUUGUGACAAACCGUAUUGUAUCAACUUACCUAUUUUUAAAAAAUACAAACUAUUUACCCUUCAAAUUUUUUAUCAUAAUGUUUUCAUAUUUUUUAUUGGAUUGACUUUUUAAAUAUUUAAAUUAGUGUUUAAAAUGAAUCCAAAAUACCCUUUCAACAGUAAUUUAAUUAUUCAUUUGCUUUGCAAACCAAAUUGAAAACUGUUUUAUGGUUCAUCACUAUAUUAAGAGUUGUUUGAGGUCUUGGUUUGCUUUGAUCCAUUUUGUAAGUGUUUAAAAAUAGGAACAGAACUACAAGUAUUUGGUUCAAUCUUCAGUUUUAUAUAUAAUACAAAAAGCAUACAAAUUUUAGGAUUCAAAUGGAACGGUUAUUACGUAGUAGCAUUGUGUUCAUAUAUUAUCAAUAGCCUACUAAACAACCAUCUUUCCAAUUCACUAUUUUUUUUUUCUUCUUAAAACAACAUGCUGCAUAUCAUGUCUGCUGGGAAAUCACAGCCCCAUGGUUCCAUUGAACUCCAUUGAUCUCUACUGUCACUACCGGCACCCGGUUCGGAAACUGUGGGAAUCUGGAACUGAUCGACUGAGUUGUCUAAUGCAGCAAUGCAUGAGAUUGGUGUGUGGUUAAUAAUUUCAGUGAAGUCUGUUUCUUGUGUAUGUAGGAGUGGGGAUUGUGAGUGAAGAUGACUCUGGGUUUUGGCUGCAAGGAACAGCUUCUUCUUCUUCUUCUUCAGUUUAGUAUUCCAAUGGUUUUUUACAUCAUUGUCUGUUCUACCUGGGAGUUGAGAGGCUAUGGUAGACCAUCUGACCAACAACUUGAAUUUGAUUAAAAGUUCAAAUAUUUCUUUACAGAGAUGUGAAAACAUAUCAUGAAGUUUAGAAGAAAACAAAAGUAUCUAAGGUUUCAUUUCAUAACAAUUUUCUUCUUAAGUUAUUCUUUUCUGAAAAUAUAUGUUUGUUCCCUCUCGGACAUCUUCACUGUUGUUUGUUCUUAACAUUUGUGCAAAUUUCAAAAACAAAAACAACAAAACCUAUCAUCUUUAGUUUUAAAAACUUGUUUUGAUUUUUAAAAACAUUGGUAGGGAAACGAAACUAUGAAAUGUACCAAAAGUUAAAAAAAAACAUAUGGUUAUCAAAAUCGAUCUUUUUAACUUUUAAAUGCUUAAAUUUUGGUAAUGUUACUUUAGAAAGAUAAACACCAUGGUAAAAACAAAUGGUAAGAAAGCAGAAUCAUACAGAGCUACUCAUGACUAUCUUAUAGAAACUAAGAAAUAAUCCAAGAUUUAAAUUUCCUUUUUGUGUAAGCUUUGUAAAGUUCAAAUCUGAAUCCUUGUUUAAGAUUUAUCCUGGCUUGGAAAAAAAAAAAAUACCAAACUUGCCUGCUUCCAUAUUGAUUGAAGAGAUUAAAAAUGACAUUGUCUUCCUCUUCUGUAAAUUCCCCAUGCUUGAUAUUGGGUCUGAGAUAGUUUAGCCAUCUUAACCUACAACUUUUCCCACAUCUCUUCAACCCUGCAGUUUUUUUGUUUCUUUUUUCUUUCAAAACAUUGCAUUACAGAAACAAACAAACGACAGAGAAUACCAAACUAAAAAAAUUGGUGUUAGUUCUGAUAAAAGUGAAGAGAAAAGCAAGAGAUUAAACCAGCUUUAGUAGGCAGAGCAAUCCAGGUACCAGCAAUGCCAUGAGUUUCUACAUAACUUUUGAGAAUGGCGUCCUCAUCAGGAGACCAAGGCCCUUUCUUCACCUUGCCUUUCUCACAACAUGGAGCUCUUCCCAUUGCCCCCUUUGCCUUCCAAGGAUAAAUGGGGGCAAGAGUUCUGUAGCUAAAUGCUUUAAAUUCCAAAACCAGCUCACUCAACCGCAAUAAUUUCCCCUUCUGAUUUUGGCUGAGGAUUGUGAGAGCUAAAUAGAAUCUAGCUUGACUUUGUACGUUUCUCCCUUUCUUAUAAGCUUGUUUAUUGUUUGUUAAUUAAUACAGAAGAAGAGACCUUCUCUGUUUUCCACCCCUAGAAAAACAUACUGUUUUAGGAGAAACUACGAAAGGAAAACGUCAUAUGUGGUUGACAAUUUUGUACAAUUAUAAUUUAUAAAUUUUAAAGAGAAGCUGUA